rnacentral:lncRNA from 1 species
CUCUCUCUCCUAUAUAUCUAUAGCAACUUAGCAAGCAUGAGCAGGCACCUCACCGUUUCUCACCUCCUUCUUUCCAGUCUCUCCAUCUCUCAAAAUAUUCCUCUGUCACCUCUUCUCUUCUAUAUCUUCCAAGUGCUCCUCUUCCUUGUUUUAGUUUCCUUUAUCUUGUGUCUCCGAAGAUAUAUAAUUAUAGACAUGGUAGUGGCAUCCCCAACUCAAAUUCACGGGGAAAAACUCCUGGCCAUUGAGCUUCCUGUAAUAGAUCUCUCAGGCGAGAGAUCAAUGGUGUCCAGUCUCAUUGUCAAAGCCUGUGAAGAAUAUGGUUUUUUCAAGGUAAAAAACCAUGGCGUUCCUCAUGACAUCAUUGCCAAAAUGGAAAACGAAAGUUUCAACUUCUUUGCCAAAACAUUCGAUGAAAAGCAAAAGGCUGGGCUUGAUAAUUCCUUUGGUUAUGGCUGCAAAAACAUUGGCUUUAAUGGUGAUACAGGAGAGGUUGAAUAUCUGCUUUGUAAUACCAAUCCUCUCUCCAUUGCUGAAAGAUCCAAAACCAUCUCCAAUGACCCUACAGAAUUCAGGCAAGUGCUUACAUCCUUUAUAUUGCUUUGAGCUUUUCAUUUAUUGUAUUUGAAAAUUUAACACUAUCCCCAUUUAUUUAUCUAGAGUUUAUUUUCUCCUUUUUUCUUUCUUGAAAUUACGUUUGCAAUGUUAGUUACUUUCAUGCAUGUAUUUGCUCGAGAGUCACCAACCUCUUGAUGAAAGUGCAAGAGAGGUUUUUUUUUUUUUUUUUGAGUGCUGCCUUGAGAACCCGAGGUAAAACAUGUUUCAGCGAAGCUAUUGGUAAAAGAUUGGUGAACAAAGUUAACAACAAAAUGAUGCAAAGCCUAUAAACUGAGAAGCCCACUACUAUUACCAGCAAAGUACUAGCAUUUUUUUUAAAUCCAAAUUAGAUUUAUUUUCGAAUUUUGAAAAUGAAGCUACCAUGCAAGUUGCUAAUUCAAUGUCCCGAGCACUUCUAUAUAUAUGUAAACAUAGUGCUGGCUGGGAACUUUCUUGGAAUUGAACUGUAUCUUUUAAACCUCUUGUAUUCAAGUGCACCUGACAUUCCUAAAAAUGCAAAAAUCUUCUCUGAUUUGCUGGUAGAAUCUUCCUUAAUGAAUUUCAGGGUGAAACAAGUUGUUUUUUUUUUAAUAUUUUAUGUGAGCAGAAUACUCGUACAUGUUAUCAUAGGAAUUUCUUUAAUCAUCCUUGGUAAUGUGUGGUAUGAAAGGAACAUGAAAAUGAAGAGAACUAGGUUUCCAUAAGGAGAACGCUAGCUAUGAAAUUAUGUACAAGCUAGCGUGACUAUUAGCAAUCAUCGCUCAGUAAUAAUUCACGUCUAAUUUUCAGUAAUUAAGCAAAUUUAUGAAAUUAGUAAGUUACAGCAACACUAAGUAUAAUCAAGAUCAUUGUAUAAAUCAUACAAAAAAUUAAGAAUAUUACAAAACACUCCAUUUAUCUUAAAAUAAUAACGAAAUUUUAGAUAUAAAAUCUGUAGUGUUUACAAUUUUUCUUACAAAAAUGUAAGAGGCAGGUUUCGUAAAAUCUUUAAAGUUUUGAACUUUACCUGCAAUUCCAAUAUAAUAUUAUAAAGAGUUAUUGUAAUUUAUCAUUAACAAGAUCAUGCAUGUAAGAAGAGCGAUCGAUUUCAAUUCCAUCUUUCUUGAAAUUUUUUUAAAAAGGGACCAACACUCGUGAUUUUUAUGAAAUUCAAUUUAAAACACCAAAUCACACGGGAAUAUGGAAUUAUAUUUCCUCCUGGAAGGUGGGAAACAUGUCAGAACUUCUUUCACUUGAGAGUCGAAACAUUCUCCAUUACUGUUUGGAAGACUUUUUUUUUUCCUUCCAAACAAGAGAAGUUUUAUGUAUUCAGAUACUAAGGUGGAUUCACUUGUUAAUGUCUUCUUAAGUUGAAUGGCCGGUAAUCUAAAAAAAAAGAGGUAAAGAAGAAAGUGAUGGUGGUUGGUUUAAAAAUCAUUUAGUUUUUUUUUUAUAUAUAUAAACCAAUCAAAAGUUUCUUUUUACUAAAAAGAACAAACAAAUAUUGCCUCCAACGUCUAUGUUCAUCUAUCUUGAAUGUCGUCAGCAUGCACAUGUAAAAUUUACCUAGUGGCAACACACAUGAUUAAGUGUUUCUUUUUCUAGAUCACAAUCCAAAACAUUUGAAAAGAAAAUGAAGAUAAGGUACUUAUUUGCAUGAAAAAAAUAUGGAGAAUCAAAAUGCACAAGUCAGGGAGAUUGUGAAAUCUGGGGGAAGGGCUUCGGUGACUUCUUUUCGCCAAAUAAUGCAAUACUGGAAUUUAUGAAUAUUAGAGAAACUGGGAAAAGCAAAGGGGAAGCAGGUCUAGUGUACUUUUCUAGACGGGUGACUGGUGGCUUCGUCUUUUUUCUUUUUUAUUUUUAAUCCCUCCUAGCCUGUUGUUAUAUUCACCGACGUCGAUAAGGCGUGAUUUUUGUGAUCUCUCUCUCUUCUAUUUCUGUGAUACAGCUCUGCAAUGAGCGGCUACAUAGAAGCAGUUAGGGAGCUGGCAUGUGAGUUAUUAGAUCUGAUGGCAGAGGGAUUGUGGGUCCCAGAUAGAUCAGUGUUCAGUCGACUAAUCAGAGAUGAUGACAGUGACUCAAUCAUCAGGUUAAAUCACUACCCUGCCAUGCCUAUACUCUGCAAGGAUAAGGACUCCUCAUCACCUUGUAACCACAACAAGGUAGGAUUUGGAGAGCAUUCUGACCCUCAGAUCUUGACCAUCUUAAGAUCCAACGACGUGGGUGGCCUUCAGAUUUCCCUGAAUGAUGGUGCCUGGGUUCCAGUAACACCUGACCCCACUGCCUUCUGUGUUAAUGUGGGUGACUUGUUACAGGUUGGUCUACUGUUUUUCUCCUUCUCCUUCUCUCUCUUAUCUUGUAGUUGAUCUGGAUUUGAUGGAAGCUACUGCUACUAUAGCUGAGCUAGCUAGCUAGCCAGUAACCAGGAGGCUUCGGAUUUGGUUUCUUGAUGCCAAUGGGGCCCAAAUCAACAUCAGUUGGGAAUGAGUAAUUGAAUCACUAAGUGCCCGUUUAGAGUACGGUAUCCCUUGCUUUUUAGUAUUUUUAAAAGAAUAGUUUUUGUUGAAAAUAAUUAAAAUAUUUUUUAUUAAUAUUAAUGCAUUAAAAUAAUAAAAGAUUUUUUUAAAAAAUAAUCUAAUAUUUUUUUUAUAUAAUUUCAACAAAUAAACACCAGCUAGAUUCAGAAAUAUUGGAACUGAAAAGUACCUGGCCGUUGGUUGGUCCUUUUAUGAUGUGUUUAGAAGCUGACUUGAGAUUACCGAGGAAAUAAUUCUGUACCCUGACUUCACCAUUUCCAAGACAUUUUCUGUGGAGUAUCGUUUUUCUUGGGUCUCUUUGUUGUGAAAAUGAAAUUGAUAUUUUUUUUUUAAUUGACAAUGACAGAUAUGUUUCUAAGGUCUUUACAAUACCGGUUUUCUUGUGGAAGGUUUUUUCUUGAAAUUUUCAUUUCAAGAACUAAAUGCUUGUUAUCGUCAAAAUCAUUAGCUAGUUCUCAUUUACUUUGACAUGACCCUUUGCUCAGUCCAAUUUGCCUUUUAUUCAAGCAUGGAAAUCUAAUUCUAAUUUCUCUCUCAAAAUUUUGUAGGCAAUGACAAAUGGGAGAUUUGUAAGUGUGAGGCACAAAGCCCUAACCAACUCAUACAAGUCUAGAAUGUCAAUGGCCUAUUUUGCUGCACCCCCACUUAAUGCAAGGAUCGCUGUUCCACCAGAAAUGGUUACACCCAUCAAGCCUGCCUUAUACAGGCCUUUCUCCUGGGCUGAAUUCAAGAAUGCUGCUUUUGCUCUGCGACUUGGAGAUAGCCGCCUUGGUCUAUUCAUGCUGGAAGUAGAUGACCAAGUUGCUUGAUGAGUUUUUGAUAGUUUAGUAUUAUGGAAUAUAAAUGUUUAAAUAUCUAAGUCUAGCGUCUUUCUGUACCCCUGAAGGGGAAUUUUGCCGUUGGAUAUCCUUGCCAUUGCUACUGUUUAUCCAGCGAGAGACUAGUAGCUUGGGGGGCUAGGGGGGGCGAGAGUAAAUGGUAUGUGACACUGUAGUUUAGCCGUUAGUGUAAAAUUUUCCCUUUUGAAUAAUAUUUAGUGGCCAGUGGGGUGGUGGUUAGCUCUAUCAUGGAUUCUUUUGAAGUGUUAAGAAAAACAAGAAUAGAGAAAGCCUUGAUAGGAUAAGAUGUUAAAUGAAGCCAAUCAAGACAAUAUAAAUUUGAAUCUGGAAAAUCGAUCUUUUGUAAACAGUAACUAGAAUCAAGGAGGGUGUAGAAAUGUUGAGUCUUUGUGCAUUGUAUUUGUCUAGCGCGCACGAGUUACUGAUACCAAACUACUUCAAGAAGAAGUGUAUCAGUAAAAGGUCAAGGACAAUGCUAGGCUGGAACUAUCAAUUUAUUUAUUAAAAGGAAAGAUUAAGAUUAAUCAUAUAUGAGGAACAGAAGCUUAUACAUAAUGUCAGAGUUCAAAGAAAUUUAAGAACAAAACCAUCCACAUCAUUACAAGUAGGUUAGAGGCUCUAACAAGACAGAACCAUCUAAUUCAAAUCAGUCAUGCGCUCCAAUGAGCAAUCAGAACUUCAGAAUCCUUGGUCUGUUAUCAUUUUACCUAAAGUCAGCCUCGAAAAUGUUGAUUUAGGGCUGCAAAUGUUCUUUUCUGUUAUUGUUUUACCAGGUAUAUAGCUCCCGAGUCAGGAAAUACCUACUCAGGCACGAAUUUGAGAUCUUGCAGCAAGGCAAGAACACUUCUACUGACCAGUUCUGCUUAGUGCACAAACACAAAUCUCCAGGAUCUCAUAAUCCUCGUCCCAUAACAACAAGGAUGCCUUCUCUGGGCUCUCUAAAAUCAUCUUUGAAUGUUAGGAAACCAGAGACUGUCCAUGUCUGACAAAGCCUGGGUUGUUCGCCUAUAAACCUUCCACUGUGCGUGUCAUAGGUGUCGCACUCGACAUCGCGACGGCCUUAAAAAUUAUUAAAUCUUUGAAAAGAACGGAUUUCUAGCAUCAUGUUCUCUGGAAUAACAAGCAACAUUGCAUUAUGGAACGCAUUUACACAACUCGAUAACAUCAAUUUUAAGUCUUUAACGAAUAUUACCUGCCACAGCUUGGCUAUCAACUAGCUGACCUUUAUUUAGUGUUCAUUGAUCAUUCGUGUGUUUCAUAAAAAAUUUCAUCGGGAUUGGUUUACAUUUAAAUAACUGUAACCUGAAGGAAAAAAUAUUGUUAGUUAAAUAUAUUUAUAAAAAACAAUAAAUAAAAAAUAAGUGCAAUUAAAAAAAAAUCUUAUCAUCUAUUUCAUAAUCUAUCUUGUAAAUUUUUUUAAAAAUUUACCAUAAAUUUAUUAUUUUAAUAUAUUUAUUGAAAAUUACUUGAUUGUAUUUUAAUUAUACUUCAUAAUAUUCUAAAUGAAAGUUAAUUUAGCGGCCUCAUAAUAUUAUCAGGAGGCGGGAUUAAUAAAUGAAGGAGCUAGAAUAGCGCCGCUCUAAUUUAAAAAUGCUCAACCAUAAACCAGGCAGGGGGUCAUAGUGGCAUGGGGUAUAAUUGUUAAAUCCAGCUUAGCCACCCGUGUUAAUCUAGAUUAAAUCUGUAAUUAGAUUGGUCGUUCAUUGAUUUAAUUAAACCUAGUUGAUCCUUCAUGAUUUAAAUCUUGGUCAUCUUUUUUAGGCUAAAAUUAUUUUGUUAGCCCACCAAAACUAAUACACGCGAUAUAACUCAGUUUUAAUUUUAUAUAUAUAUAAUUUUAAUAUUAUAUAUUAUUAUAAUUAAUCAACUAAUUCAACCCACUAACCUAGAGUCUCUAGUUGAUCCACAAUUCAAUGACCUGAACUAAGUCGCAGGCGGAUCUUAAAAACUACGCCAUUAGAGACUUUGACUCAUGGUCAAAAUAUAGUUAGUUUUGUUUUGUGGGUGCUCAGCUCUGAUAACUGGUUGGCUCACCUUUUUCAUGAUGGAUCUACAAAAACUGUUUACUUUAAUAAUGAUAAUGCUGGCACACAAGCAUUGUUCUUGAAAUACACAAGUGAAGAAUACAAAGUCAUGGCGUUUAAGGAGCAGUUGGGAAAUCAUUUAAUAAAACUAGCAACAGAUUGGUUCAAUUUCCUUUCUGAAAAAAUAAAAGAGGUUUUCAGUACUUAGCAAUUCUCUGUAUUCAAUAAUCCAAAGGUAGUUAAAAUUAUCUUUUCCAGUAUUAGCUCACACUCAUCAUUCUCAACACGACGACUCUACAACUUUGUAUCAUUUAGACCGAACACAGCUGAAGAAGCUCUCUGUGUGUGCCUAGUAGUAAACUGUAGCGGAUAGAACUGAAACUCACAGCACUGUAUCGAAAUGAAAAAAUAAUGGGAAAGCAAAAGGAUACCUAUCCUAAUUUAUAUUGCAAAUCGAUAUGUAUAUAUAUAUAUAUAUAUAUAUAUAUAUAUAUAUAUAUAUAUAAGUUGACAGUCCUGUAUAUCUAAUAGAAUAUCAUUGUCUAUUCUUACAUGGUCAUUAACUUCAUGGCCCGUGGGAUUAGUCGAGGUGCGUGCAAGCUGGCCCGGACACCCACAUUCCUGUAUAUCUAAUAGAAUAUCAUUGGCUUGAAGGAUAUCUAAUAGCAGCUGUAUAGUUAUGAAAGCUAUUCUGUACAAAUGGGACUGGCCUUUCUUGAAUUGGACUGCUUAAAGCCGAGUUACAUGAGAUGUUGUAAGUAUCUAUUUCGCACCUGGUCUUGUUAGUUUUAAUAAUUUGCAAGUGUGCCUGCUUAUACUGAACUACCCAAUUCGACUCAUGUUCAACUUGUUGCAAGCUAAAUUUUUGGCAGUCCUGAACCUCCGACUUCGGAGUUCAUGAAUGUCUACAUGCCUCUUUUAGACAGUUAAACAUUUAGCACUUAAUUGAAGAUUUCGGAUCAUGUGAUUUCUCCUGGCUAUAAGGUUAUUUCCUUUUUGCAGACAUAUCAGAAGCAAUAUUUGACUUCCGUAUAAAAGUUACUUCUCCUCAGCCUUAUAUGGUUGAAAUAACGCUCACAGUACACUUGCAGCUCUCGCUCUCUGAUCAAGUGUAUCAAUCUAUGCCAUGACAGAUACAUGCGGUCUAUACCACUUGCAGAACAACAAAUACUUGACGUGAGGAAAGUUCAAAGAACUUGAGAGGAACAAAAAAUGGAGAAAGCAUGAUGGCAGCUUUUGAUGUAAUUCAGUUUUACCACAACAUAACAGAAGUGGCUAAGGGAUUCCUUCAGCUCGGAAAUAACAAAAUUCACAGCAGAUGGAAAAAUAAGAUUCACAGAGGAUAAAAUAACCAAGACUCUUAAUUAAGUACUGAUUCCAAAUAUUAAAAUGUAGAAAAAUACCAAAACUUCUUGAUUGAUCGCAAACAUUAUAUAUAUAUAUAUAUAUAUAUAUAUAUAUAUGGACUGCAAAUUAAAUACUUCUAAGGUAGCCCAACACCUCACGUUUGAAUAGGACCCCCAGUCCAAAAAUGCUUCUUUACGGUCACCGCCCUGGAAGAAUACCCACCAGCACCACAAUCCUUGUACUCGUCCUCAUCGGUACAAAAAUCCUCAUCAGGCAAUCCAUCAACAUAAGCAUUCACCCAAUGCAGAGUGUACCUACUAGGCAAUCCUGGAUAAGAAGUCGAACCACUCUUACCUCUUACUUUCUCUCGUAAAGACCCUGGAACAAUCCUCAUAACAUCCUCAACAUUCACAUUAUCAGGCAGCAUUCAUCCAAGCUCUCUUCUUUCACAGCUCUAUAAGCAGCAGUCUCACUGCUUUCCCCUGCCUUCAUCUUUUCCCCUGGCUCCCUCCCUUGUGGUCGAAAGGAAUCAUCAGAGAGUUCCUGCUGGGCUUCCAGUAGUAUUUUCUUGGUGCUGCAAGAGGAAAGGAUGCGGACAACCAUGCAAUGGACGACACAGAAAGAGGGUAUGGAGUUUUCAAGGACUGUCUCGCCCUCAGAGAUUUCAAGCCAGAGGUUUUGGAUACUUUUAGUGCUUGGUUUUACUCCCCGUGAUUGGGAAUCAGUGGUUGAGAUACGUGGCUUUAGCGAAUCUGAUAGAGCUUCUAGUGAAAGAAAAAAAACCGUUUGGAUUUAUUCGAGGUUGUAGUGGAAUUAAACUCGUAUCAAAUAAAUUGGAAUCCUAUCCAACCGGUGAUGUCGGCCUAGAAACUAAAUCAAACUUUCAAGGCCAGCCAAGAUACGUCAAACCUGACCGACAAUACAUUAUUAAGCCCAACCAAAUACUAUGAUUCAUGAAAUGAAGUCGGAAAGGAAGAGUUUGGCCCGUAGCGUAUAUAGAGAAAAUUAUGGACUCAUGAAAUAGAGUUUAUUUAAGCUUUUAAUUAAGCCCAUAUACACAUCACGGGGAGAGAAAAUUAUAAGCCCAGCUAUAAAUAAACCUAUAGUUUACUUUUGAGAUAUAUAGGUUUAAUAAAUGCAACUUGUAGUUUGGGAUAGACUAAUCUAUAUAUUUCACGAAGAUAAUUGUUCCAAGCUUAUCGAGUCAGAAAAUUCCAUGUUGAAUUCAACGUUUUUCGAUGAUGUCGGCAAUGACUCAAUUUUCUGCAGUACUCAAUGCAUAACUCCAGCUGAAUAAUUAAUUUUUUUUUUAUCAUUCAAACUCAGCGGACUGAUCUGUGAUUUUGUUUGUAGUCAUAAUGCUAAACAUGAAUUAAAGUCAAAGUGCGAGGCUGCUAAUGUCGCUAACUUUCAUUGUCUGGUUAUAAGAACCACGUUAGUUAAUUCUAACUAAUAUGAAAUCUCCAACUUAAUUUCUUUAGUGGAACAGCUAGGGAAUUCGACUCAAUUGUCAAGUUUUAGUUUUGUGGGGUAUAUAGUUGGGUGUUGACCUUAAUUUCUUGCUACUGGAUCUCUUUUUCAGACCACUAAAAAUGGAAGCGUAGAGAAUUUGAUCAAUCGUCUCCUUCUAUUAUUAAAAUCAUGGGAUUAGUUUGCAUAUGCUAACCUUUUUUAUUAUUAUUAUUAUUAUUUGAGAAUGAAGAUAUUGGCAUCUUAAGACUACGUCAAGGCAACAGCGAAUAUUUUGGCCAGUUACUUGAGCUUUUAAUCGAGACAAGCUUUUUUGAACAAUUUGUGACAAAUGAGAAAUAUAAACGAGAUCGAUCGACCUCAAUAAACUUUUCUUGGAAUGAGAUUUCUGUCAUUGUUUAUUGUAUUUUUUUUUAAAAAAAAUCCAACAGAUUUCUCUGCCAGCUUAAUUUUGAUACUGAGAUGAUGAGAGUCUUGAUCUAUAGCUUGUGAGUUACAGCUUUCGUCAAACAUCAUCUUAAUUUCUCGUGUCAAUCCCUUUCCAUGCCAAACCCCAUGAAGUAUAUAUAUAUAGACUAUAGAUAGAGAGUUAUAAUAAUACACUCACGUUCAGACAUUGCUACAUAUAUGUAUACUUAAAACCUAACCAAGGAGCUGGCAUUAUUUUUUCCAAACUUUUCUCCUUUUCUAACCUCUUAGAUAUAAGGAACCAAGAACAGAGAGAUGGGUGAAGGAUGGAGGAAAGUUUCAGAUUGUGGCUGACAUAUCGCUAUUUCAAGUACAAUUACCGUAUCAAUGAUGUAAGCAAGCAAGAAAACUGCUCGUUUCCUACGUAAUAUGAUAUUGUUCUUGACAUUAUUCAAAAGAACGGAAUGGAUCAGCCACACAUUUGUUGAGAAAUAUUGUAUAUUUUAUAUUUUACAUACUAGUUUUUUUUUUUUAACUGUAGAUGUCCGGGUCAAUUUACGCGCACUUCGAUUAAUCCCUCGAGUCCCUGAAGUUAACGACCAUAUAAGUCUCAAGUGACCCUGAAGUUUGUGACAAUCAAACUGGUGACCUCUGGAGAGCAAACUCGUGGUCUAACUAGUUGAGAUAUACCCUUUAGGAUUUACAAACUAUUUUUUGAUAACUAAUAUUCAAAGUCAAUUUUUUAUACAUAAACAAUUAAAAUUAUUAAAUUCUAAUAUUAACAUCCUCUCAAAUUUAAGUUUAAAUACUUAUCUAUAUCCUACUUUUCCUAUUUCUAAAAACCAAAGAAGCUUUUAUUUUUCCAUCUUCAUUUGUUUUCUAUUCAGCAUCUUUUUUCUUAAUUCUACCUGUCUCAGUUUCUUAGGAUUCAAAAAACAUAUAUUAAAAUCGGUGGAUGUCCAAAUUGAUUUUUGAGAAAAAAAAAAGGUCUCUCAUUAAAAUUCUCCACCGAUGGAUAAGCACGAUUAAUAACAACAUAGGUUCUUACUUAUAGUAGAAGGCCAACAGGAACAUUUACUUUAUUUGUUACGGGUUGGAAAGCUCUUCUGUUCAUUUCUGUUCAUCAUGAUCUUGAAAUUGAAAGAGAUAACCAAUAACUUUUAUCAGCCAGCUGAUCGAGGACUCGUGGUUGUGGGGCCAUACAGGUUUAAUUAAUUUGAUGGCCCUAAAUAAGCUGAACCAUAUUGUGACUUAGCUUUCAUAUAAAAGCCUUCACGGAUGUGCUAAAGGAGCAUGAAAAGGAAGUGGCGUUUGGAGGCGCCAGUUAUACUUAAAAUGGCAGUAAUGAGAAAAGUUGAAGUGCACAAGAUAUAUCUUUUUUAUUAUUAUUAACGUGUAUGUCUGGAUCAGCUUGUGCGCAUCUCGACUAAUCUCAUGGGCCCUGAAAUUAACGACCAUAUGAGUCUCCAAUGAUCUUGAGAUUUAUGAGACUUAAAUUAGUAAUCUUUAAAAAACAAAGUUGAGGUAUAUAAGAUAUAUAUCGUUAAUACAUGUAGUGUGUGCCAUUCGGAACGCAUAUUGAUUUUAUACAGCCAUAGGAUUUGAUGCAUGGUUUUGCAGUCUUGUGAGAACCCAUGUGGGUUCAUCUAUUAUAUUUGCUUUCGGAGGUGAUUUUUCAGGGGAACCUGGCUGCCAAGGUCUCGUCCGAUGCAUGCUUUUGUUACUUCAAUCAUCCAGCGAAUCGAUAUCCUUGGAUGAUUAUACAAAAUAUCAUUAAUUUCACUUUCGGGCCGCGUGUGAAUAUUAAUUUUACUUGAAAAAAAUGUCACAUACCCAUGUUUGAUAAACAAUAGUGCCGAAUUAAUUACACAUCUUCAAAAAUUAAAGCCCAUGAUUCAUUAUUAAAGAAGCGAUGAUAGAGAGCACCAUCAAUUCGUAGAAUCAUCAACAGUGAUGACAGCAUUUAGCCAAGGAAAUGGAAACGAGAGCUUUCAAAUGACACUAUAGAUAUGACAGGUUACUCAAAAAUGCCAAUUGGCAAAUUAGAAAUCUUUUUUAAAAAAUGAAAGCCCAUGCGUGUAGAAAGAGCAAAGACGCCAGGACCAAGACACCCAGCACACCAUACAUUACAUUGGCCGGACAUAGAUCCAUAUAUAUAGAUUGAGAGGUUGUUUGAGAAUAUUGUUGAAAUCAUGUUUUUUAAAAAGUUAAAAUUAUUUUUUAAAAAUUAUUGUUUUAAAUUUUUAAAUAUUUUAAUAUUUUGAUAUUAAAAAUAAUUUUUUAAAAAUAAAAAAUAUAUUUUUAAAUAAAAAAAUACUUUAAACCACUGUCAUAAUCCAGAAAAGCAUCUCCAAGCAUCGUCAUCAACAGUGGUGACAAUAUUCAACGAAUGAAAAGAAAAUGAAAGCUAUCCAAUGAGAGUAUUAUGCCAAGCUAUUAAGUAAAAACCUAACCCAGCGUGAACGCCCAAGGGAAGUACUGAAGUCAGAACUUGGGGAUCCAUUCCAUCGUCCAUGACCAAGAUAGCAUAGCAUCAGAUGCCCACGUGGGGCAACUCAAGGCCCCACAUUUUGACUGAGAAGUCUUUGUACUUAAGAGGGCCCCAGCACAAGAUUAUACUUUGAACUUUUGAACGAAAAGAUAUGAAGAUCAACGUGGCGGGAAGAUAAGUCUUUCCUAUUUCUAUUGUCUAUUGGUGGAGUCCAGUUGUACAUUCUUCGUCUCUCCCCGCUCCAGAGUCCAUUCUCCUAUACGUGUACAGUCAACCAACAAACACAAUGUGAUCGUAUAACAUAUGUAUAAACAUGUGGCGGAGUAUUAUUAUAUUAUAUUGUUUGUUGUUUAUUUUUUAUUACUGGAAAUUAUUGAGGCUGAGGACCAACAACUUAAAAUACAUCAGAUCAUCUGUAUUUAAUGGUCAAAUUUGGAUUGAGACAAGAGUUUUUUACAUUAAAAGGGUGUUUAAGAUUGCAGUGCAGUGUAUUUUUUAAAAUAUUUUUUUAAUUUUAAAACACAUAAAAACCAUUGAAAAAUACUAAAAAAAAUAUCAAUUUAAUAUUUUAUAAAUUAAAAAUAUAUUCAAAAAUCACAUGAAAGCAAAAUCCAAUACAUCUCAUUCUAUCUAGAGUAAUCUCAUAUAUAUAUAUAUAUAUAUAUGAUCUUCAGUUUUUCUAAUUAAGGUAAAAUUAGGAAUGAAUUUAUAAUUCGAUGGUUUCUUGAGAAAAAGAAAAAUAAAGAAAGAAACAUAAAACUUCAACUUCCAAUCUCAUAGCUAAUCUCAAAUAAGCAUGAAUGUUCUUUUUUCUCAUCCUUGCAAAUCAUUAUCAUAUAUCCUUGAACAAUAAAAUUGAUUAUAUAAUUAUCAGAAAUCUAUAAAUGCAAAAUCUUCAAAUCAAUUAUAAAUUAUCAAUUAUCGUAAGGAAAAAAAGAGCUGAUAUUCAUUAAUAACUAAGUAAAACAUGCAUUUGUUUAUUUAUUAAAUGAUUAUUGUGUUUUUUUUUGUCUCUUCCUGUCUGAAUAUUAUAUUAGACAAAUAUUUUAUACUCAAACCAACACAUUCUUGAGAUAAAAAUAUUUAAUUAUUUAGAUUUCAAUAAAAAAACAAUAACGUGAAGAAAAAUUCACUUAGAAAGAUACACGUGUCUGGGAAAAUUCAAAACCAUCUAACUAAUGUAUACUAUAAUGUAGAAAGUAUUCUUCAAGGAAGAAAAAUUAAGGGCUGUUUUCAAUAGAUGUGGCACUCAGUGCUUCAGUCCAGGAAGCUUAACCUCAGGCCCAAGUAUUUAAACAUAAACACGUGGCAGAACCAUAACACCCCAGUAACCUGGGACCACUCUCGAUGGCUUCUCACAUAGGCACGCGCCUACCAAAAUUCCCUGCCGCCAUACCUCUCUCUCUGCACUGUUUUUUAUCACGUUUACAGGCUUCCCUUUUAUUCCUCUUGCACGUGCCAACUCUCCUUCUUAUUUAUCACAAACUUGAAUUGCUGUUCUGGGGGUAAAUUUGUCAUGUCAAGAAACCAUCAUCUUUGCCAUGUUGCCCUUUUCAAUUAAAAAUAAAAUAGACUUUUGCUUCAAUAUACAAUGAACAAUCAAUGCCGCUGGAUCAGUGGUUCCUAUUAAAGAGUCUUUCCGAAGCUUACUAAUUUAAUUUGAUGGUUGAUAUUUUUUCAUAAAUUAAUCUUGAUGGUGAUAUUGGUAAGAAAUAUUAAUAAUGCCCAAGUGUUGGGAUAUUUUUUAACAGUAUUAAUCUAGUAAAUAGGGUUUUUUUUUUUUAGUUCAUAGUGCUAAAAAAUCAAACCAGGUUGCAGAAAGUAAGAUUUUUAAAAUUCUUAUUUUAAUAUAAAUAUUUUUUUUUAUUAACGUGGGUGUCCGGGCUAGCUUGCACGUAUCUUUACUAAUUUCUCGAGCCCUAAAGUUAACAACCAUAUAAGUUUCCAGUGACUAUCAUAUUAGCAAUUAUAUGGUUCGAACCUGAAACUACAGGGAAAAUAAAUCUUUUAGUCUCAAACUUUUACUCCUAAACCAUCUACUAGAUGGUUUGAAUAACUUAUCUUAACAACAUAGAAGAUAAAACUGCUCUCAAGCAUGAAAAAUCACAUGAGAAUUCCAUCUUGCUGUGAAGGCAAGAGAAAAAAAAAAUUAGCAUAUAUCUAGAGUUGUAGCUAAUUCUGCUCUUCCUACCUACCAAAAGAACGGAAAACGGAACAGGAUUAAGGAAUCCCGUGUUCGCUGAGUGGGUUCAUAUACAUAGAUUACUACAUGGAAUCAAAUCACCAUUAGAUUAUGUCCGGUUAAAUGGGUUCUAAGCACUUUGUCCGUACAAUGACAACAAAACAAGAAACGGGGUUAUGGAAUUGUAUUUACAUCUGAUCAUUAAAAAAUGCAAGGUCUCUUUAUUUAUUUUAUUAAUAAUAAUUAUGGAAGUACUACUUCCUAAUGGCCAUCUUAAUUUAACCCACAAGCAAAUGAAUCCAAUAACGCCACGUCUCAAAAAAUUAUUGCAACUUCACUUUUUGUAAUCUAGAAACUUAGGAAUUUAAUCUCGGUUCAGGCCCCAUGGCCAGGGUUUCAAAAGUUGCAUCACUAAUCCAAUAAUAUAUUCGAUAACUGUUAAAAUAAUGAAAUCUAAGGAAAGAUGGUGGAACCAAUUAUGCACCUCUUUAUAUUAUACAAUUGUCGAAAAACAUGCUUCUGUAAGCAAUCAAUGGCGUUUGUAAUGGCUGUUUAGAGAAUUAACAGUGAAGUAGCAGAUCUCGAUUAUGAACUCUUUUUUCUUACCAUCUUAAGAACCCAGAAAUGGUGAAAAAAGAGAGAGUUAAGUUAAUGUUAAAGAAUGAGAUUAAAAAAACCUCAAAUUACAAAUUCCCCAUGCACCAACUAAAAUAAUAAUAAGAAAGAAACACAAAGCGAAUAAUCCACAAUCAUACCCUCUUUCUAUCACAAAUUCUACAAGAAUCCUUGAUUAUUCUAUAGCUAGCGAUAAUAGCCCCCAUGAUAUUGUAUUUUCUCUACAUUUUAACCUUCACUCUCACCCAUCUUACAUCUAUUUUCACAUGUUGUAAUUCAUCUGCUGCUGUAAGAACCAAAUAUCCUCAGGAUUCCACAAGUUGUCCGAUGUGUCUCCACUUUCCAUUAGCCAUUGAUUGCUGUUGUGCUCCAUAGCUUGGAAAUCUAAUCCUUGGUUAAAAUAACCAGCAGGACUGAUCAUGGACUCUGAGUAACCACCUUGGUCAGCUUGGAAAUAAUCCGGAUUAGGGUUAUGAUUAACCGGGAUAUAGUAAUAAUCAGUAGUCAAGUCCGAAACAGGCGAAACUUGAGCAGCAAACGAGUCCGACGAGGCAGCAGUGCUGGAAUUCUCCGGGGUGUAACUUGGUGUAACAUGUGAGACACCAAAGUCAUUGCCGAUGACUCCAUGUGGCAUGACCAAGUUACCAGUGCCAACGUCAUUAUUAUUGAUCAAGUGGUGAUUAGUGGAAGCAGCCGGGGAAGCAGAUGUGGCAGUGCUGCUGCUGGUGGCAGCAGCCGCAGCUUGAAUUCUUUCAAUUAACCUAGGCAUCCAUAGGUAUCUCAUGGUGUCCUUGAAUUGCUUGCUAUUCACGUCACAUUUAAGUUGUUUUGCGUGCUUUUGUACUCGGGUUCUCCAAUAAUUCUUGAUUUCAUUGUCGGUUCUCCCUGGCAAGUGUUGUGCAAUUUUAGACCAUCUGCAAAUUGUUCAAAAUUAAAUAGCAUGUUAUUCGUGCUUGUUAGCGCUAAGAAUUAAAACUCAUCAAUAAAAACAGAAAUAUUUUCGUAAUCUCAUUUGCUAAUUAAUACCUAAUAUUAGAGCUAGUGUGAUUAAUAAAGUAAUACAUACCGAUUGCCCCAUCGAGAAUGAAGUUCAAGGAUCAUGAGUUGUUCUUCGAGAGUAAUGUUUCCACGUCGAACAUCAGGCCUUAGAUAGUUGAGCCAUCUUAAUCUGCAACUCUUUCCAGUUCGUUUGAGGCCUGUUUCAUUGAAUUGAGUUUUGGUAAAGUUAAUAAGAGAACAGAUAAUUAAUUGCAAGAGAAAAGGGAGAAUUUCCGAUCUAUACUACUAUACUGCUUUUUAUAGUUGUUGUGCUUUUUCUCAAACUUUUUUAUUGAGUUGUUCUGAUAAAUAUAAAGCUGUACGGCUAAAGAAAAAUCAUCUAUGGCAAUAUUAUUAUCUCAUUCUUGUAAAAAUAAUUCACAUCAUCAAAAUCCCACAUAAGAAGUUGCAAAGUUCUCAUUAUCAACAAGAAGUAUAAUCUGAAAGGAAAGUUUAAGACUUUGCACCUCUUUUUAAAAAGAAUAUGGACACGGAAGGACCAUUGAAGAUCAUGAAGAUAGAAACAUGACGAAAACAAAUUAAGACAUGCUGGCCAAGUUGUACUUUGGCUCUUUGCCAUGUAUUGGGUUUAUAGAUAUUUUGAUUGGAAUAAGCGUUCGAGACAGAGAGAGACUAUAGUUUACCUGCACAGCGAGCCAGAGAAUUCCAGCGUCCCUCACCAUGAGUAGCAAUGUAAUCGAUAAGCUUGAAGUCUUCUUCAACAGUCCAUGGACCUCUUCUUAAGUCAACCAUCAUCUCUUCAUCACUUUGUGUGGUGGAGGAGGAGCUGUUGCUGUUGCCUUCAACAUCCAUCAUCAAUAUGUAUUUCCCUUAAUCGGAGAACCACUUGAUUAGAAGAAAAAAGGGUUUUUAGAGAGAGAGAGAGAGAGAGAGAGAGAGAGAGAGAGAGAGAGUUGGAUUAAUCAGGAAGAUGGAGAAGGUGGGGGUUUUUAUAGAUGCGUAGAUAGGUUUGAAAUUAGAGAAAAAGUUAGGAUGUGUGAGAGAGAAGAGGGCAAGCCGCUAUAGGAGCUUAUGGGUUAGGAGGUUUAAUUAACUCAUGAUAUAUUUAAUUGACACUUGAGCUUGCUAGUUUAAUUAUGGCAGUAAGUGCCCAAGAGGCUGUGAAGUUUGACCCUUUGACUUUCUUGCCAUCUUUUGUUUGUGCGCCUGAAUUUUAUUUUUCCGAGUACUCUUCAUUUUCAAUGAAUUGUUUAAAUAAUAUAUCACUAGAUGGCUGGUGUCUUGUGAAAUCUACGGUUAUGUAAUGGUGUAGAGAAUCUUUUCAAAAUAUUGGAUAUGCCGAAAUAAAAAUAUCAAUAAUUUUAGUUAAUUUACAAAUUAAUUUAAAGAUAUUUUUACUGUUGAAUAAAAAAUAUAUACGAUCUACGGUACUGUUCUUCUUUCUGGAAACGCCGUUUCUUCUUAAAGCAAGAAUCAACUUGUCCUUUUCUUCUUCUUUUUUACACUUUGUAUUUUCUUUUUUCUCUUUUUUUUUUUGCUGGUUAAAAAAUAAGGCAAUCCUAUACCCUCUAUACGUGGAUGUGACCCCAUUGGUCGGUUGUUGUAAUUGGCUACAAAUUCUACAUUUUACUGCCUUCGUAUAAACAAAAAUGCUAUCAGGCUCGUCAAUGAAAAGUAUCAAAACUGGCUUGUUCAUCUAUCUCACAAAGUUGACUAUUUUUAUCUUCUCGACAAACAAAAGGGUAGGUGCUCUCUUGCAGUGAAAAUCUCACUCGGUUUUCAAAGUGAACAUACAGGUGAUGGUAGACUUUUGAGAAUCACUUCCAGAAUACAUAUAAUUUAUAAUUUUAUUAUGUUACUGUUAAUUUAGCAUAUGGCUAGCUAUUUGACUUUUCUUUUUCACGGCUUGGAAUUUUUUUAUUAAUUAAAAAAUUCAAUACAUAGAUUUUUUAAUGUUUUUUUAUAUCAAAAUAUUUUUUAAUAAUAAAAAAAAAUUAUGCAUGCAUCUAAUUAAAUAAAUCAAUAAUCAUUUAUAUAAAUAAAAAAAUAUUAAGGACUAAUAGAAUUAAAAUUGAAAAGAUUGUGAGACAUAUACAGAUCAAAAUAUUUAGUCUCGCAACAAAGAUCAUUUAACCAAUUUUUUUUAAUGAAUUUGUUUGUUUAAAUUAUUUUUUUAUUAAAUUAAAUGAUAAUAAAAAUCAUCACAUGUAUAAAAUUGAUUGGGUAAAAUAAAAGGAAAACAAUAAUAUUAUGUAAGGUUACAUAUAUUAGAAAUAUUAUCCAAAAAUAUAUUUUAUAUUAAAAAUAAAUUUAAUCUAUAUAAAAUGUAAAACAAAAAAAGUAUAUAUGAAUCAUAUUAACCUCUUGAAAACUUAAAUAUACACAAUAUAAUUUUUAAAAAAUCACUAAUUAAAAAAGAUUGAAUGAAAAAAAGUCACAGAGAAUAGGUAUUAAUUAAAAUAUAAAUUAAAAAAAUAUUUUAAAAAAACAUGUAUAAAAAGUAUUAAUUAUAAACAAAAAAUUAAAAUAAAAUAAAAGGGUCGGUCACCUGGUCCAUAAGGAAAGGGCCCACGUGUGCAAGCUUUUAAUUUUUUUAAAACAUUUAUUUAAAUAAAAAAGAGGAUGCGUCGUCUGAAAUUACCAAGGUUCUAGCCGCAAUGGUGAUUGAAAAAUCAAAAGUCUUGUUUUUUGUUUUGUUUAGAAAUCUAAUUUUCAACCUAUUUUUACAUGAAAUAUUUAGAAAACACCCCAAACACUUUCAUAAACCCAUAAAUAUCUAUACCAAACGUUUAAAAAAAAACGAAGUCAAUCAAAAACAAAAACUCUUCCCAAGCUUAGAUCUAGUCAUCUGCAAGCCAAGACUUCAAUCACCACUGUGGUGCCUGAAAAAUUAGAGCAAUAUUGUUUUUUCUUAAAACCCUAAUUUUUUUUUGUCAUUUCAACAAAAAAAAUACCUCACCAACAAAUGAAUCCUUUAGCCCAAAAUACCUAAAAAAAAGUUAAUAAACCUGAAAUCAAACAGGGUUAGUUUUGGUUUUCCUGGCUUAGAUCUAUUUUUUCAGGCAACACUGAAAUUUUAAAAAACUACCAUCAAGUCCCUCUCAUUGUAUGAAACAGACGCUAAGAAAAACCGUUUUAAUGGCGUGAGUAUAAUUUUCUCUUUUAUCACCGGAAUCGAGUGUCUGAUCUCUUUCUCAUAUAUCUAAUUAGAGACUGAAAAAUAAUUCAGAAAAACUUGCAUACCAAAAAUGAAUUUUAAAAAUUUAAAGGGAUCUAAAUUAUAUAAAUUAUGUUAUUUUUUAAAAUUGAGGAUUCAUGUGUAUUACGUUGCUUAAUAUUUUCAUCCACUAGUUUUCUUUAUUAACUUAGGUGUUUAGCCAGCUUGCAUGUAUCUUGAUUAAUUUCAUAAAUUUUAAAAUUAACAAUCAUAUAAAUCUCUCGUAACCGUAAAAUUUACAAAACUAGAACCGGUUACCUCUGUUCAUCUACUAGUUUUGUUUUUACUUAUAUGUGGUCUCGAUCAGGUUAUCUUUGUCCUAUACGAGAUUACGCCUUAUGUUUACAAGAAUACGCUUACAGGAACGUUAUUUAUUAACACCCACAGCGAAGUGCCUUGAAAUUGUCUACAUCACCAUUAUUGAACAUUUAAUGUUUAUUUUGUUUCUCCACUCUCGUUUUGCUUUUAAUUAGGAUAACCGCAGCCUAGCUAGUACCUUCUCGCAUCAUACACUCUGAGUUGAGAUUUUUAUUUUUAUCUUUUGUAUCUUUAUUAAUUCGAGGAGACUAGAAGUGUGCAAUACUGCAAUGGACAUUGAAGUGCCAUCAUGAAUUAAGUGGAUACGCCCAAUCAGAGUACAUUUGCUUGUCACAAGUCAACAAUCUUGAUGGUAACUGUUACAUAAAUGAGCAAAAAUGGACACACUGAAGUUACAAUUCAAUUCGUUUUCUAGAAAGUGAAUUUUGGUAAAUUACUUUUCAAUUUUUUUUAUAUUUGUUUGUCAAAAAAAAAGUUGGUUAAUAAAAAAUAUUUUCUGAUAAAAAAAAAUUUGGUUUGGUUACCAGGAAAGUAUUUUUCUUUUAUUUUGGACGGAAAACACUUUCCGGAAGUUGUGAAAAAUUUAGAAAUAUCAUACUAUUUCUUUUGUUUUGAAUAUUUAUUUUUCAAUUUCAUCCCUUAUAAUUUAAUUUUUAUAUUAAUUUUGGUCCUCAUUUUUAUAAUUGUUAUUUGUUUUUUUCUUAUCAUUUUUUAAUUGAAAUUUUUGAUCUAUCAAAUUUGAUUCUCAUUCUUUUGAUUGUUAUUUAUUUUAUUUGAAAUAAUUUAUGAAAUAUUAAUUAUUAUUAUUUUAAUUUCUUCAUCUUUCAAUUUUUUUUAUUUUUUAGAUUUGAUCUCUAUUAUUUUGAUUAUUAUUUAUUUUAUUUGAGAUAAUUUAUGAAAUUAUGUUUUUUUUCAAUUUCAUUCUAAUUCAACUUUUUAAUUUGUAAGAUUUGUUCCUCGUUAUUUUAAUAAACUUGAAAAAAAAUAAAAUAUUAAUAAGUUAUUUUUCAGCUCAUUUUCCAUGACAUAACCAAAUACUGAAAAGUAUUUUCCAACUUAUUUUUCAUUAUACUAUCAAAUAUCAAAAAGUAAUUCACCUUUCUAAAAUUUAAUUUUUUUAAAAAACUACUUUAUAGUAAAUAAACAGAUAUUAGCCCUCUAGCAAAUAAACGGGAUCUAUGCUCGGCAAUAUUUCCAUUACUGAAGAAGGUUACAAAAGAGGGGCCACUUCAUUGUUACUGGGCUCUCCCCCCACAGAUAGCAUAGUUAUUAACUUUCUAGCUUGGUAAUUUAUUUAUUUUAUUAUUAUUAUAGAGGAGAGGCUUGAACAUGAAGUUUUUCAGAGGAGAAAGAACUCACUGUCAGUCGAGCCUGUUGAUUUAACUUUUAAGCAGUAAUGUUUCUGUUUUCCCAGGGGAAAACGAAUCAUGUCCUUUUCUCUCCCUUUCCUCCAAAUUGGACUGUUGCUUGUUAGUGUAUUGUUCCUUACCUCUAGAAAUUGGUUUCGAUAGGAAAUGAGAAAUAGUUUUUUUCCCAUGAAUAUACCAUGUUUUGCUGUGGAUGAAUUAUCUAAAUUGGGAUUUGAGAAACUCUUUAUAUAUAUUUUUGAAAAGAUCUAUGAUUAAUCAUUCAUCAAAAUUACAAAAGUAGUUUCAUAUACUUUACUGGAUUUUUCAAGUAGUUCUCUUCCCAGACAUUAUGUAGUGCAGAGAGCGUCAUUUUAAUUAGCCGGAUUAAUUGAAUGCUUCGAUUUGCCUAGAAGGCGGGGUACAGCCUUAUUAAAUUGUUGCAUUCAAUUAAAUCGCCACAAAAAUUAACCCUCUCAAGAAGUUGUAACCGGCAAAAUAGAUAUAGGAUUGUAGAUGCUGGGCAAUUAGUUAAUUGUUUUUCCCCUGUUUUAGACUCACCAGCUUCAUUAAUUCAUUGAACUAUAGUUAAGAGUAAUUAACUUGAGGUUUAUGCAUUUCAUGUACCGUGUCGAAGAACGAUUAGACCUACAAGUUAAAGCUAAGGUUUAUAAUUUAAUAAUCUAACAUUUAUCACUUUAUCUUCUUUCUUGCUGUUUUUUCUGACUUUUAUUUAGUUCUCUCUCAAUUAAGUUCUGUGUGAGGAAACAAAGAGUAUUAAUAUUGAAAAGUCUUGGGAUCAUUCAUGAUUUAAAAGGUCAGUUGGGAGGCCAUGGAUCGAAUGCAGCUCCGUCCUGUAAGAAGUAUUAAUAUAUACCAUUUCGUUUUUAAUUAAAUACCCUAGUAGGGAUGCCUACGUGCUACUCCUUGGUCCACCAUAUGCUUUCGUAUUUUUUGAGACGAAAUCGAAACGAUAAUUAGAAGCAGCUAAUAUAUGGACAAAACGUUACCAAAAAAAAAGUUGAAAAUGGAAAUUAAGUGAUAUUUUUCGAAAGUAAGUUAAUAAGGUUAGCUAAAUCGGAAAGACUGGAAUAAAUUAAUUAUAUAAAGUUGUAUUCGAUUCGAAGUUAAAAAUCGAAGGUUAACUGUUAAGAAAUUAUAAUAUUAAGGCAUAAAAAAGAGUUAAAAAUGAUGCGUGGAAUAUAUUUUUGUAAGUGUAAAAAACAAAACAGUGGAAUGGUGGAUUUUAAUAAAAAAAAAUCAUCAAAAUUUAUAUUAAAUAUAAUAAAUAAAUUAGUAAAUAAAGUAUAUUAAUGGUGAUAAUACCCCCUCCCCCCGGCGGUGACUCUAGUAGGUUUGAUGAUACUAAGUGGCCGUUUGGGAGUGUGGCUGCGGGUGAGGUUCACCCGCAGCCACACGCAAUAUCGUUUGGUAAGGGAAAAAAAUUCCUUUUCACUGAUAGGACCCACUACAAAUUAAAAUGAAACCGCAAGUUUUGGAGAAGCAGCAUUUGGCUGCUUCUCCUGAGGCAGGAAGUUGUAACAGUGGAGCAUGGCUCCACUGUACAGUGCGAGUGAAUUAAUUCACUCGCUCUGUACACUUAAACUUAAAUCAGUUUUUUUUUAAAAAAAAAAAACCAGGAAAAGUUUAGGUUUUUUUUUUUAAUUAUUAUUUCGAAAAACCAGGAAAAGUUUAGUUUUUUUUUAAUUAUUAUUUGGACAAACCAGGAAAAGUUUAGUUUUUUUUUUAAUUAUUAUUUGGACAAACCAGGAAAAGUUUAGUUUUUUUUUUAAUUAUUAAUUCGAAAAACCAGGAAAAGUUUAGGUUUUUUUUUUAAUUAUUAUUUCGAAAAACCAGGAAAAGUUUAGUUUUUUUUUUAAUUAUUAUUUGGACAAACCAGGAAAAGUUUCGUUUUUUUUUAAUUAUUAUUUGGACAAACCAGGAAAAGUUUAGUUUUUUUUUUAAUUAUUAAUUCGAAAAACCAGGAAAAGUUUAGUUUUUUUUUUCUGAAAAACUAGUGCAGUUAAGUGAUUUUACUCGCACUAUUCACGUGAACAUGAACAAUAUUUUUUUUUUAAAAAAUUAGUUUAAGGUGAAUUAAAUUUACUCGUACUGUAAUCUCAAUUUUAUUUCUGACAAUAUUUUAACUAAUUUUAUUGCAUGCUCAAAAAAUCAUGAAAACUGUAGUUUUUAUCGAAUGAAUUUUGUACGUAAUGAAAUUGUAAAAUAUUUUUUAAAAAAUUAAGUUUUACUCGAAAAACUAGUAUUUAAUAUUAUUUAAUAACACUAUAUAAAUUAGAAGGAUAUCGCAUGAUGACGCAACAUUUGUGGAAUUUAAUCGCAAUUCCAAUUAUAUUCUUAACGGGUCUGACCCAGUUAAAAAAAAUUCAGGUUAUAUAUUUAUUUUAAUUGUAUUUUAUUCAAAAAAUUAGAAGGAGAUCGCUUGAUGACGUAACAAAAAAUGCAGUUUUUGUUGUUGCGUGCUUAAGAAACCAUGAAAAAUAUAGUUAUUGUUGGAUAUAUUUCGUAUGUGAUGACAUUGCAUAUAAUUUAAUGGAAUAAUAAAAAAUAUUUGAUAUCAAUAUUAUUUAUUUCAUGAUGUAAUAAUAGUAGUUAAAUCUACAAUAUUUAAAUUAAAAAUAUUUUUUAAUUAUUUUAUAACCUCAAUUUGAAAAGCAUUUUUUUAACCAAACACAUUAAACUACUUUUUUUUCAACCUCAAUUUCAACCACAGUUUUAACCAAACAUCUAUUUUUUCAAACCAACCUCAACUAAAAGUACUUUUUAUAAAACAAUUUUUUUUAAACCACAACCACAACAGCUACUGCAAUACCAAACACAUUCUAAAUGUUUUUGUUGCUUUGAUUUCUAAUAAAUAAAACAACGAUAUUUUCAAUUUGAACAAUGAAGUUUUUGUGAUUUAAUCUGAUUAGUGGUUGAUGUCCUUACAUUCAUAUGUGUUAGAUUUUUAUUUGAUAUAACUAAAAAAAGAAAAGAAUUAAAAUACAAAUCAAUAAAUUAAAUUAUUAAAAACAAUUUUGUUAAUAAUUUAUAUGUUUACCACUGGAAUUGUUUUUAUAUUUCUGAAUUUUUUAUUUACGUUAGAACAAGCUUUUUAUUUUAUUUUAAGAAGUAAAAAACCAUUAAUUUUUUUGUUUAUUAAUAUAUUUAUGCUGGUACUGUUCUUAUAUUGGAAAUUUUAUUUUGCUUUAUUUUAGAAAGUUAAAAAAAGUUACGUUAAAUUUUAUUUAUUUAAAAAUGACUUUUAUUUUACUUUUUAAAAUAAAGUAAAAAGAUUUUUUUCCAACUUGAAUAAAAAAUAAAGUAAAUAAAUAAAAUCUUAGAAAAAUAUCUUAAUAGUUUUUUUAAAAAUUUAAACCAAUAGAAAUCUAACAUGUGUUUCUUCUCCUUUUACUUAAAAAUCAAGAUUAUAAAAAAGAAAAUGACUUCAUUUUGCAUAAAAUCUAACAUGCGCCGGGCCUAGUUUUGAGUAGAGCUUUCUUUGAAUGAAGUUUUGAAAAUGACUGCAUAUUUAUUCCUCCCACUUACUCCUCGUCGUCGCGGAUACUUCUCUCGCAACUAGUCAUUGUAAUGCAGCGGAACCUGGCGUCGAAAUGGAGACCGCUCAGUUGAGCGGGUGCGUACUAACUAACGAGAAAGAGCCAGGCCCUACUCACUUCCAAAGAUUUAGCAGGAAUCCUCUGCUCUCGCCUGAGAAUAUUUAACCGCACAUGGAUAAGGUCUUCCUUCCUUCCUUCCUUCCUUCCUUCAAGGAGAAGCCGGGAAUGGCCUGUAUGAGUAUUUGUAUUGCAUUCAAGUUGAUUAUGUUUUGCCGGAUUAACCAAUAACCAAUCAUAUAUAAUCCUUGCAGAUCACAAAAGGCAUUCAAGGUAGAUUUAUUCCCAUUGUGCCUCGAUCCUUUAACUAUAUUUUAAAAACUCAGAAAACAAAAAUAUUAUUAGAAGUCUUUUUUUUGUUGAUUUUUUAUUUAUUUAAGUUGGCAUUUUUUAUUUUUGAAUUCUUAAAAUGAAGUAAGAGUUUCUGCGAACAUAAAUAGAAAUAUUUUAUAUGGUAAAUAAAUUAGAUACAUUUUCAUUUUGUUUUUUGAUUUCUUAACUUUUUUAUUAUAUUCUCAAAUUCUGAUAAUAUUUUCUUUCUAAGAAAAAACUGAAAUCAAUAAAACCAUGACAUGCUUUCUUCUUUUCUAUAAAUUUCUUUAAAAAAAAAAGACUUUUAAGUGAUUAUCUUAAAUAAAUGUCACCCUCUGAUUUUCAUAUCCAUGAUCCGAUGGAUAUGAAGUUUUUGGCACAUUAAGAUUAAUUAUGAAGUCUAAUAAGAUGCUUGUUUUGUAAAGUUUUUUUUAUCUUAAAAUAAAAAAAAUUAAAUUUUUAUAAAAUAAUGGUUCGUUCAAUCGUAGCCCAAAUUAAAUCAAAGGUUUCCAAAUGUGUUUUGAACACUUUCUAUCCUCCAUUAAACCACUAAUCGUGGGGAGUUCUAAUCUACCAAAAAAAAAAGCGUUAAAAAAUGAAAGCAACAAACUAAAAGCAUGUUAAUUAAUCACCUUGUUGGGGGCAAGGACCCAGAUGGACUAUUAUUUUUUUAAAAAAAUAAGUAAUUUAUAUGAUGUUGAAGAUAAGAUGAUUAGAUAAACCAAAAACGAGGAAAUAUUUUCAUAACAUGGCAUGAUGAUCACGUGUUAUGGGCUUAAAAGAAAACAUUACUUUCUUGUCAUUUACUACUUUUAAGUUAUUGCUCUGUGUCCAGUAUACCUUUCCUGUCUCUUAUGGCGGGGGACAUCUCUGUGUUCCACAAUCAUUUUUCUUUUUUCGGUGUUUUUUUUUGUUGGUCGGAGGGUAAUAUUAAUGUUGUAAACUUUUAAUAAUACGGCAUCUGAAGUUGCAGGCCAACGAGAUCGAAAUGCCACUCGAAUAGUUAAUUAGCCCCCCAUAAGCCCCCCAUAAAGCAAAGAGAAGAGGCAAUAUAGCAGCAGCAGCAGCAAAGAGAGAGUAAAGGGAAAGGGAACCGCGCACAUAACAUGCCGAACUAGAUGUUAAACAAGGGACCCAUAUUAUCAUACUCGCACACUUCAAUCCAUUCGUCAACAUUUAUAUCAGUGGCACUUAUCAGCAAAGGGAUAAAAUUUGUGGAGGCCUUUAUACAUAAUUGACAUGUGAAUGGAGGUUAAUCAUGAUCGAGUAUGCUCACGAGUAUAAUCGAUCGUCCGUCUAGGUUCAUGUCUCUCCUUGAUUGAUGUGAAGCAUUGUGUUCAAGUUGCUUUUGAGGAACUCAUUGUUCAAAGAAAAAUCUUUAGAAUCUUUACUUAUUCGAUGAAUCUAUUGUCUGUGAGCGGAGCUAUAAUCCAGACACACACGUUCAUUGUUGAUUGGAUAUGGUUUUGAUGGUGAAAAUUUAAUUUUCCAUGUUCGCCAUAAUAAUAAUAAUAAAAUGCAAGACAAGACUUUGGUAUGCGGCGAGGCAAGGGUGACUGACAGGGCCAAAGCCCCUGCAGAGAUUAAAAAAAAAAUACAAAAUCUUCGGAGCUUUUUAGCAUAUCGAUAGAGAGAUAGAAGUAGCAUAUUUACCUAGUAACUCUUUAAACCUUAAAAAUGUUAUAUUUUAGUCGUUCGACAUCCGGUUUUCGAAUCCGUCUUUCGUACUUUUAUCCGAGUAUUUUUGCUGUCCCACUUACAAGAAUUCUUGGCUCCACCGUCGGCUUGGUGGUACGCAGGGAACAUAAUCAUGCCUAGCUAGGGCCAAGGUUCCAUUCCCAUUGGCUUUGCAUAACUACUCUUAAAAUUCAUGUGUUAUUAGAGUUAGAUUUAAAUUGGGUUUAAUGGUCGAUGUUCUAGUGUGGCCAGCCUAGGUAACGCUGGAAUAGUAGUGGAUAACCACAUCGAUAUUCUACUGUUUGGAGAUAUAAAAAUAAAAAAAUGACACAUAAAGUAUUUUUGAGAUAAAUAACUUAAUUUAUAUAUAGAAUUAGAAUUGAAAAGGGUUAUUUUAUGUGAAGUUUAAUUAGAUGAAGUCUAGCACCAUUCAUUUUUUUCAACGAGGAAAUCACUAUACAUAUUGGCCACUUCCUGCGGAAAGAGAGGCCACUGAUUAAAACAUCAUAAAUAGGCCUUUCCUGUUGAAGUUAUAAACUUACAUUGUUUCAAAGCAAGUUGCUGUGAUUGUAUCUUAUUAACGAAAAUUAAUUGAGAAAUUAGAGGGGAAUUCACUUUGAUGCAAUGUUAACUUAAAUAAUGCUUUUUAUUUUUUUAUUUUUUUCUCAAUUUUAUCAUUUCAUAUUGGAUUUUCUUAUCUUGAUAUCAUUACUUAGAUCUUGAAUUCAGUAUAAUAACUUGGAUCGAACUUAGACUAUAUAGUUUUUUUAUUUGUUUUUUACAAGGUUAUUUCAAUCUUAUUAUCUUGGUCACAAGUUCGGCGGGUUGACUUCGGUCAAUUUUUUUGUCAGUACUUUUUAUUUUUAUUUUUUUUUAUUUUCAUCCUUCAACAUUAGGUUGAUUGGUCUUAUAAUUUGUUUUGAUUUUUUUAUGAGGUUAUAUCAGUCACAUAACUCGGGUUACGAGUUUAACAAGUUAAUCUAAGUUGACUUAAGUUGUUUUUUCUAAUUGAUUUUUUUUUCAAUUUCAACUUUCAAUAUUUGUUUAAUUGAUAAUUGAGUUUUAUAAUUUGUUUUCUAUAGAGUUAUCUCGGUCUUAUGACUCGGAUCACGAACUUGACAAAUUAAUCUAAGUUUACCUAGAUUGAUCCAAUAUAUUAUUAUCUCAAUAUUAAAAAAAAUUGAAAUUUAUUUUUAAUUAAACCAUGUUUUUAACAAUUAUCUAGAUUGUUUUUAGAUUCAUAAAAUUAAUUGGGUCCCGUCAAAUUAACUUUUAUCCAAUUUAUUUAUUUUUAAUUAAAAAAAAACAUUAACUAACACUUAAAUAUUUUUUUAUACUAAAACAAAUUAAUCUGACACAAGGAAAUAAUCUAAUUGAAAAGUAUAAGCUAGUUAUAAGUGGGGGUUAACAAUACAGAUGCAGUGUGAAAGUGGCUUUUUUGGAAAAGUAGAAGUUCUGGACAGAUUCUUGUUACCGGAGGACAUUUUCUAUACUCCCCAAAAGGGGACGAGACAAAAAAAAAAGCAAAAAAGAAAAAGAUGAAGGAACUCCAGUCUUUUGACAUGUGUCCCAUAACACAAAAUUCUUUAAAGUGUUAUUAUUAUUUUUAUUAGUAUUGUUAUUAUUAUUCUCAGGCCACCAAAACUCUUCGAGCUAGAUCUAAGUGGUACUGCAGGCGAGUGGACUUCAUUUUCAUCACUGUUUUGCAGACAUUUUAAGAAUAUAAAUCCUGUAUAAUUAACAAAUUACUAUUAUGUUUAACAAACUCAAUCAUUUAAUAACUUUUUUUUAUGUACCAAGUACUAAAUAGUAUCAUAGCUGGCUAUGUAAAUGUAAAAUCUUUACUUUAAGAACUGAAAAAAAUCCUGAGAUAUUAUUGGAUUGAAUAAUUGAGAACGAGUUGUUGAGAAUUUGUCAAAAAAAAAACAUGGUUAGUUGGUAUGUAUAAGGUAACAUUAAAAAAAAAAACUUUUAAUAUUAAAACUUUGUUGGAUUAAUCUUAAAUAUAUACUCUUUAACAUAAAAUGUUAAUAAAUUACAGGUGAAUGAAGAAUUAAUCUCAAAAAAUUAUUAAUUGGUAUAUUUUGUAAAAUACAAAACCCUCUUAAACUUUGUAUCCUAAAUUGAAAAGAAACAAAUUUUUUUUAAUGUUUAUAAAGUGGAUAGUUGAAAAAUUAAAAUUGAUUCAAAAUGGCAAGCAAGCUUUUAAAAGGAUAAAGUUCUAGGCAAAGUGAGUUUUGAGCUUAAACUCAUACACACCUGUCGGACCAGCUCGUGGUCAGGUUUUGGGUCAGACCUGGAUUUAGGUUUAUUAUAAAAUAAUAUUUUGAAUCACAAAAUUUUUUUUUCCAAUUAAAAUUUGGAUUUGAGCCUGGCCAAUGAAAUGCUAUUUCUUUCAGCCUAUUGAUUGUCCAAUUCAACCCAUGAAUGUUAAAAAAUCCAGAAGCUUUUGUUGCAAAUUUAAACAGUUUUCAGUUUAAAAAAUAUAGAUUUAUGAUCACUGUGUUCAAAGAUUGAUAAUGUGAAAAUUAAUUCUGAUUAUUACCAUAAUUAAUUCUUUAAUUUUUUAGCUUUUAAAAUCCACAAUAAAAAAGAGGGUCAAGGAAGAAUUUUUAACAAUGUUCUUGAGAUUUUUAUACACUCUUCCUCACCAUAUAUAUUUAGUGUUUUCUUCUCUUUUUAUAUUUGAGUUUUCCUCUGAAAUCUAGAGUUUAGGUUCAUCUUGUCAAGAGAUAUUUGAGUUACAUAACUUUUGAUUAAAAAAUCUUAUUUAGAAGUACAUCUAAACCAAGAUAGUGUUGUUGGAAUCUUAUAAGAUAUAUUGUAAACAUCAUAAUUUCACGAGUGAUGAGCAAUGAAGACUUAAGGACAAAUGAUUCAUCCUUAACAACAACAAGAAGUUUUAUUACUUUAAAGUGUUUCAAGAAGUAAUUUUUUUUUUUUGUUAUUUUUUUAAAGUUAAGAAUAAUUAUUUUUAUUAUUAGCAUGCAUAUUCUAGAACUUUAACUUUAUAUCAAUUGCAAGUUUAAAUAGAUGUUUAAUAUGCAUGCUAGUGUUCUUUUAUUAUAGUUAUGCCGAAAGCAUAUUUGACUGAAUUUUAUUUUUUCUAGUUUAUAGAUUUAAAAUUAAUUAUAUACACUGUAAACUUACUUUUCUUGAAUAAUUUUUUAUGUUUUUAAUGUUUUUGUUAUGAGAAAUGAUGUUUAUCACUAAUUUAAUACAUUUAAUCACAACUAUGAAAAACACGAGUCACCUUAAAAAUUAAAAAAAAAACUUAAAUCUUUUUAAAAAUGAUUUAUUUACUAUUUCAAAUACUACGAUGCAUUAUUUAUUUAUACAAGAUAAGAUAUGUUAUUUACCGUAUUUUGACAUAAAUUGUUUGUUUUUCAAUAGACUAGAAAGAUAGACUCGAGUUUGGUGUCUAAAAUAGGCGCUCGAUACCACCUAAUUAUAAAGUAAAAAAUAAAUAAAUCUGAAUCAACCACUCUCAUGUGUGUAACUCAAUGAUUGACGUUAAGUUCAUUGAGUUCUUACCUUAUAUUAUAUGAUAAUGCACGAGCUUAAUUGCCCUUUUUAUAAAUUAUUUAUGUAUCAUUGUUGACAUUGUACCAAAUAACAAGCAGCUAAUAGUUGAAAUCAACUAAACUCGUGGUUUAGGGCUUAGAACACGCGUACAUAUAUCCUUACAUACAUAUGGCAACAAAUAAAAGUUGACAGAUUUCAACUUAAACAAAACUUGUUUCAAGAUAAAGUCAGCUGUUUCAUGGAAAUCCAGUAGCCGAAGAAAGAAUUACAAGAGCAUUAAUUAAGAGGAGAUAUACAUGAGAGUGACACCAUCCAUUGUUUCCUGGUCUUUAGUCGAAAGCAAGCGGGUUUUAGGGAUCAAUGGGGUUGACAUUUCCACUGGACGGUGUUCAUAUCCACCCAUAUAUAUUGUGGAUAGCAACUAGCCUUCGAUCUCAAUCUGGGUUUUUUUUUUUUUUUUUUAUAGUUAUCACUCAUUAAAAUUAAAUUAUUUCAAAUAGAUCUUUUAUGAUCAGGUAGAUCAAUAUCCACGUCUAAAAUAGAAUUUCUUUCUCACAAUAUAUCUUUCUCUGAAUUUAGAACUCUUAGAUAUUAACGCAGAGCUGAUAAAAUCCACUCAUCCCUAUAAUUAAACCCAAUAGCUAUUGUAUUCUCUUGUUUUCAUUACAGUUAAAUUAUAGCAUAAUUGAACUUCUUUUUUUCUUAUGAAGCUGAAGCGUCUUUGACCCAAAUAUAUGUUGGUAGCACCUUUUUUUCUCUCUUCGCCAAUUUUCUGACCUCUUUGAAGAGGCAUGCGUAUGAUUUUCUAUUGCAAGUUGUAUUUGUUAGGUAUAAAGGUUCUUAUGAAAGUUUGACAAGUUUAUGUCUUGGUAGAAAAAAAAAAGCAUAAACUUAAAAGGCAUGCCAUGAAAAUCAUACAAUUUAUUGUACUUUAACCAUCAUUGGUUAAUUAUUCAAAGUUUUAAAUCUAAUAGGGACAAUUUUAAUGAUUUUUCUAACAAAAAUAAAUAUAUUUUUUAUUUUACAGUUGAAACGAGUUGAAACGGUUAUAUUAUUUUAAUAUAAGUAAUUGAACUAGUAAUAUCAGUUGAGUUCGAGAUCAUACUUAAAUUAAAUUUGAAAGUUGUUGUUUUGUAUUUUAUUUUACUUUUCUAGUUAUUUUUUAAUUAUUUUUCUUGUUAGAUUGAAAUUUCAUUUAAUUUGAAUUUUUAUUAAUUAAGCUGGUUUAGUUAAAAAUUUUGUGUGUUAUUUUUGAGAGUUUUCUCUACAAUUAUCAAAUGAGAGUUUUCUCUACAAUUAUUUUGGACAUUGAGAAACUCUAAUUUCUUUUUUUUUUCAAUCACUAUACAUUACAUAAAAAGCAUGGAAAAUUCAAACUAAAUGUUAAUUAAACUAAUAUAAUAAAAAGGUGCUGUUAAAAACUAAGGAGACUUUCUUGCGCGUAUAGAUAUCGUUAGUCAUGUUCAAUAAAUAGCCUCUUUCCGCGUUCUGUUUUAGUCAGUCGAGCCUUGUCAAGUAUCUAAUGUGACAAAAUCGGUGUUAAAUAUUUCGUCUAAAUUAAACUAAUAUAAAUAUAUUGAAAAUUUAAUCAAUUUGGUUAAAGAAAGUUUGUGCUUAAUCAAAGGAUCAUGCUCGCCCCUUAACAGCUAAUUUUUUAUGAUUAAUGGAUUUAAUUUUCAACUUAUCAUCUAAGGUUGGAAUCUAAAAAGAGAUCAUUAAAUCAUUAAAAAAAUUUAUCAGUGAAUGCAUCAUAGUAAAUGUGGAUUAUAUGUUAAUUAAGUCCUGAUAAGACAGUUGCAUAAAACAUUGGCUCAAGAAUUACUUGAAUUUUUUUUUGGUCAGGAUUGUUUUUUUUUUUAAAAAAAGAAAAAUAAAAAACGUUGUUUUAUUUUAUAUAUGAUUAAGACUUUCAUUUCACGCCUUAACUACCGAUUAUCCAUAACAAGACUAAUCAAGUUAUUUGUUCCAGGUGAACAGUACCCAUACAUUUUUCGUGAUAAAAUUGAUUUAGCUACAUCAUUGCUUCUGCAGUAAUACGAGUUGGGUCAGUUUUUUUAAAGGAAAAAAAAUAUUUGGGAAUUGUUAUUAUGUUUUUUUUAGUAAAAAAGUAAAAUUAGAUUAUAUAAAAAUUGAUCUUAACUAGAUCAACUUAACAAAUUUAAAGAAAAUUUGAAUGAUAGAUAAAAAUGUAAUUUGAGUUUAAAUAAAUCAGGACGACAUCUUUUUUAAAAAUAUUAAAACAACAACAUGUUAGAUCAACUUAAAUAAAUUCGGGUUAAUCUGUCAAAUCUGUUAUUCAGGUCAUGAGAUCAUAAUAAACAUAUAAAAAACAAUUAUAAUUUUUUUUUAUUAAACCUAAUUUUCAAUCAACUCAAUUUAAAAUGAUGGAAUUUAAAAUAAAAUUCAACUAAAAAAAUAAGUUAAAUCAACUCGGGUUAACCUGUCAAACAUGGAUCAUAAGACCGAGAUAAUCCUAUAGAAAAAAAAUCGAAACAAAUUAUGAAACUUAACUAUCAAUCAACUCAUUGUUAAAUGGUGAAAUUAAAAAAAAAAUCAAUAAAAAAAGAAUAUAAAAAACCACAUAAGUCAACUAACCAAACUCAUAAUUCCAGUUAUGAGAUUAUAAUAACCUCAUAAAAAGCAAAACAAAAUAAAUUAUGAAGUUUAAUUCUUAAUUAACUAAAUAUUGAAGGAUGAGAUUAAAAAAAAUCAUCUAAAAAAAUAAUAAUAACUUGAUUCAAUCGGCAUAACCUGUGACCGGAUCAUAGGAAUGUGAUAACCACGUGUAGAAAACAAAUAAAAAAAUUUAUAAAUUUCAAUUUUCAAUUAACAUGAUUUUGAAGUAUUCAAUUGAAAAAAAGACAAAAAAUAACUCGGAUCCACCCGGGUUAACUUGCCAAAUCCAGAUUAGAAGACUGGGAUAACUUCGUAAAAAAUGAUUUAAAAAAAUUAUAGAUUACGAUUUCCAAUCAAUUUAGUGUUGAAGAAUGAAACUAGAAAAAAAUGGACAAAAAAAUAACCCAGGUCAAUAGUCAAUACGGCUAACCUGCAAAACUCGCAACUCGAGUUAUGAGAUCGAGAUAACUCUAUAGAAAGCAAAUCGAAAUAAAUUAUAAAGCUUUAUAUCUAAUAAAUCAAAUAUUAAUUAAAGGAUGAAAUUGAAAAAAAAAACUAAAAAAUUUAAGUACCGAAGUUAAAAAAAAAACUUGGCUUUUCAUUAUUAAUUAGUAUAGUAAAAAGUCAAUCAUGUUUAGUAUAUGUUAAUGAAGUGAUAAAAGGAUUCAACAUUGUCAUUAAAUUAAGCAAUCGUGGCAUUUUAUAGUUAGACAUAUUUAGCUAAUUAAGUAGAUGAUCAAGAAAGCAGCCAAGGAACAAAGCAAUGGACGACCCACAUUGUCUCAUCUCCCGGACGCAUGCUUUCAUUAUAGAUAGAAUUUUUAAGGUUAAAGCAUGCGUGUUUGUUCCCUUGACCUUUGCCAUUUAUCAAGUAUACGUGACUAUGUUGGUUUCUAACUCUGCAAACUUGACAGAUUUAUAUUUAUCUGAUUCCUUUGAUUGAUUAAAAACAUUUUCUUAUGGUCGAGCGUGUUUUUGCGCCACCAGGGCUUAAGAUCAUAAGUUUUCUUAAUUAGUUUAAUCAUUUUCGAUUUGAUUGUUCACCGUCUUUCUUAGUAAAGUUCACACCACCAAAGUGGGAGGGAAGGAGAUCUGAUACGAAUGGAUGACGUGGCACAGAAACGUGUUAGACGACUUGCUUAUGGACACAUGUUCAUUGGCCACCAUAGCGGGGACCAAAAGAAGCUUUCAUUUGAGAUCAUGAUAAUGAAACAUCACUUUACGUUGGUGACCUUCAAAGGGUUCGAUGGGUCUUAUUCCCUUUGUCUUCAACGGGCAAACUAGGCGCGCGAUCAGAUUUGCAUAAUUACAGGUAGUUGUUAAUUGAAGUUCCUCCUACAAUCAGCUGGUGGUGCGUCAAUUUGUGAUUGGUUCACGUCUGCAUUUUGCCAUUUAAAUGGUGGGGAAUUAUACUUGCGUUUGCCAACAUUACAUUGACAUCUAAUUAGGGUUUGACGUGUCUAAAUUAUGAGAAUACGUGCCUUUCUUUUGGUUUAAUUGCUCAAGCUUAGACUUGGAGGAGAAUCACGGCAGUCAGAUACGAGGAUGUAUUAGUUAACCGUCCAUAGUUACGUUUUCAUGUAGCAAAUUGACCACAAGGAGUACUAUCAAAUGAGGACAAUAUCCAUCACCAAAUUGCUAGCUACUCGAUAAUUAAUCAAGACUUGUAUUUCGGCGUGGGGAACCAACGAUCCUGUAUUGAUCCCUGCUCCGAAUGCUCAAUCAUCGACGCGUAGUUGUCUGAGAAAUAGAUUAUUAACACAUCAGAAUGUUGGUGAUCAAUUUACAGGGAAAAGUGAAUUUAUGAUCAAGUGAAUUUGUUGCCUGGUUUUGAAUCAUACAUCAGUGUAUUCCUGUGGAUCUUCUUGUGUGUUCUAUGCUGUUAUGCUUGUGAGAAUAUGACUGGUUGAUCUGUGAGAGGAAAGCUUCAGUUAGGAGGUCAUUCUGAUGAUUAUUGGUAGUUCUCCCCGGCUUCAUUGCUUCAUUGUAUUAUCUGUGCAGAGUUAUAUGUUGUUCUUUGGCUAUUUUUGUUUUUCGCUUUCCUUAGUCUGGGUUGUUUUCUUUGUGUUAAUCUGCCAUAAUAUGAUAUUAUGCAGAUCAUGUACUAAUCUCGCUUGCCAGCUUUUGGCGUUUAAUGAAAUACUUAUCUUUCAAAAAAAGUGAAUUUAUGAUCUGAUAACAAUGAUGAUCACAACGAAAAUAACAGCAAAAGAUGACGAGGACGAGGACGAAGUUGAUGGUAGUGGAGAUGUAACUACAGUAGCAGCCUCGCUGUGAAAAUGAAAGCAAUAAAUAAAUACGUAAUGUAGCCUAAGAUGUUGAUGUUGUAGAUCGAGCAUGAAUUUAUGGUGAUUAGAAGUAUGACUCAGAAACUUAAAGAAAUUAAGAUACUUCAGUCCAGAUUCAAUGGCUUCUCUCAUGUCAAGUCCAUGCUGUAAAAGGACCCGUGUCUUUUGGAUUUUCUUUAUUUCUACUUUUGUGUUUUUUUAAUAAAAUUAACUUACUUCCUAGUUGCGCAAGUCAAUCAAAUCAGUCGUGUAUUACUGUAGUAUGCUAUGAUUAACCACCUUUUAUUCCCCCCUUCCAGAUGCAUACUAUUGCGCCUUUUUUUGUUAUAUAAAAUAGUAAUAUUUUGAUUUAAUUAUAUAAAAGUUAUAUUUAAUCCUUAUAUUAUAGAAAUUAAUUAGAUAAUCCCUUAACCAAGAUUAACCAUCACCAAUUUAUUACUCUUUGUUCUAAAAAUGCCUUUUUUCCUCAUCAUAUUUUCCCAUCAGAACUACUUCUCCUUUCCUCUUUUUUUUGGUAAAAAAAAAAUUAAAAAAAAAAGAUUGUCGAAAGAAUUAAGUUAUAAGCACAUUUAAGAAUAUGGGUUAAAUAUAUAGUUUCUGAAACUAUGAGGAUGAAUUUUUUUUUGUGAAAGACCAUGAAGACUAAUUAAUUAACUCCAUAUCCAUUCGUUGGUUUUUUUUUUCUUUUCCCUGCAAAUACUUGGACCUCGACUGCAUAAUGGAGUAACAUCUCUCACUUUUAAUUACCUUCAUCUCAUCCGCCGAAUGGAACACUAUACUAGCCAACAGUUACUGUUGAUUUGAGAUCUUGGCUAUGACGUGGUAUGUUCAGAUCUUAAGAAUGGCGGAAAGAAAAUUCAGAUACCUUCAUUUUAUAGUCCAGGAUCUACCUCCAAUUUCACCCCAAAUAAAAAAGUAUCAUGAUGUAUUCCGGUGACACCAACCAUUUGUUUCGAUAAUGCUUGGUUUAUUAACAAAACCCACCAAGUGCAUUUUCAAGAAAGAUGAGAAACUUGGCGCGCUCAAGGGAGUGAAAGUCCAUAAUAUUUUGAUUAUGUAAGACUAAAAUACUGGCCCGGUCUGAGUGUUGAAGGUUUAAUCAAGCUGAUUGACAAACAUAGGCAGCCAUGGCCACAAAAGUCAGCAGAAGAAACAAAAUGUUGCAGCAGUGACCAGUCGUUUCAUGGUCUGAAUAGGAUAACUUUCCUGACCUUUGAACAAAGAGCAAUUUUAAUUGAGUUAGUUGUAGAAUUUCAGAAUAACUUCACUUCGCAUCGAGUUGCUGGAGCAAUACUUCCCUUACAUUUCAAUAUGGUGCAUUGCUUUGGGUCAUUAUUUGGACAAACCUUAAGCUCAACGAAAUCAAAUCAUUUUACAUUAUUAUUAAGAGUAAAAUGUGUCAGGAACUCGUCAAUUAUUAGUCCAUUAUAGCCUGGAUCUAAUUUAUUUAACAUAUAUAUAUAUAUAUAUAUAUAUAUAUAUUCAUGAGAAAAACUAGUGAAAAGAAUUGGUCGUGGAUUGUUAAAUUAUGUUAGGAUUUCAUUAAAUAACUCUAAACAAUGUGAUUUUUGUAUAAUUAAUGCGAAUACAAAAUUAAAAAAUAUUUAAAAUACAAAGAUAAUAAAUACCUAAAUCAUCAUAAUUGUUUAAAAUAAUUAAACCCUUGAGGAUAUCUAAAAUUUAACUAUUCUCGACAUGAGACAAUCAGAUCUAAGUCAUAAAGUUAUAUGUUAUUCUUAUACUUUGUUUUGCAAAUUUAUCAGUUAUAUAAUUGGCCUCACAUAAAAUAUGAUAAAAAAAUAAAAAGCAGAAUAAAAAUUUCAUGAAAUCUCCAUGUUAAAAUUUGUGUUCUACGUUAAAUAACUUAAAUAAAGAUUAUUUACAUUUUAAGUUUCCCUGGCAUAUUUUACCCUAGUUUAAGCAUCACAUUCUUUAAUUCUCGCUACUUUGAUCUUAAAAUUAAUUGAAUGAGUUUUUUCCCCGAAAGGGGGAUUUCCUCGUAUCAAUGAAUUGAAUUAACUUUGUGUUCUAAGUGCAACUCUUCACUAGGGCCGGCUUUUGUUUGAUUUUUUUUCUAUUAUUAAUUUGUUUUUGCUAUAAAUGAUAGGUUAGAAUUCCAGUAAUAUUGGUGUUAAGUCGAGCUAGAAUCGAGGAUUAAUUUGUUUGUUUUUUUCCUCUAAAAAUAUUGUAUGUUGUUUUUCACUUUUACUAUCAGUAAUGGUGAUCCUUUUCACCUUUUUUAAUCCAAACAGCUAACAUGCAUGCAUCAUAAAUCAUGGGCAAUAAUUACAGAGGAAAGUAACAAAAGUAUGAAACAGAAUGACGAGUUUGAACUCAGCAAUGCCCCCAAAAGUGGAAAGCAAAGUGGUUGAAACAUCCCUUUUCUUUUUAUACAUCUCCCUAGCUUGGAGGCAUCCGGUUGGUUAAAGCACAACAAAAAUAAUGGAUUGAGUUGAAACAAGCUCACUUAGCUAGAAUAACAGUACUGUGCUACCAUUUCCUUAAUUUAUUACACACAAUUGAUCAAAAGCUGAUAAUUAAUAGACUUGGUAUUAUUUAACCAGACCAUAGAUCAGGAUGUGAACGUUACUAGUCAUUGUGCUUUGCAUGUUAGAGACUUAAAGCAUCAGAUAAAAUUUUAAAUGAUUUAGACCACCUUUUUCUUAUCUUACUGGCAAACUACAAAUGUAAUUCAAUUAGAGACUAGUUUUAUAAAUACUUUGGCCUAAAGUUUCAACACCUAUGGCAGUCUAUAAAGCCAUCUUCAAGACUCCAUUCGUGUGCUUUGCUUAGUUGCUUGUCAACAAAGGAUGCUCAUCAAAUUAAAUUAUUACAUCCAUAUAUAACAAAGAUCUAGAAUGGCUUAACUCAAAGUUAAUAGUAUAAUUUAUGAAUUAAUCAUGUCUUGUGGAGGGGUACAAGUUUGUGAGAUUAACCAGCAAAGGUUUCUAGCUACUUUCCGGUCAACAAAUGGAUCAGGUAGUGCAGUAUUGUAUAAUUUCUUUAAGAAAAACCAGUUUAUUUCAAAUCUAUGUGCCACGGCAUGUGCUAAUGGUCUUGUUUUCCCAGUUUAUUUUAGCUUGUAGUGUUCUCCUUUUCCUUUGGCACCCGAAAUUGCCAUAGAUCCACCACUCACCCAAAUCAGCUUUGCCAAAGAUGUCCCAGCAGCAGAACAAAACAAUAUUAUAUUUGCCAGUCAAAACCAAAGUUUAUAAAAAAACUGGGUUGAAAACAAGGUCAAAGCGAUGAAAAAAAAGGUCAAAUGGCAUAGUUGGAGCACAAAACCGAACCAACCCCAAGUGGGUAAGGCAGGAGUCAGCUCAGCAAGCAUUUUCACAGUUGAAUAACAUCUUCUAAUGAAUGAUAGAGUAGAAUGAAGCACUCUUAAUAAUAAAAUUUGCAAAUGUUAAUUUGCAGGAACACCUAAUUUUCUUUGACAUUGAUUGAAGGGUUGGACUCCUAUCCGCUUCGAUUGUUGAACUUUUCAAAUGGCUUAAACAAGGUUAAAUACGUUUUACAUUUUAUUUUUAUUUUUGGUUAUAACACUCGAGUAUUCUUGUUUGCUAUGAUUAGAAACCUCCUUAAUCAAAUCUUAAACAAGUUAUCAACAUUAAGAUUAGAGUAUUUGUAAUAAAACCCCUCUCUCGUUAAUUUCCUUUCCUUAAAUUCAACCCAACACGAUAGUAUGUCUAGGAAACCAGCUUGUCAUCGGAGCAAAACCAUGUGAACAUGCAUGGUUAAUUGCCAGGAGUUAUAUUUUAGUGGCCUCCGGGACGGCAAGUCUUAUUCAACAGGUUCGAAUUAUCCAAGUUGUAAAGGUCGACUUAUUGGCGGCCUAGCCUCGUGGCCUUUUUUUUUGCGAUUUCUUAUUUGACCCGGAAAUGGGUAGGACGUGGCCGUCCUUUUCUUUAGAGAAUCUAGUAGCUACUAGAUCUCUUACAGGGCCCGUCCUUUACAGACAAGGUCCAAUCACGGCCCACGAAAACCUGGAGAACCUUCCUGAAGCAAGAAGAAGAAGAAGAGGAGAGAUUUUGUUGGUUGAAUUUGCUUUACCUUGCAGUUGCAGUGCUGCACGAACUAAUAUAUGUUAGGUCAAAAGAGAUAGAAGAAGCCACCGUCCUCCAACCAUGAUACUUUUGAAAUGGACUAACCCGUGCAAAAUCUGGGCAUAGAUAGGCUCUGCGUUUUUUCACAAUUUAUCUUGGCAAGCCCACGUUACUGUAGUCACUAAUUACUAGCGGUAUUUAAACCCCGUUUUGCAAUAUCUGAAGUCCUUUCCAAUAGGUGGUUCAAAUUUAAACUCAGAUGGGGCCUCACAGGGAAACCCAGUGGAAGAAUGGACCGGGGUUCAGUAAGGGCUGGGAUAUGGGCUCAUAUCAUAGGGGGCUUUGCAGCUACAGUUGGUAUUUGUAGCUCAGUAUGGGCUGGGAUAUGGUCUGGGCUAUGGGCUGUUAGCAUCGGCUUGGACAUGACUUUGGAGCAAGGAAGGUGUGAGGAAACUGAUGGCGAAGACUGACUCUCAGGUAGUCCUCUGUCUCCUUUAAAUAAAACUGUAACAUGCAAGAUAGUUCACAUGUACCUCUUCGGUUUUAGACUGUGAAAUUAGUUGAAGCUGGUCUAGAUAUCUAUAUUAAUAAUAAUAAUAAUAAUAAAUAAAUAAAUAAAAGAAUUUGAAGGUUCUGCGCGUGUACAGGGAGGGGAAUAUCUGUGCAGACAAGCUAGCAAGCUGCGAAACUUGGGUGUCUCGUUGCUGAAUGGUAUCACUGGACCUACCAUCAUGGGAUUGCAUUUGGGCUAAUCUUACCGGGCUAGGAAUGACUUUUUCAUCAAAUUCUUUCACCACUUCACUUGUGAACAUUAAUUAUAUUUUAUUCAACUUAAUUAUUUACUGUUUUUUACUAAAUCUCGUCACUUAAUAUUCAUGAAAAUUCAAUCCAAUUCAUGGUAACAUUUUUUUUAUUAUUUUUAAAUGACCUUGAAUGUCUUUAAAGGAAUUUAAACACGUAUUUACACUGUAUCAUUUAUAUAUGUAUAAAUAUAUACAUUCUAGAAUACGUGUUAAUUGAAUAACAUUGUAUAUGAUGAUGAAUAGUUGAUUUUUUAUUUGAUUAGUAGUUGAGUUUGAUACAUAGCCGAAUAUAAAAAAAUAAUUUUUUAAAUAUAUAAAAAAUAUUUUGUAUAUUAUAAUAUUAUUUCUAAUGGAAUGUAUAACUCAAUAUUGAUGGACAAGAAAGAAAGAAAAAUAGUUUUAAAAAAGUAAUUGAAAAAAAUAUGAGUCAACUCGGGUUAAUUUACAAUCUUUGUGACCAUAGGUGUAAGAUUAGGAUAACCCAGUAUAAAAAAAAGAGAAAAAAAGAUGCGAAGACUAGUUUUCAACAAAUUAAAUAUUAAAUGAUUAAAUUGAAAUAAAUCAAUUUUUUAAAAAUGACUAUAAAAACAAAAAUCAACCCACAUUAAGCUUUAAAAUUGAUGUCCUGGUCAUGAAUCAAAAACUAAUCUCAUACAAAACAAGUCCUGAAAAAUAAUAAAGAAAAGAUAUAUAAAAAAGGUUUGAAAAUAAAAAACACUGGCUUUUAAAAAAUAGGGGAAAGCAAAUCUUUUAGACAUGGUCCAAGCUCCAAAGCUUGUAAUGGGUAAAAUCUUGGACUCUAUUGAUCUAGAUUUAACAAAUCAAAGGGAUCAAAUAUGAAGAAUUAACAAAUUAAAGGGUUGAUUUAUAUUUUUUAACGGGCUAGCAUGAAAAUCUAAGCUGCGAAAAAAUAAAUGAUCAUUAACGCCAGACUGUUGGGAAUCUUAAAGCACGUGUCGUCUCGUCGUGUAGGGGGUGCCAUGACAAUUCCAAUGCCUCUGAUAAAAGGUUGAGUUCGGUGGCUAGGUGACCCUCCACACGCCUCCCACAAACACUUUAGCAAGUUUUUGUUUUUUUAAUAUUUAAUGUCUAUUAAAAUACAACAAUGUCUCUACACUAACAUGAUAUUACAAAAAAAAAAAAAAACAACCCUCGUUAAAAAGUAAUGUUGAUAAUGUCUUCAAGGACACCAAAGUAACUUAACUAUUUUUUUAGAAAAAGACCAUAACUCCCCUGAUUGAAAGGCAACAUAAUUUUUUAUAUUAGGGGUAAAUAAGUAUUUUUAUUGUAUAAAAAAUAAAUUUAUCAAUUUAUCCCUACACAAAUUAUUAAGAACAAUUGUGUUAAAGUAAAAAGAAAAUUCUACUUCAAUACCUAAUUGAAAGUUUUCUCAAGCAACUAGCAAUUUUUCUAAAUCACUAUUACAAUGAGGUAGUCUCAAUCUAAAGCUAUAGUAAUUCCUCCUUAACCUUUAAUAUUUUUUAUUUUUAUUUUCAAUUUAAUUUAAUUUCUCAUGGUUGAACAGAAAGGUAGACUUUGUCUGCCACUAUAACUAUAACUUUUACCAAAGUUAAACAACUAGAAAAAGCUGAUAAAAAAAAUUACUUGUCUAUUAUCCACCUUCUAUUACUAGAAUCCAAUAUAUUGAUGUAAUUGAUAGUAUAUUGUAAAACAUUUAAAAGUUCAGAAUAAUUUUAAACCCAUAAAAAGUGAUGUUGGUGAAGAAGAGUGCUAAUUUACUUGAAGAUUUCUCAAAAUAAAUACCUAAAAAAUUACAUCGAAUCUGUUUAUGAGUUUUUCAUGAAGGGAUACAGGGAAGAAAUUUUUUGAUUAAACUAGCAAUACUUGUAACUGAGAAACUAGUUAUUUUCGUGUUUUGCUAUGAAUUGAAUAAUUGUUUUUAACAAGAAAAAAUAGAUGUAUAAGAUUUUUAAAUGUAUUUUUUAAAAUUCCAGUUAUAAAUCAAAAAGGCUUAUACAUGUAUUUAAUUAAAUACAACGAGAAACAUCUAUGUUAGUAAAUACAAAAAACAAAGUAUUAACAUGUCAAUUCAACUUGUCUCGCUAUAAGUCGACUAAUUUAUUUUUCUAACGCAAAAGAAUUUAUGUGUAGAUAUUAUUGAUGUAUUUUUUAACAUUGAAUAAAAAAUAUAAUCGUGAAUAAAAAAGUCAAUGCUUAUAUAUAAUAAACCAUAAUAAAAAUCACAUGUGUUAAUAAAAACACGCAAGAUUUCAAACUUAUUUUUAACAUAGCAGAAUAAUGAAAACAAAGUUGCAAUUACUACGAUGUUUUAUUUAGUUUUUGUAUAAUAUUUUUUCUUUAAAAAAAGUGCAAAGAAAUUUUUUUUAAUUUUUUUUUCAAAAAAAUAAAGAUAAGAACAAAAAUAAUAGUAUAAAUAGGUCAAGUGUAAAGUGAUAAAUAUUUAAAGUAUAAGAAAAUAAUAUUUUUUUUCAAAAAUAAUAUAAAGAAAAUAAAGGAAAACCUAAAAACAUAUUUAAAAAAUAAAGAUAAAAAAAUAAUAAUAAAUAGACCAAGUAUAAAAUGAUAAAAAUUUUAAAUAUAAAGAUGGAAAAAAUUUAAGAAAAACUUGUUUUCUAAAAAAAAACUUUAAAAACUAUAAUUUUUUUACUUUACAAUAAAAAAAUUAGUAAAAUUUAUAAUUAUAUUAUUUCUGCAUGGAAACACCAUUUUUUGUUUUUAGUACACGUAUAAUAAUAAUAAUAAUAAUAGUAUAAUGUUGUUAAAUCACAAGUGUAGAAUUUUAAUAUUUAUGAAUUUACAGCGGUAAAGAAAAGGAAAGGGAAAAUCAUGCAAUUGGUCGGCUGCUCCUUUACACGUACGACGUUCUUCUUUUCAAGGACCUUUAAAAACUCUAUUCAUUAUGCGAAGUUUCCCAGUCUUCCUCUUCUUCUCCAAGUCUUGUAAAACUGAAGACGAAUUCCUUAAAUAUCUAUUUUAAACCCGGAUCUAUUGUUUUAAAACCGGUGAUAUUAGAGUUCGACUCAGAAGAGAAACGAUGUUUUUCAACGGCGAUCCAUCGACACGGAAGCGAGUGGAUUUAGGAGGUCGGAGUUCGAAGGAAAGAGAUAGGCAGAAGCUUCUUGAACAAACUAGAUUGGAACGGAAUCGUAGGUUGUGGGUGAAGCAACAGAAUGCUGCUGCUCUCAAAAUUCAAGUUAGCUUUUGCUCCUAUUAUUAUUAUCUUUGUUUCUCAAUUGAUUGUAAUUUACGCGUGUUAAUUUGUAUUCUUUUUAGUUCAUUAAAUUCAAUGCCAUGUUUGUUCACGCGAAUGCUAUAUGCUCUACACGUAACGGUGCUGUUUUAGGCAUGGAAUCUUGUUGAUUUAGAAACUAGGGAUGGAAGGAUCACGAGAAUUAGGGUUUUUGUCACUUCAUUGCUUUAGUUGCUCAAAGUCAGUUACAAUCUGUGUUUGAUUGAAAAUGGAUUGUUUGAUUUCUUUGUCCUGUUAGAUGUUGUAGCGAGAAAGCUUUUGCAAGGUCAAUUUUAAUCUAAAUAAAGAUCCCAUGUGGUGGCUUUUUUAGUUGAUAUAAGUAUUUGUUAGGACUUGUAAUGCAUUUGUUGCAAAGUGCUUACUAAUUAGUAACUACAGAAAUGGUUUAGAGGGAGAAAGGCAGUGGAGGCUGAACAGUCUACGGUUCGAGAGCAGUUCUUUGGAACCUAUGGGAAGUAUUGCCAAAAUGUAGACAGGUAAAGCGGCAAUGUCCUCAUCUUAAUGUUAUUAAUAGCAGUUGUGACAAUUUAUUGUGGAAGUCUGCGUGAUACCCUUUUUGAUUGAGAUUCUAAAUUCUUCCUCCAAAUUGUCCUGUGUAUCCAGGCAUUGUUUCAGUCCAGAUUCAGAGUUCCUCCGGCAGCUGUUAUUUUUCUUCAAUGCACAAAAUAGUGAUGAUUUCACUAUCCUUGUGGAGACUUGCCGAUUGCUUCUGCAAAAUGUUCGAGAUAGUGGUAUUUCCAUAACUGUAAAACUUCUAAAAUGGAAACCUUACAUGUAUGUUUAUUUAUUUAUUUUCUAAAAAACACAAUGUCAAACCUUACAUGUAUGUUUAUUUAUUUAUUUUCUAAAAAACACAAUGUCAUCAACAAGGGAAGCUUGUCCAAUCAUAAGAUAUCCUCGUGUACAAAUUCAAACUUGUUUGAGUUGUACUUUCUCUAUGUAAGAAUGUCUCUGGAUUUGGCAUUUGUUGCAUUUCGAUUCUUGACAUGCUGAUUAUAUUUUGCUAUUUUAUUUUAGCCUUCAACAUUUGUAGCGCUUUUGAAUUUGACAUUUAAAUGACAAUCUAAAGUGGCCGUGGCGGAAAAUUUAUUAAUUUAAUAUUUGCUCCUGACAGUGGAUGGCAAAUAUUAAAUUCCAGAAAAAGGAGACAAGGACUAUAAUUUUGGGAUGUUAUGCUGCUUUAGGUUGUACCAUACUUGUUCCAACCUUUACAUUUUUCUGAGAAACUCUGAUACACAGACUUGUGAGAAAGUGCUUUAAUUCAAGCAUUUUUUACACUCAGAGAGACUAGUAUACAACCGAGCUAUUUUCUGCCAGCCCUUUGUUUAUUUGGGAAGGCACCUAGCCCCCUACCCACCCAACCCAACCCCACCCCUUUACUGAAGAUUGCCAACGGGUUUGAGCCCCCUUUACAACUGAAGUUAAGUACAACAGUAAAAGAAAUAACAAAAGCCAUAAAGCCAAUCUUUUUUUUUGUUAACGAGGUUUAUUGUCAUCUGCAGGGUGAAAUCCUUCCCUUCAUUGAUGAACAGUGACAAACCAUUCAGAAAUCAGGAUGUCACUGUUUAAUAAAAGCCUUCUAGGAGAUUUGUAUUUUUCAACAUAAUAAAAUCAAACAAUGUCAUUGUUUAGCAAAUGCAGAUCAUUGGUUAUGGAACUUUUUGUCUGGGUCAGGUGUGAAGAUUGCCAUCGAUGUUCUUAGAUGGGCCCACAUAAUUAAUCAGAAGCAUGUUCUAGGGUGGCCCUGUAACAAACUCUGUGCUGUUGUGGUAAUAGUUAAGAAGCAUGAACAAUGAGCUAUCAGCUAUGGUGCCAUAAGGCAUCUCUUCUCUCCAUAAUGAUGGGAUUGAGGGUGAGUUUGAGGGUUCAUCCCACUUGCAUAAGUAAUUAUAGUGGCCCAUUGAUGAGAAAUGGAAAAGGGAGGAAAAAACAUAAAGUGCAGUCUAUUUGCAAAUUGCUGGGUGUCUUUGUUUGUUCCUAAUUUUGGACUCGAUUGCUUUGUUUCAUUUUACUAGGUUCACUAGUGCAAGUAAUGCGUUAUUGAAAUUCCACUGCAUUUCUCAGUUUCCCUCUCAAUGUACUCCAUUUGCAGCACAGCAUUUUACCAGUUUGUAUUAACAAUCUGUCAUUAUUCAACAGGGGACAUUGUGAGCCUAUUUGCUGGUGUGGACUAUUCAACCAAGCAUGGUUUGGUGGACUAUAGGGUCAAGCAACUUGCAUUUACCUGUAUUUGGGCUAUCUAUCAAAAUAGGUUUGCUUUGUGAACACCUGUUUGAAUAUAUCUGAAAUCUGCUGAACUUUCAGCUCUACUGAAUUUGGGUGCUAGUUGGAUGCAAUAUUUUCCCUGUUAUCGUGCUUGUGCUAAACUCUAAGUACAUGAGAGGCGUCGUCUCUUGAUUCUGUUUCCAUGUGUAGUCAUAUCCUGGUCAUGAUUUUGACUAUUAUAGCUCUAGGCACUCUAUUAUGCAGACCCUAACAAAAGUUCUUUCCUGUCUUAAAUUUUUUAACCUUACAUCGAUUGAAUUCUGAAUGUCACUAUUAAAUCUCCUUAGUCUGGAGGUAAAACUCCCAGCAUGGACCCGAUUUAUACUUGCAUAGGGUGUGCCAAGUUUCAAUGGCUAUGUAUUUGAAUUUUUAUUGGCGCAAAUAUUAUUUUAACAUGUUGGAUUUUACUCUCUGUUUUUUUAUUGCUUUUUUGCUUCAAUUGACCUUGCAUGUCUAUUAUUACUUGUGACGUACAUGCUUGCUGUUUUUAGGAUUUAUUUACAUUUUGCUUAACUUUUGUGGUUUUGAUGGACAUGUGCUUAUGAUGUCUGAUAGCCAGUACAUUCUCUUAGAAUUGUUCUUUGAGACAAUAUUUUUUAACAUUAUCCUUAAUUUUAACAAAAAAAAUUUAACUACCUUGCUGAUACAUGAUGCCUAUUGGCAUUUUGAUUGUGGAGCAGAAAACAAUUGAAGGAUCAACUUGUGAUGGUGCCCAGGGAUUCAAGCCUAACAGCAACUCUCUUGCUGGAAGCUGUAGUUUUGCUGAUCGAUCCCAAACUUCCAUGGGCUUGCAAGGUUGUUGGUUAUCUCUUGCAAAGGAAUGCAUUCGCUCUAUUUAGAGAAAUUGUCCUAACAGGAAAGGUAUGCAUCUAAUUAUUACAAAUGCUUUCUUGGUUUUUGAUUUUGUGCUAGAAGGUAUAUUCUGCAUAAUGUGCCAUUUCUUUCCAUUAGCUUUCUACUAACUUCCAUUAUAAACUUACAUUUCUGUUUUCUUACUAAAAUUGUCUGCAUGCAAACAUGCACUACCAAAUUCCAUAUCUGAAAUUUUGUAACCUUAGAGUCAUAAUGUUGUAACUACCAUAGUCUAAAAACUUGCCCAAAUUAACAUGAUUUGAAUAGCAUGUAUAAUGGAUACAUAUCUUUCAAAAGCAUGCUACUAUGAGGCAAAAGAAGUAAGACCAUCGGUUCGUAAGGUAAAAUAAACUUUGAAUACCCCGAAUCAUCGUCUUGUUUCCUGUAUUGGUAACAUGGCUUAUGGCUGCACUCUAAGGGCACUUUAUUUUCAGCCAUUCUUUUGCCAAGGAACCCAAAAAAUCAGAUGUUACCUUCCAUUAAUUUUCUUUUUAAUAUAACUGCUGCAGAAGAAUGAAAAAAGUUGCAGGAAUUUGGCUCCACACACACAGCUAGAGAGGGUCUGAGAUAAAUCAACUGAAAAAUGCGAAUAGAGAAUGCUGUGAAGUUUCCAACUUUUCAUUUUUUUCCUUCUUAACAUGAUAACCAUGUGUUUUUGGGCUUGUGAUCUACCUUUAUAAGAAUUGAUCCUUUUAAUAAAAAUAGUGCAGUAAUAAAAAAAGACUUUAUCAUAGUUCAGGAUGCUAGCAAUUUGGCUGGGAUUAAAAGCUGCUGAACCUGGACAUGAACUUGUUAAGGCCUGUUUGUUUUCGCGUUUCAAAAGCGCUUUUGAAAAAAAUUGAAAUUUUUUUAUUUUUUUGUUUCAAAUUAAUAUUUUUUUGGUGUUUUCAGAUCAUUUUGAUGCGCUGAUGUCAAAAAUGAUUUUUAAAAAAUAAAAAAAUAUUAUUUGAUACAUUUUUGAGCGAAAAACACUUUGAAAAGCAACCACUACCACACUCACAAACACCCCCUAACUGACAAAUGCACAUAUUAGUUGUGGUGGUUAUUAUUUCUGAUUUUGCUGUGCUGCUUAAAAUCUGUCUGGUAAUUACGCUCACCCUAUUCUGAAGUAGUUACAGAUUACUGCAUGUGGUUUUCCUUAAUAAUGUGCAGGAGAAUACGAAGAGUGACAAUUCCAUUAGAAAUGCAUCUCCAUUGGAGCGUAUUCUUGCCCUUUUGAUAUCUCACAUUGGUCAGCAUCCGUGUAUUUGCCCCAACAUUAAUCCGCAAUGGAGUUUCUCUUCUCAGAUGCUGACAAUCCCUUUAUUAUGGAGACUUUUUCCUAGUUUAAAAGAGGUAUUUUGUUUUAAUGUUUCUUCUGGUGGAAUUAAUUGCCUUCGUUUUUUGUUAAAAUUCUAUGCAAUAUAGACAACUGUGGCAUUACUUGUCAUGGAAAAAAAAUGCAGCAGACUGUUUCUUUUAUUUUAUUGAUCUUGUUGAAUGGGAUAUGCAAUUUUUUCCUACUUGUUUUCUUCUGAGCUGAGCUGAAAAUCAUGUAAUUGUUGUUUGGACUGCUUAUUGUUUCUUAGGAUUGUUGCAUAAGUGACUUUUUCCUUCCAGGUUUUUGCAACUCGGGGGCUGAGCCAACAUUACAUUCAUCAGAUGGCACAAUGUGUGCGGAAUGCCUAUGUCCUGCCCAAUGAUGUUUCUGUGGAAUGUCCUGGUUAUGCCUGUCUCCUAGGAAAUACGGUAGAAACUGCAGGAGCUGCUUUGUCUCAUGCUGACUGUUCCUUUGAGAUGGUAAGGAAUUCAUGAUAAAUCAUAGUAGAUAAUUGUGUUAUUGUAUAAACACACACAAAAAGAAUACAAUACAUCUGUAUGGAUUAAUAUAUUAUUUGUUGAUAUAUAACUUCUUUUCCCUCUUUGCAAGAUGCAAAACUACUAGCUGCUUUCAAAAUGUAAACUAUAGGUUGUAUGUUUAAGGAUCGUGAUAGUCAGGCAAAAGAUUUUGAAACAUUAUGGGAAAAGGAGGCUGGUUACCUACCAAAAUUAUAUGAAUCUAAGACUUCUGAAGAAAGAUAUUGAUGGAUUACCAUUGUGUGAGGAGUCUUUCAUGCUUGACCUUAAGAACCUAUGACUUGCUGUUUUGACAGCAUUGAUAUGACUUGAAAUACAAAACCAGACCAUACUGACACAUUAUUAGCUUGAUUUUGUGCUUAAACGCUUAAUUUUAUCCAAGUGGAUCACCACGCUGCCUGAGACCUCACCCGUUGUGGUUUUGAUUCAGCUGUUAAGCAAUCCAUAAAUUUUCCUCAAGUAAGAUUUAAAAUUCGUUUUUUGACAACUGCACAUGAAUACUCUCUAAAUCUUUUCUCUGCUGUUUCAUGUAUGUUUAAUGUCUGGUUUGCAGAUUUCUAUCAUUUGUAACCUAUGUUUUUUUCUUUUCACCAUUGAAGAUUUGUGAACUUUUUCCUUUUGCUUCCUUUACAAAUUCUGGAAAUGAUAUAUGGUGAUGACCACUUUAACUUAUUUUAGUUUUGGGGAAGUUAAAGUAUUGCUAAUUAUGAAAAUCUGUAACUUUCUUUUCUUGACUGACAGUUUAGAUCUUUCUCAUCAUUUCCCCUUAGGAUUAAAAGAGAAUAAUUGUUGUUAUCUUUCUUAUCCAACUUGCCAAAUGUGUUACAGCUGGGAAAUUUUGAUUCAACUUUUGUGGAUUCUGAAACUAAUUUUCUUUCUUGUUUAUUUCAAUUAGGCUAUGGACCUUGCUGCUGUUACAACAUUCUUGUUGGAGGCACUUCCUCCUAUAAAAUCGUCAAGUCCGGAAAUUAGACAAAGUAUGCACUCUUCAUGAUAUAUCAAAUUUAUUUCUUUCCUUGAUAAGUGCCUGCUGUGGAUUUUCUCUAUCUGGAAAUUCUUACUUAUACCAUAACCCUUUGCAUAAUCUUCCAUUCGUUCAUUAACCUUGUGGAAGCUGAAUUACUGUCUUUUGAUCUGAGUGUAUACAUGUAAUUGGUAAACUUCAGGUUCCACUAUGGAUGAGGAUGAUAUGGCUUUGCCUGAUGAAAUGGAAAUAGUUUUAAACAAGGAUUUGGAACAACAGAUAGCCCAUGCUAUGCAUUCCCGCUUUCUCUUGCAAUUGGUAUGUAACAUGCUUUUUUUGUAUCAGCUUGACAUUAAAUUGGCCUAUCUAUAAUAGUGAAAGCAAUCUUGACCUUUUAGAAUUAAAAAAACUAAGCAACUUUUUUGACUUUGUUUUCAAGCAGACAAGUGUUUUAUUUCGGGAGGUUUCAAUGGUCAGUGGUUCAAACCAUGGACUGGAUGACAAAGAGGUUGCAGCUAUUGGUGCUGUUUGUGCCUUUUUGCAUGUUGCUUUCAACACCUUGCCAGUCGACCGAAUGAUGACUGUAUUGGCAUUUAGAACUGAACUUGUUCGAGUGCUUUGGAAUUUUAUGAAGCAGUGUCAUGAGAAUAAGAAGUGGCCAUCCUUGCCUGAGCAGUUGUCAUAUCUGCCAGGAGAUGUACCUGGCUGGCUGUUACCUCUGGCUGUUUUUUGUCCUGUAUACAAGUCAGCUUCUCUCUCUCCCUUUGGUGGUUUCAUUUCCUUCUUGUGCUGACAUGUUAUUCUGUUUUUUUCCAUUUGGUUUUAUAUAUCCCUUUUAUAUUCUAGAUUAAUGUGUGGCUGUAUCUGGUCACGUUAGUUGUUUGUUGCCCUUCCCCUUGCUUCUUGAAGAAGCGAAUAUUUCUACUCUUAAUUGUUUUCAUGGUUUGCCAGGUACAUGCUUAUGUUAGUUGGCAAUGAGGAGUUUUAUGAGCAGGAGAAGCCAUUGUCAUUGAAGGAUGUUCGGUGUCUAAUUGUUAUUUUGAGACAGGUAACUUAUCAUGGAUGAAUUUUAGAUCAACAAGCUGUAAAAUGAAGACUUGAACCGGAGGCUUUCUGUAUCUAGCCACCUUGUUCUUACAUGUGUUGCUGCUUUCUAAUGUAAAUGUGUUAUAACUCCAACUUCUGUUUCUUCAUUUUCUAUUUUCUGCAGGCCCUAUGGCAGCUCCUGUGGGUGAAUCCUACAGCACACAGUAAUUCAGUUAAACUUGUUAAAAACACUUCUGCUUAUAACGGGAACCCUGUUGAAUCUAUUAAACAGAGAGUUAGUCUUGUAGCCUCUGAACUCCUCUCUCAGGUAAUUCUUAAUCUGUUGAAUUUUUUUAAUCUGAAUUACUCAAAGUCUUACUUGCAGGUCAUCCUAUUGCAAUUUGUUGUUUUAAUCGCUAAUCUAGUCACUGUAGAUUCUGUAAAUGUUUUUGGUUUGAUAGAAUAUUCACUUGUAUUUUGCUUAGACUAUGCUAGCAAUAUGCAGGAGAUAUUGUUCCUUUAGUUUAUUUUUUUUUAAAAUUUUUAAUGGAAUAUUAUUGUAGUUGCAAGAUUGGAAUAACAGACGACAAUUUGCACCACCCAGCGAUUUCCAUGCUGAUGGCGUUGAUGAUUCAUUCAUUUCUCAGGUAGUAUUUUAUCUCAAAUGUAAUCUUCAGGUUCCUGGAACCUAGCUGUUAUGAUGUUGAUUUUGCCCAUUUUCCCUUUUCAGGCUAUAAUAGAUGGAACCAAGGCAAAUGACAUUAUGAAUCGGGCUCCUUUUUUGGUACCUUUUACAAGCAGAGUAAAAAUAUUCAAUGUAAGUCUUGUCACAAAGUUGCACUCAAAAGAAUGUGAAGCUGUGAGGAAUAAAGUGUCAGUGUAGUUAUUUAUAUAAAUUUGUCUUCCAGUCACAAUUAUUGGCCAUUAGGCAAAGACAAGGAUCCCAUGGUGUUUUCACGAGAAACAGAUUCAGAAUACGACGGGACCAUAUUUUGGAAGAUGCUUAUAAUCAGAUGAGUGCAUUGUCUGAGGAGGAUCUUCGAGGAUUGGUAAUUCAUUUGUUUUACACAUUAAUUUCCAAAAACAAAUAUUUUCAAUCAGAAUACGACACUAGAGUAAUCAUGUUUGGUUGUUCACCUACAGAUUCGUGUAUCAUUUAUUAAUGAGUUUGGAGUUGAGGAAGCUGGCAUUGAUGGUGGUGGCAUUUUUAAAGAUUUCAUGGAGAACAUUACUCGAGCUGCCUUUGAUGUGCAAUACGGGUUGUUUAAGGUGAUAAAUUUAUGUUCUGUGACAUCCAUGCAUUUACAUGCUUCAAGUUGAAAGCUAAACCAGUCUGUGUGAACUUGCAUGAGUUGAAUCAAAGCAUACACCCAGGAGUACAAAGAUAUUCACCCAUGUAUAAUGCUGUGUUAUGACUUACAACAUAUAUAAAUUUUAUAUGAGGUCUCUUAAAUAAUAUUGGGAUAUAUUACAACAUUUUGAAUCUUUUGAUGGCUGCUGUUUUUAUGCAUGCAUGUUUGAUGUGUUACAUAUCAGCAAAAGCACUUUCCUUGUCUUCUUCUUUCUUGCUUUAAUUUAUGUUGUUGUACCUUCUACCUGAUGUUUUGUGACUGUCUGCUUGGCAUUGUACAUUCAGGAAACAUCUGAUCACCUACUCUACCCCAAUCCUGGAUCAGGAAUGACACAUGAACAACAUCUCCAGUUUUUUCAUUUCCUUGGAACUCUUCUUGCAAAGGUUUGAUUUGCUCUCUCAUUCAACCGAUUCAUCACAUAAUAUUUAAUGGUGUUGAUUGCAUGGUUUGGAGCUUCAAGGUCAAUUGCUUUGUCUUUUAAUGCAUAUGAAACCUAUAGAACAGCAUGUGCCUAACAUAAACUAAAUUUUACUGCUGGCAUCUGAAGAUUUGCAUGUUAUAGCAACAUGGGCCUGCACUUUUUCAUGUUCAAUCUUUGAUUGUCCACCUUAGGUUAUUGAAUUUGAUAUAUCUUGAAUAAGAAUAAUACCAACAUUUUUAAUGUAAUAUACAUAAAUGUUUUUGUGCACGUAAGUGUUUUUGAAUUGAUUUUGUAGUAUUAUAUCUUAUCAUUUGCUAAAAUAUUGUGAUUGUGAUUUUGUUUUAUAUUCUUUUUUAACCAAAUGUCAUGGUCAUAUCUUACACGAGAUAAAAUGGUGUAAGAUAUAUUCACCUAAAAUGGGUAUCAUAGUACUAGAGAGGAAUGAUUAACCUAACUAUUUUCAGAUAGUUCACACCAAAUAACUGGAACAGGGCCUUUUGAGUUGCUGAUGGGACCUUUGGAGUCUUAAAUGUCUGAAAAAAUUAAAAUUUCUUUUCCACCAUUAGGUCAUUAUGCUGGUAAUUUUAUGUCCGCUAAUUUAUGUGGAAUGGACAUAUAAAUUAGAUUUUAAGUUGGAGCUCUCAUGCACGAGUACUGUUGUUUUAUUGCAGACAGCUUUGCAACCCUCUUAAUUUGUACAGAAGAUUGUGGAAUUCCCUUCUCUUAUAUAAGUAUUUUUUUUGUUACAAAGUAGAGGCUCAAACUCGAGACCUCUUAAUGAGAGGGGGAACACCACUGCCAGUCGAGCUACUGUUCACUGGCUUAUAUAAGUUUGAUCAUGCUUUGAAGCUUGCAACAUGCCACCGAUUGCAAAAAGCAUUCCACUUAUCUUAGUUUUAUUUCUUGGUCCCACACAAAGAGCCUUUCCAGGGUUUAAUACUGAAAUCCCUAUUGGUCUUUGUCCUUUGUCUCCUCAAUAUGAAGGAUCUAAUUAUGUAUCCUUAUCCGGUUCCCUGUUACUCUUCUCUGUGCAGGCUAUGUUCGAAGGUAUUCUUGUUGAUAUACCUUUUGCAACAUUCUUCCUAAGCAAAUUAAAACAGAAGUAAGUUUUCAAUGCUAUACCCGCUAAAUUGUAGCUGUUUUUGGACCUUUUUAAUUUUUCAUGGCUGCUACCUUCGAAUUCCAUGCUUUAUAUACAAAGUGGCGGAUCCAUAGUGUAAUUAGCGGGGUCAAUUGACCCCACUCAGUUUUUUUAAAAUGGUAAUAAUAUAUGUUGGAUAUAAAAUUAUAUAGUUGUUUUCCUAAAAUGACCCCAUUAAAUAAUGCCAAAAGUAAAAAACAAUUAAAGAGGAGGGCCAAAUUUGUAAUUAUAAUUACCUUGUACAGGUAAAGAAGAAAAAAAGGAAAUUAUUUUGAAAGCAUGUUAUGUUAGGAAUAAAAGAGUUCACAUAGGAAAUGGUUGAGAGAAAUAGGGAUUGAUAUUUGUAGUAGACUCAUAUUUGUAUUAUAGUUCUUAAUUGUUUCUUCUCCAAUCUUCACACCUCAUUUUAUAAUCUUUCGAAAAGCUAAAUCAAAUUUAAUCAUUUAAAAUUUUUAAUUGUUUGGAAAACGAAUGGUAUGGAAGUGUUUUUCUAAUAAAAAAUGUCAUUAUUUAUUGAUUCAUUGCUUUUAUAUCCACCUUUUCUUUUCCUUAUAUUUGAAAGUUUUUAAAAGAAAUUAUUUCUAAAUUAAAUUUUUUUUAAUAUAUUUAUUUAGUUUUGAAUUAAUUUAGUAUACAAAUUUUUUUAUAAAAAUAUUAUUAUAAUAUUUACAUAAAAUUAUUUUUGCAAUAUGAUUAAGAGCUAUUAAAUGACCCCGCUACAAAAAUUCUGGAUCUGCCACUGUAUAUGUAUGUAUUUUUUGCAAAGCAGAUACCUUAGGAAUAAUUAAUUUUGAACUAUCUGUGCAAGUUCAUAUUAUUUUAGUUUAGGAAAUAGAAACUAAUUUUGACAAUUUCACCUAUUUGGUUUUUCGUUACCAUGUACUAUCUCUACCUCAAUUUUAGUAUUUAUUUACGAGUUUUGUUGGUUGAUCAGGUACAACUAUUUGAAUGACUUGCCUUCACUGGAUCCAGAAUUAUAUCGCCACCUUAUUUUCCUGAAGGUACUAUUGUUAUUGUCUUCCCACUGACCAUGAAUGCUUCAGUAACUGCUACUGUCUUGUCAGCUAAACAAUAAACUUCUGUUUGCACUGAUUCUUUAGCAAGCAGGAACCUGGAAAUUCAUCUAUAAUUGUGCUUGAGGUACAAAUAAAUCCCCUUGAAAUGAGCUGCUGUUAAAAAUGGAGACACUGUGUCAACUAAAGUAGAAAGUUUGAAUUAACUCUAUUUUGGGGGGAUCCAUCAUAAUGUUAUAUGUCUAUGGGAUAUGUCUUAAGGGAUUGAAAUAGUGUUUUAUUCAUUUGAAUUGCUUAGCCAAAUACAGAACAUAGUAGUUCAUUUUCAUGAGCUGGAUAAGUCUUUAUGCAAUUGGUUUUUGCUAUUGAUCAGCUGUUAUAGCUUUUAUUCCUGUCUGUCCCAAAAAGAGUAAUUGCUCCUAUUAGUUGACCACCUGACUUCCAUACUUUUGGUGUCAGAAAUGGGACCAGAAUGGGGUCAUGGUCUUGGGGAAUGAAAUAGCUUUUACUUUGUCAUAGAAGGCCAUUUACAAGCAGGCAUGCCCAUCUAGAGGGUUUUAGAUUAUAUGGUGCUGGUUCAAUUUUCUGUAGGGAGUCAAUUAUAUUUUCCCUUAUCCUUUUCAGAAGCAGGCAGGCAUGUCCAUGUAGGGGGGGUUAAGAUUAUGUGAUUCUAGUUUCAUUUUCUGUAGGCACUGAAGUAUAUUUUUCCUUCUUUCUCGUCCUUUUGGUGUUGGAAUGGAACUUUCAACUGAUGCGGGGAAAAAAAAGAGAGAAUCUCCAUCUGUAUGACAUCCUCUCAGAUUCUCAUUGGUUCUUUUGAUUUUAGGUUCUCACCUUUUUCUUUACUUGCAUUUAUCUUAACUGCAGCGUUAUCAAGGUGAUAUUUCUGACUUGGAGCUCUACUUUGUCAUUGUAAAUAAUGAAUAUGGCGAGCAAACAGAAGAAGAGCUGCUUCCUGGGGGACGAAACCAACGUGUUACUAAUGACAAUGUCAUUCCUUUUACUCAUCUUGUAUCUAAUUAUCGUCUGAAUUAUCAGGUAUUCCAGCAUUUCAUUAGUAGUUCAUCUAGUUCACGCAAUGUUGUCAUCUAAUCAUCGUAGUAAUCACUUUCAGAUACGUUUGCAAAGUUCUCAUUUCAUGAGGGGCUUUCAGCAGCUUAUAAAGAAAGAAUGGAUUGAUAUGUUUAACGAGCAUGAACUUCAGGUAUUCUCACCCAGAUUCUUAUGAACAAAUCAUGCUAGCUUUGCAUGAGAUGGAUACCUUGCAUUGCUAAUCUCAUAUUUAACAUCAGUAGAAAAAUUAUACACUAAAGAAUCAUCAGCCUUAUGUGUAAACUUAAAAAUAUCUCCCAAUCCCUUGUUCCCUCCUUUAUUUGACGUAGCUACUAUUUGUUUACAGCUCCUGAUAUCAGGUUCACUUGACAGCUUGGAUAUUGAUGACCUGCGCAGUCAUACCAAUUAUGCGGGUGGUUAUCAUAGCGUAAGUUAAUUUUGUUUGUCUUAAUUGUAAAGUUCUAGUUGGAAAAAUAUGAGUAUCCUUAAUUUUCUAUUGCAGCUUCUUAUGUGUAUACAGAGAAACAAAAGUAUGCAAGAAGAGAGAAAAAAAGAGAAAACCUUACACUUAACAACUGCUCUCUUAAAAAUUAUGAAAAAAAUGCAACCAAAUGAUUUAAUUUAAAGAACCUCAAUUAAGCUCACAAUUUCUCCCCGACAACAAAGUCCCACUAUAAACAAGGUGAAACUAAUCCUACUCACCUGCCAACACGCCAUCCUCUCACCAUUCAUAAUCGUGCAUGCAUGCAUGUUUUUUUGAGACUUUAAUCUAGAGCCCAACCUAGGGCCUCAGCAUAUUAUCUUUAGAGUUAAUUUAGUGGUUGAGAAUUGGCUUUGGUAAAUUUCAAUUCUUAUUUGGAAUUGUAUUUUUCCUUCAUGUGCAGUUCACAUAUGAUGGAGAUAUAAUACCUUUGCUGUUUUCCUAGAAAAAUACUUUGCAUUGAUUAAGAUUCUGAAUCUUGUUCCAAAUUUAGCUGCCGUUGUGGCCCUAUGUGAGGUGGUUCUCUGGAUUUUGGAAUAAAUGGUCAUUUGUUAUGGGACAUAUGUUCAUGCUCUGAUGACUACAUGGCUACCAAGGCAUUUAAACUAUACCUAAGUGAAUGAUUAAGCCCACCUUUAUGUCUAUUUUCUUGCAAUUAAAAGCUACUUAAUUAAUCUGUUUUUUUCCCCCUCCACAGGAGCAUUAUGUUAUUGAGAUGUUCUGGGAAGUUAUGAAAGGUUUUUCAUUGGAAAACCAAAAGAAAUUUCUGAAGUGAGCUUCUUCUUCUUCUUCUUCUUUUUUGUAUUUUGCCACCUCAAUUCUCAAUUCUCAGUCAGCUUGAGAACAUACUACCAAAAUGAUAGAAAACAACUUUUAUAGGUUUGUGACCGGUUGCUCUCGAGGACCUUUGCUUGGAUUCAAGUAUCUGGAACCCUUGUUUUGUAUACAGAGGUAAGAGCUGUACUAAAUGUAAUUAGGAGAAGCAGAUUUUGAAGUUUGUGUGAACCUCUUUGUUGAUGCGUGUCAAGAUUUUUACUAUUUAUUUUGUUUGUUUUCACCUUUUUAAUAUAAAUUGAUUUCUACAAUUAUUUAACUUUUUCUUCAGGGCCGGGGGUACUGCUUCUGAGGAAGCUCUUGACCGGUUGCCGACAUCAGCUACUUGCAUGAAUCUUCUAAAGCUUCCACCUUAUAGAAGGUUUGUCCCUGUAAUAGGAUCUGCUAAUCUGAUGUUUACUUUAUUCUAUUCAUAUUUGUUGUCUUGGUGCAUAUAUAAAGGUUUUGUCAGGUACUCAGCUCAUUGUUUACUUACUUAAUCAACCUUCUCAUGUUUGUGACACAGCAAAGAGCAGCUAGCAACGAAAUUGCUAUAUUCUAUAAAUGCGGAUGCUGGUUUCGAUUUGAGCUGAUGAGUUGUGUUUUGAUAAAACCAAGGGGAGAAAACAUAAUCCACGUGAUGUUGCUCCUGCAAACAUCCGUUAAUACACUGGAGUACCAAGGGCCAGCACAGCUUUGCUGGAGACAGGUGAUUGUAGGAGAAAAAACUGAAGACAAGAAAUAAGAAUAGAAUAGCCUUUAGAUUCAUUUAAUGGAAAAUCCCCUAAUGGGGUUCAUGUGUACAUAUGUGGAUACCCCUGCAGUAUAUAUCGAGUUUGGCUAAACUCACUCACGCUGGAGCUUCCACAGGUGGGUCCUGUCCAGGGAUACGAUUUGUAGACUGUAAGUUGAAAGAAUUGCUUCUCAUUAUGUAAAAAGAGAAGACUCUUUCUCGACCGGGUCCCUGCAAAAGCUUUCGUGUCUAGAUGAUCAGGGACGUAGUCGAUUAUGUAUUGUACUCUUAUGUAAGUUGAAUACACUUUUACUUCUUUCCAUCGAUUGUAUUGUACUUGUGUAAUUAUCUGUAGAUGAUCAGGGACGUAGUCAUUGUGUUUGGCUAGAAUAUCAUAAUUCAGAUAGAAACUUUGAUUUCUCAAAGAGGAAAUCUGAUUUUAAAUAAAUUAGUUCUGCUUAUGCGAUGCUUUACAGAUUCGCUGUACAAAUUAAUCUCCGAGCUCAUUGUUUCUUGGGCUUUCAUUCCUUCCCUUCUCACUGAACUGGCCAAGUCUGAGUGCUAAGUCAUAACAGGAGGGAGAUGGUCAAGACGCAAAACCCCCUACCCUCGAUCGCAUUGCACAAAUUGGUUAGGCGCGUAUCCAAUUUGAAGGGGGACAGAUUGGAUUACCUGCCAAGAUCAGUAUCCCUUUGACGCUUAAACAAAAUUAAGAGAGAGAAAAAAUCAAUAAGAUGAAGAUGGUUCUGAGGAGGACGUACUUAAUAUAUACGCUCUUUAUUCAACUCUUGUGAGAUUAGACUUGGCUUCUUACGUACGAGUUCGUUACGCCAAUCCAUUUAAUUGAUGGUUUGCUGCAGUUAUUUAUGGAGGCAAGCUAUGUGUUUAGUUGAAUUGGCUUUCUAUUAUUUCCGGAUGUGCUUACAAAACAAAAACUUGGACCGUCAUUAUUUAUUGCCUCAUUGGCUCUAUGUUAUUUCAGUUAAUUGUCAUGGAUUAUCAAUGUUGGAUUUAAUUUUAUCUAUAUUUUGUAAUUAUUAUCAUAUCCUCAUUCUUUGGGUUCCAUUUCUGUGCUGGAAAAUCGUGUAGAAACACCGAGGAAAGAAGUUAACCGUUGUGUCAAAAUGGCAGAAUUUAUAGAACACAACUUACAAGGUGUUGAUUCGGCUAUAUUAGCUGUUCCUGUAGCUCUUGCAAAGGGAAUAGGUUGGGAGGAUCUUGCUCGGAUGGUGAAGGAUGAGAAGAAGGCAGGAAACCCUAUUGCUGGCUUAAUUGACAAGCUCCAUUUUGAAAAGAACUGCAUGGCAUUGCUAAUAGCAAUAAUAUCGAUGAAAUGGAUGAUGAUGAAAAGACACUUCCAGUGUAUAAGGUGUUACUUCUGUACAAAUUAUGACUAAUGUAAUUUAAGCACACCUGCUAAGAGUGAAUCAUGAAACUCUGUCUUUCACAGUGUCGACCUUUUGUUGCUAAUCUCAGUUCAUGUACGUGAUUAUUCAGUUUAGACGUUGGAUUUGAGCUAUGUCAUCUGUUGAUUUAGUCUAUUUCCACUUUCAGAUAGAAGUUGUUUAAGCACUUUCAGCACAUGCCAAUGCUCAGAGGUGGUAUGAACUGAAGAAAAAGCAGGAGUGCAAGCAAGAAAAAACUUUUACCGCACAUAAAAAAGCUUUUAAAGCGGCUGAGAAAAAGAUCCAUCUCCAGCUUUCUCAGGUAGAUUUAAAUUGUAAAUGCAAUAAUACGGGAUUCUGGCCUACUUUGCUAACUAUUAAAUGUGCUUACAGGAAGCAUCUGCAUUUUAUGUAUUUAAAAACUUCAAAAUUUAUUAGCAUUAGCACUAAGUGUGAUGUGCAGCUUAAAUAUUCUGAGGGAUAUCAUGUUACUGGGUAAAACUUGAUAGGUUUACAUUGUUUUAUACAAGCAUUAAUAGGGUGUAUAUUGAUCGCCAAGCGUACUAAAAGACCAUUUAUUUCUGAAAACUGCGUGCAUGCUUGUAUGUGCAUGAGGUUUGCUUUAUUUAUCAUUGAUCACCUAUGAACGUGCUACUUGUAUUUUAAUUGUUAUCAUAAGCUGGGAUAUUCUGUCUUCUGAAUUUUGUUGUUUACAUGCCUAUGCUGGUGGUGAAUGCAGGAAAAAUCUGUUGCCACUAUAUCACACAUGCAUAAGGUUCACUGGCUUGAGAAAUUUAACUGGUUCAUCGGCACUUGGAACUAUUUGGUUAUUAGCAGGCGUGAUGCUCAGCAAAAUGAGAUGACAGUCAAGCGUUAUAUGUCAAAAGGAGAUUUGGAAGUCUUUUACUGUAAUCUUCAGAUUGUCAACUCAAGAAAUAUUAUUUAGUGCUUCACUUGGAAGUUGAGUUGAUCCUUAGCAACAUUCAGAUAGUAAGAUCUCUUUUUGACACGAAAUCUGCGAGUAAAUGCUGUAGUGAUAUUCAUUGAAACUGUGCAACAGGUAUGUCCAUGCAGAUCUGGAGCUUCUAGUACUGUGAUAAAAAACCACAGGCCUGAACAACCUGUACCUCCUCUCACAUUAAAUCAAGGAGAAUACCUUACAGAUGAAGGAGAAGUAUGGCAAUCAGGACGAGGAGAAUUCGGAUGGCUUUACUGGCUGGGAGCACUAUGACUUAAUCUACUUAUAUUUUUUAGCUCCCAGUUCAAAUUUUUUUCAACCAUGGCACGAAAAACUGUGUGUGUGUUUAGACACCAGAUUUUGCUGUUAUAAACAUUUUGCUACAUCUUUGAAAAGAUCAAGAAAUAAUAUAACAGUUGAGCUUUUCUGGGGCUGAAGCAUGGCCAAUUUAGUACCAUCCUUUUCUUUCGUAGAAGAGAUAAUAACUUUGGAUCCCACCUCUCCAUAACCAUGGACUUGUCAAAGAGACUGAAAUUCAACAUAGUGAAAUUUCUUCAAAUUAACUAUGCUAUAUACACACAGCAUUUUAACUAAAUUAGCAUGGUCGUUUUAAAUGUAGUAGGAUGUAAUUGUGAUCUAUCUAUAGAAUUACAUUUCUCCAUAAAGCAGGAGAUUUCAAACUGUCCAGCGAGUGUAUUUUCUUCUAGGAAUGGCAAUAUCGCAUGUGAUCACGGUAUCAUUUCUUUAUCAGCUAGCACUUUGAAACUGUCCAUGCAUAUGAUUUUUCAGUCUGCUGGAAAUACAAGCAAGAAUGGAGAGAUUCAAAAUGGAAAUGAAGCUACUGACAAAGGGAAGAUACCUGUUGCCAGUAUGUUCUCUAAACUUCCAGUGGUAAUUUGGCAAUGCCAGAUUUUUUUUUUAAUGCUACAUCAAUUAUCAAAGUACUCGAUCAUUUGUGCUUCCACAAAUGCUCUCUUGAUUAUGCUUAUGAAGAAUCCCAUUUUAGGGAGAACAUAUUAAAUUGUGAUUUUUUGUGCUGUUUCAAUCUGGCAGGUCCUGAAGAUGCUCCGAAAGUAUGUUAUAAAUGUAAAAAGUGAGGUCACCUAUCUCGAGAUUGACCAGAACAUUCUGAUGACAGUUCAAAUAAACGUGCAAAUGGUGCUAUAGAUAAACCUGGUGUGGGCUUGGUUGAUUCCACCUCUGAGAUGGACAAGGUGGCCAUGGAGGAGGAUAUUCAUGAGAUAGGCGAAGAAGAGAAAGAGAAGUUAAAUGAUUUGGACUGGGAAUCCACUGCCUACCGAUAUUCUCUUAUAUGCCGUGCCUGUCUGUGCAGUGCAGUCAUACAAAUACCACGUGAAGGUUAUUCCUGGAACUGUAAAAAAAGGAAAGGGUAUCUCUUUUCCUCAUAUUUUCCCGUCAUUGGGGAGCUAUUGUAGCUGCUAUAUUUGUCUGGUUGGGGGGGUUUGGGGUGAACCUUGCUUCUAGGUUUUGUUCUCCCCUUGCAAUUUGGAUUUUAUGCGUGUUCUGCUUUUAAUUCGUAGAGAUUUGACUAAUCUAUGGAUUCGAUGUUUUUCUAGCUGCAAAAACUGCCACAAACUUAUUUAGCCACAUGCCUGAAGCAACUGGUACAGAGAAAGAAUUGAUGAAAGAAUGUACAGAUCCUGAGCUAGUAGCUGCAAUUGUUGGCAAUGCAAAGUUCACUGCUGCAGGACUUGCACAAUUGAAGCAGAAGCAGAAGAAAGGUAAGAAGAACAACAAAGGUGAAAGUUAGCAAGGAAGCCUCCUGUAUAGCCGUUACAGGAAGGAAAUUUCCAUUUUGGACAAGGUGAUUUUUUCUCGUUAAUGCAUCAUACGAGCGCCAAAUUUUACUUGGAAAUAGGUUUUUAACUUAAAAUAUUGUGACUUUUUUAAUAUCUUCAAAAUUAGAAUGUUCACCUGCUGGAAAUGGCAAGGCAGAUGAUAUCAGUAAGGAGUUCUGUUCUCAUUAUUUGGCUCGAGUGAAAAUGACAAUUGUUUAAACCUGUCUGAAGAUGUUUUUUAGGGGUUUUAACUUUUACCUAAUUGGGCUCCUAUUAAAUUGAAGACUCAAAAUCCUAUUGCUGCCCGCACUGUCGAGCACAUAUGAUACUUGUACAUUAAAACAACACCGAAUUGAACAGAAGGCGGCCUCGUAACUCAUUUGUAGAAGGGUUGCCGUUUGAACAAAUAUUUAACACAAAGAAAGGCAAAAAAUUAGAAAAGCAGAAAGCUUAAAACUCAAUCGGAUUCUUCCUCUGGUGUACCAUGGCCAUCAGACUCAUCAGCAGGGGGGACAUCACUCAAGUCUAAACCUUCUGCAGGCAAGUCUGAAAUAUUCGGACCCAAGAUCCCACCGGAGCUGAGAGGUAGUCCACUCUGUACAGACAGAUACAAUUAGGUUAAUCCAGCUAAUUCAGAUAUGCCUAGAUAUCCACAUAAACAUUUUCAAAUAAUGGAAAUUAAAUACACAUUCAGGUAACUUUAGAUGCCAAAGAAGAAAAAAGAAACUAGUAAAUCAGAACGUUUUUUUCUUUUAGGCAUUAAACGUCUCCUUAGAUAAGUACCAUCCAGCACCAGCAGACCAGGUAAGUGAAAAGGAACAAGCGUUUUGUCUAAUGCAUAUCAUCACAACUGACCUUAUUCUAUUAUUGAAAAAAUGUAAAUUAUUCUAUAAGUUUAAUUAAUUUAAAUGAGGUUCAUAAUGAUCAUCAUUCAAGACACAAGCUAUUGCUCAAAUUCAUUCACGUUAAAAAAAAUUUAAGUUUGCUCCUAUCUAAUUUUACAUGACAGGGAGAAAUGAAAACAACGUUCUGUUCGCCUUCAUGAAAUCCUUUAGUUUCAGAGAAAAUGACUGAAGUACCUCAGGCUGGAAUCUCAGCAUGUCAGCACGAGCCAUAGCCUCUGCCUGGGCAAUUCUCUGCCUGAAUGUCCGGGCCAUCUCCUCAGCCUAUUAAUACAAUACAAAGAUAUGAAUACAUCGCAUGUCAGAGAAAGGAUGAAAUAAUUUCUAGCAUCUUCUAUACCUCUCCUGUUGAAGGACAAAAAAGUGAUCAUACUACAGCAUAAAACAUCUAGCUUUAUAUUAUGUGAUCCAAAACAUUUGACAAUAAGGAAGGUUAAUGACAAUAUCCAAGAAUUACCUUUUCAAAGACAAGUUUUGGAUUGCGAAUCAUAUCACCAGGAGUAGGUUCCAAUUUUUUGGUAGAAAGACUUACUCGGCCUCUCUCACGGUCAUGGCUUAGAAUCAUCACCUGCAUAACAUAAUAUGGUUUAGAUAUAUGAAAAAGAACAGAGAAUACCUUCUUUGUAAUAUGGCAGCAAGUAACCAACCUUCAGAGUAUCACCAGGUUGAAGAACUGUUGAAAUAUCAGAGACACGAUCAUGACUAAUCUGACUGACAUGAAGAAGGCCAUUGAUUCCACCAAUAUCAAUGAAGGCACCAUAUGGUUUGAGGCUCUGAACGGUUCCAGUGACCACCGAUCCAAUACCUAGCUGUGCUUGACUGUCAGCCAUGGCCUUGCGAUUACUGAGAACAAGUCUAGACUGCUCCUCAUCAACGUCAACAAAUUUCAGGGGAACCUCUUUAUCAAGAAGUUCUUCUGCAGAUGAUUUCUGGUACAAAAACAGGGAAAGAUGAGAAUUUGGAAUUGACUGAAAGCAAAGUCAGACAAUAUGGCAAGCCUGGUUCAAGAACUAAACUGAUGAUAUCUGUGAGAAAGGGACGAAUCCUUGAAGGCCUUCGACAACUGCAACUACUCCACCUCUGUUUCCACCAACAACCUAUAUACACAACAUUCCAUUAUUCAAAGUUUUGAAAAUAAAAUAAUUUAUUUGUGAUUUAAACACCACAACACCACACAUGCUAUUAAUAAAGGCCUAAAAGCAGGUGAUUAGGAAACAAAAAUUGAUAAGAAUAGAUUCCACAGUUAACCAUGCAAUCACACUGCAAAUAAGUAACAAAAUAUUGAUUAACCUGCAAGCACUAAAAUGACAACUAAAUUUUUGCACCUGACCACCACCCAAUUAAAAGCACUGGACCAGACACAUAAUAAUAACAUUCCGUAUGAAAAUGGAGGAAAUGCAGUAUUUGUACAAGUAUAGAUAUAAUUAAUGUCAGGAGCAUAAAUACCCACCUUACCCUUCACAAUGGCAUCCUCAGCUUGAAGCUGCCUACACCGUUCCCAGGCAAGUUCAUACUGGAUUGACCUCAAGCUCAAGAUUAAGCUAUCAUCAGCUUCAUUUUCACCAAUGAUAACAAACUCCUCUCUCAUCCCAGGAACUAUACCAGCUUCUUCCACGCGUUUUAUUUUGUGAAUGCUUGCCUCUUGCACUGGUAAAUAUGCAGAAGAUUUUGCAGUAAUGUCAACAAAUGCCCCAUUGUUAUCAGUCAUAAAAACUGUCCCCUUGACCUGAUUGUAAAAAACACAUGCACAAUGGAAAUCAAAAUGCUAUCCGUCAGACAUCAAAUAAUUGCCUAGAUUUCACUUCAUUUUUCAUUUGGGUCUUAUGGGAGUUCCCAUAUGAUUGUUUUUAAUUACCUUCAAAAUUCGUAUAGACAAAGCAUAUUGCCCAUACUAUUAGGAAGAAAAAGAACACACAUAUAGAAAACAACAAUAAAAAACAAAGAAAGAUUACCAUCAAACACUUAAUUGAUUAAAAAAAAUCGUUCACUCGUUUCCAACGUAAUUAAGAACUACCUUGUAACCAUUUUCAUUUUCCCCUGAAUUUGAAAGAAGAAAGCUUCAAUUUUUCUUGGUGCCCAUAAUUCCAUAAUCCCACAUAAUUCACAUAAAUUUCCUCAUUCAUGCAUAAACCCACCAAGCAAAAACAUCCCAUUUUCAGAAUUGUAGUCAUCUAUGUCAGAACCAACGAAAGGGAAAAAUUCACAAAAUAAAUAGAAGGAAGUGAGGUUAUGCUACUGACUCUUGUGCCGAUCUCAGAAUUGUAGUCAUAAGUAUCAAGCGCAGCAUGAAAAUCUUCAAGUGUAAAAGAAACUCCUUCCAGAGGAGCAGUACGACACCGUUCAUAAGCUUCUUCAAAGAGUUCUUUAAGUUUGUGCCUCUCUUUGGUCUGUACAUUUGAUAUUGCCACUGCUUUUGCUGUUACAACAGAGUUAGCAGCCCUCUUUGGCUUUGAGAAUGUUGCUGCUCUUUCUGUUAGUCUUGAAGAUGAUAAUGGUGGGCAUAUGAGGCCUGCAAAUUGCUGAGCCAACGAUGCCAUCUCUCUGUUUUCUUUCGAGUGUAGGUCUUCAAGUUUUUAAGCUAGAUAAGGCAAGGUAGCAUUAGAGCCGAGAGGGAGAGAGAGGAGAGACCAAGUGCAUUUUUGAGAGUUAAAGGUGCGACCCAUUUGUUUCAAUGCCAAUAGAUAAUUCACCUCUGAUCAGUGAAAAUGGAAGGGUCCAAAAAUAAGGAGGUGUCGUUCAUUUUGGGCUCCUUGGAUCGUCAAGCCUUCUUUGAAUUAGAGUUUGAGCUUUCAACUUUCCUCAUGAACCAGACCAUCGUGCCCAUCUGGUCCAAGCUUGUAGAUCGCAUCUGGAAAAAAGACUUGAUUUUUAUUAUUAUCUUUUAUUAAGUACAAUAUUUUCAUUAAUAUUUUUUUCAUUAAAUAUUAUGAAGGAUAAAAUCCCGAUCGGUCUCAAAUCCCAUUGGAAACAUAAAAUUAAAUCCAAACCUAGUUAUUCAAGACCUGAUCCAGUUUAAAAUGGGCAUGUAGAAAUUCAUUGUCAUCCAUGAACAAGAGGCGGGCCAGACACCAAAUUAGCUUGGGUUAUCUGGGCAUAUUUCAAUCAUUUAGGCCUUCAACAGGCCCACUCAAAAACUUAAAGUCUGAACUUCCAUUUGAGACGAUAUGUCAUCAACUCAAGCUUUAGGCCGUUUUAAAUGUCACAUUUUCAUGUUCUUCUUGUUUCUUGUAAUUUUUCGUUUGUUUGUUUUCAAAACAGAUGGCUAGUUUUUGCUUUUUUGUUCGCGAUAUAAAAACAUUUUUCGAUUAAUUAAAUAACUUUGGUUUUUUGCAUUAGACUUCUUGUGUAAUUACAUUUUAAACCUUGAUUUUAUAAUAAAAAUUUAUUUUUAUUUAUGUUAUAUGUAAAAACUCAUUCCAUAACAAUUUUAAUUAAAUAUAUUUUUUAAAAUUAUUUUUUAAAACCACAGCUACAAAAACUAUGAAGCUUCAUUGAUAAGGAAAACGUCUUGAAUCUCAAAAGAAUAAAAUGUUGGUUCUUGAUAUUUUUUUUAAUGAGGUCCCGCUUAUACUUUUUUCAAAGCUUAUAUAUAUAUGUGGUCCAUCUGCUCGAAAAGAAUUUCAGAAUAUGAUGAACUGUCAUCCAAAUCUACCAUAACACGAAAGAAACAGAAGGACACGUGUUUGAGAUGUAUUAAUCCACGUGUCAAUAAUUAAGACAUUAAGAACUUUGCUUGAUUAGAGGGAGUAAUUAACUGGAUAAGAAAAAAAGAGUAGAGGGAUCAAAUAAUACGAUGAGUCCCUCACUCGCAUACGGUUUUGAAUGGUGCACGCACUUUGUAGUUUGUACUGCUUCCCUGAGACUAAAUUGAAAGUUUUUGGAGCAAUAAAAGAACCGAGCACAUAUCUCCACUUGUACAAGGAUAAAGAGUGAUCCAUGCUAACCAUCUAGGUGGUGACUCAGUGGUAAGAGCUUGCACCAAAAGAUUUGCUCUCUCUGUGGUCUCAGGUUCGAGCCCUGUGGUUGUUCAUAUGAUAGUCAUUGAAGGCUUACAUGGUCGUUAAUUUCAGGGCCCAUGGGAUUAGUCGAGGUACACGCAAGCUGACUCAGAUACCCACGUUAAACUAAAAAAGAGUGAUCCAUGCUUCUGUGACCUUUUCUUCCCCGUGUCUUAAACCCGAAGAAGACAGAUACUCCAAAAUCACUCGCCAGAUUCCAAAGUGUUUCUGUGUGAUAAGAAUAUGCACACUUGUUUCAUCGAUACAAGUAGCAUAUCCGUGUUCGAUCAUCUUUGGUAUCGUCUCGAGCAUAAAAAAUGAGAGUGGCAUUCCUACAAGCGACUUCAACUUUCCAAUUUUCUUUCAUGCACCAGUUCUUUUUUGAACAGCCUGAAUGAAUCUAUUCAUGUAGACACGUAUUUCAAACGCUAAACGGCAAUGAUUCUGUUGUAUUUUCAGUUCAUAAUUAUCUGUUAUUAUAUCACGACCACUGCAGCCAUGAUCAUCCCUGUCGAUAAAUCAUUUUCUGUCAGGAGAAAUAUAUAUCUGGCGGAUGUUUUCCUCUCUUUAGCAACUAUAGAGCGAGUGAUUUGAGCAUUAUAAUGCACAGUGAUUGCUCAUAAUUUUCAUAUGCUAAUUGCGCAUGUUUUUUUCUCAGUUAUAAGAAGAAGAAGAAAAAGGACGACAAGAUAACUAGAAGCCAUUGCAUUAGUGUAGAAUCCACCAUUAGCUCCUCCAUUGAUCAUCUGAUUGGAUGACUCACAAUUUUUGUUGUCAAAUAAUAUUAUUCUCUGAGUUAUUACCAUCAAGAAUAUAUUUUUUUUCGGGAUUAUAGCCUUCACGUUCAAUAGGUAGUGAUUUUUUUUGGAUUGUAGUAAUUAUUAGAAAUUAACUAGCUACUUUCCAAUAGAUACUUACACCCUCUUCCCUAAUUAUAUUCUUGAUACUCUCUGAAUUAUUACCUAAAGUGUAUCCUUUCUAAUUAGAUGCAAUUUUAUGAUAAAUCAUAUAUAGCCUUCGCGUUUAAUACGUAGUAUUCUUGUGGUUCUAACAAAUUGAAAAUCAGAAAAAGGAAAAAGAAAAUAAUUAAAGUAAGUUGUUAUCACUCCGAAAAAGAUUCCCUGUGAAGAAAUGCAAUGAUUGUGAAUAUUGCGUGGAAAGUAGAAGUGAACAUUAAGGUCUACUCUUUUAUACAUGCAGGAUUAUCUCCAUUAAUUGCCGGGUUUAAGAAAAAGAUUAAAUGCAAUAGCCAUGUCUUGAAGAUGGUUAUAAAGUCUAAAGUUUCCUUCUUCAUGUUUUCAUUUAGAACAAAUUUUAAUAGAGAAUAUAUAAAGAAAAGUUGAAAAAUAUGGAAAUACGAGUUAAAGGAGAAAGAGAUUCUUGGUGGUGAUUGAGGAAGACUAAAUAAGGAAACAUAAUCAAAGCAAAUAAAUUAUUAAUAAUAGGAAAUUAACGUCUUAUGUUAUAAUUAACAACUGAAAGGUAAUACCAAAAAUAAACAGCCAAGAAGUUUACAUGAGUGGAUCGAUCCUCUCAUAAGUUUUUUAAUAUAUAGAUUAAUUUUUUAAUAUAAGGAAAUUGUUUACAUUGUAUAUUCCGAAUAAAUAGCAUUAAUUUCCUAAAGCUAGCUACAUAAUUGAUCUCCCUUGGGUACGUGUGUCUUUGGUAAUCAUGUUUUUUCUGUUUUAGGGAUGGCAAUUGUACCGAUUUUUGAGAAGGGUCAUAUAAUAUUUGUACGAUUAGGUUCCAUAUAUGUGUAUCAAGGAGGGAGCGGGGAAAUGUUUUUAAUUUUCCCAUUGAGUUUAUGACGCACUUACAAAAUCCUAAUUAAUAAAAUAAACAUAUUAAUUAAGACUUCACAUAUGAUGAAAAAUAAAUAAAUUUCUUAGAAAUAUUCUUUACUAACAUGAGCAUUUGAAGACUAGAAAUCGAGAUUUACCAGAUUCUGCCCUUAUUUUCUUGAAUUUUUACCGGAAAAUUUCACCAUUUUCAAGAGUAGCUAGCCGCACAUGAGCUACACACCUCACUAGGAGUAUUCUUGAAAUUCUCGUUGACGUUCAAGGGUAUGAUAGAAUGCAAAUUCAAUCAAGGGGAGAGAAUGAUCAAAACAAUUGUAAUUAGAUAAAAAAUUGGUCUCCCUUUUAAGCGAAUUUGCAGAGUCUUUUAGUUAUAAAUAAAAAGGAAAAAGGAAAAACGUUGCUUUUAAGGUGUCAAAUGCUCAAAUUGACAAGUGUAACCUCCAAACGAAAGCAACAGAAUACGAAUGCUUGCCACGCUCUGGAAUCUAAAUUAACAUUUAUGAAAAUAGAUUCAAAAAAUAUCAUCGUAACCUAAAUUAGUUCAUUGCCAUUUUCACCACACUCGACCAUUCGAUGCCUAUAUAUAAAGAGUAACACCCCUUGAACUAAAGCUCAUACCCAACUUCGAUAAGUGUACGUUUCUUCGUUUUCUUUGUUCUUGAUCUCCUUAUCUAAAAAAUGUCACCAAAUGCCAUUAUCGAGCCCACGUUUAACUCCCAUAAGAGGGCAUAUGUUACUUUCUUGGCUGGGAAUGGUGAUUAUGUGAAAGGUGUUGUGGGUUUAGCCAAGGGUCUAAGGAAAGCGAAAUCUUCAUACCCUCUUAUGGUGGCUAUUUUACCUGAUGUGCCUGAGGAGCACCGCAAAAUUCUAGAAUCUCAGGGCUGUAUCGUCCGUGAGAUUGAGCCAGUGUAUCCACCAGAUAACCAGACUCAAUUUGCCAUGGCUUAUUAUGUGAUUAACUACUCUAAACUUCGUAUUUGGGAGGUAAUUAGUUAUCAACCCUAAUCAUCUUUCUUUCUUUCUCUUUUGCGCUAUGGAUCUACAUAUUUGAUGUGAUACAAUGGCCUUUAAUUUACUAUCUAAUAUGUGUUCCACCUGUUGUUUGUAGUUUGUGGACUAUGAGAAGAUGAUAUACCUGGAUGGUGAUAUUCAAGUCUUUGACAACAUUGAUCAUCUUUUUGAUGAGCCGAAUGGAUAUUUCUAUGCUGUGAUGGACUGUUUUUGUGAGAAGACAUGGAGUAGCACCCCUCAGUAUCAGAUUGGAUACUGCCAGCAAUGCCCUGAAAAAGUUCGGUGGCCUAAGGAGAUGGGCUCACCUCCUCCUCUAUACUUUAAUGCUGGCAUGUUUGUCUUUGAGCCUAAGCUUUUAACUUACUUUGAUCUCUUGGAGACCCUCAAAGUCACCCCUCCUACUUCAUUUGCUGAGCAGGUAAUCUAGAGUGGUUGAGAAUAUAGAGUUUUGUUAUUGUCUAGGCACGUAUAAAUACAAAUUUUCUGCUAUGCUAAUAAGAUUGUUUUGUCAGGAUUUUUCGCACCGUCCAAAAAGAACUGGCAGACUUUGCGUUCUUUCAUUAAUCUAUCACUUUGUUUUUGGUUUCGAUUUGCAGGAUUUUCUGAACAUGUUCUUCAGGGAUGUGUACAAGCCUAUCCCUGCUGUGUACAACCUUGUCUCGGCGAUGCUGUGGCGCCAUCCUGAGAAUUUCGAGCUUGACAAAGUGAAGGUUGUCCAUUAUUGUGCUGCGGUAAGAGAGUUAAUUUGUCACUAAAAGUGUUGUUUUUUAAACACAUGAAUCUAUACAUUAUAUCUUAAUUGAUUUUCAUUUUUGUUCAAAUCGUUAGGGAGCAAAGCCAUGGAGGUAUACUGGCAAGGAAGAAAACAUGGAUAGAGAGGACAUCCAGGUUUUGGUGAAGAAGUGGUGGGAAAUAUACGAGGAUGAGUCGUUGGAUUACAAGAAUAUUACUGUGCCUGUUGAUCAAGAAAAACUUGGACCCCUAAUAGCGGCAUUGACUGACGAUGGAGUGAUUAACCAUAGAAAUCUACCAUCGGCAGCAUAAUCUCGUAUACCUCUAGUGUGCUCGGGGCAUUAUUUUUUAGCCUUAUAUAAAAAUUAUAUUUUAGGGCAUUUAUUUACUAGCCCUAGAUGCUUUUUCAGUCUUGACCGUGAUCACUGAUCAAGUAAAGAAUAUAUGCAUGUAUGUUAAUUAAGCACGUUAUUAGCAUGUCAUGAGUUGUGAAACAGCAAACUUUGACAUCUACAAAGUUGGAAAACUAAGAAUAAAGAGAAUAUAUUAUGGCUAUAUAUUAUUAACUAUCUUGGGUUUUUUUCCCCUUAAUUUUAGCUUUCUUUAUUCUUAACCUGUUUUUGGCGAAGCUCUUCGGCCGUGAUCUUUAGUGCUGCUAUUUUUCAGUAAAAUAUUUUACUCCGUCAUAAAUGGGAUUUUCCCCUACUGCCCAGCUUAAUUUAUGCACACUACGAUGCUAUUGGGUAAUGUGGCUGCGAGUGAAGUUUAGCCGCAGCCACACAUAUAAGUGUUUGGUAAAGCAAGUAAAACUGAUUUUGAUUGGUAGGAUCCACUAAUUUUUGCUGCCCAGCCGCAGGAUUGGAGAAGCAGUUUUGCUUCUCGUGGGUAUUUUUAAAGAAUUGUUCAGUGAACAGUGAAACCAUGCUCCAUUGUCGCACUGUUCAGUUUUUUUAAAAAAAAAAACCAGUGAGAAAAGUUUAGUUUUUUUUCCCCUGAAAAACCAGUGCAGUUAAUCAUGAACAAUAUUUUUUUUGUUUUUUUUUAAAUUAGUUUAAGGUGAAUUAAAUUUACUCGUACUGUAAUCUCAAUUUUAUUCCUGAUAAUAUUUUAUCUAAUUUUAUUGCACGCUCAAAAAAUCAUGGAAACUGUAGUUCUUGUCGAAUGACUUUUGUACGUAAUGAAAUUGUAAAUUUUUUAAAAAAAAUUGUGUUUUACUCGAAAAACUAGUAUUUAAUUAUUGGAUAGAUUUCAUAUGUAAUGACAUUGCACAUAGUUUAAUGGAAUAAUAAAAAAUAUUUGAUAUCAAUAUUAUUUAUUUCAUGAUGUAAUAACAGUAGUUAAAUCUAUAAUAUUUAAAUUAAAAAUCAUUAAUAUUAAUAUAUAUAUUUUUUAAUUAUUUUAUAACCUUAAUUUGAAAAACAUUUUUUUAACCAAACACAUUAAACUACUUUUUGUUCAAGCUCAAUUUCAACUACAGUUUUAAUCAAAUAUAUAUUUUUUCAAAUCAACUUCAACUAAAAUUACUUUUUAUAAAUCAAUUUUUUUAAAACCACAACCACAACAGCAACCGCAAUACCAAACACACUCUACAAAUUUGUUCCUUUGUGCGAAUAUCCAGCUCCAAGAUUCUCUUUUGGUUUUUCUAAUUGUAAGCCUGUGCGAAAUUCAUUAAAAUUCCAUGGGAGCAAAGCGCUUAAAUUCGCUUUUACUGAAGAGACUCCCAUUCUCCCUCUUCCAAGAAUUCUCUUGUUUAUAGUCUUGUCUCUGUAAAAAGAACAAAAAAAUGAAAUAGCUAUCAAGAAAAUAUAUGUAGGCCUAGUUACUGAAUGAUCUUAAUUAAAGCCCGAACUAGGGAUGAUGGACCCAACGGUAGAUCCUCAGGGAUAACUAGGGAUUGGUGAAUUUUCAUGUAUUGAAGCCCGAACCCUAAGAAAUGCUACACUUUUAUAUAUAUAUAUAUAUAUAUAUAUAUAUAUAUAUAUAUAUAAAUUAAAAAACACUUUUAUAAAAAUAUUUUUUAAAACACCCCAACUCAAUCGUGUUAGAUGAUGGCUGAGCUCAAUGGCUGAGCUCAAUAAUGUGUUGAACAUGCCACUUUUUUAUUAACAGAUGCAAGGCCGGGCUUUGCCGAGGUUUUUGAUCAGGGCCAUGCUGCUCGAAGUUGAGGCUAACUUUGAUGUGAAACUUAACUUUUUAAAUAUGUGUGUGUGCAUUAUCAUCUUACUUGGUUAUUUUUAAUCACAUUGAACAACAAAAUAAAACAACUUCUUUCAGUAAAGAGAACAAAACAAUGAAGAAAAUAAACUUAAUAAUAUAUUUGUAUAAUUGUUUGAAAUAUAUUGGCAGCAUCAACUCCUCCCUAAUAAAAGGAAACACUUUGAGAAAAAAUGUAAAAAAAAAAAAAAAGUGUCAAUGGCUGCUGAAAAAGGCCGAAAAAAUCAAAUAAGAAGUCAACUUGAAAAGUGAAGGUUGGAAUUUUGUAAUUGAAUGAAAGAUCAUAUAAACCCAGCUUAAGAAAGCAAACUGAGCAGUGAAAAGGACAGUACGCUGGGCCAUCCGGAGCUUGAAAGUACUGGCCUGGCUCAGAGGUCAGAACUAAUUAUAAUCGGCUUGGGUCAACAUGCUUGAAACUCAUGCCCGAGCCCAUCAAAAAACUCUCAGGCUCGUAUUGGUCCAUCAGAGGUACUGAUGAAGCCUCAUUAAUGUACUGUAACAGCUUUGCUUCAAUGGGCCGUGGUCUGUAUCUCAAAUGUCGAAUAUGUCCAUUGUUUAGCCAUAAGAUUGAUGAGAAACCUGAGCGUUUGGAUAUCAAUAUCUAGAAUUCAUUUAUUCUAAAUAGAAAUAUGAAUUGGAAAGAAAAGUAGGUGAGAUGGUUUUUAUUAACAUGGAAUUUACCUAAUUGGAAAGAAAACUUGAAUCAUGAGAACUGAGAGCACAAGUGUUUUUGAAGAUUUUUUAUUUUUUUUAAUAAUUUUGGAUUGUUUCAAUAUGUUAUAUUAAAAAUAAAUUUUAAAAAUAAAAAAAAAUUAUUUUAAUAUAUUUUCAGAUGAAAAAUAAUUACUAUUACUUUUCAAACACUAAAUAAUAAAAAACCAGCUAACGGAUUAAACAGCUGGCACGAGUGACCCAACUAUAGCGUUGCAAAUACUUGAAGAGGCUUACACUCCUGAUUUUGGUGGGUUCUCAGAAAAAGACAAACUAAUGGUUGUUGGUUCCUUCAAUAAGAAAAAAAAUAAAAAAUAAAAAAUUAUUAUUAUCACUGUUUCAAACACUAAAUAAUAAUAUAAAAAAAAAAACAGCUAACGGAUUAAACAGCUGGCACGAGUGACCCAACUAUAGCGUGGCAAAUACUUGAAGAGGCUUUACACUCCUGAUUUUGGUGGGUAGUUACUAGUUAGUUCUCAGAAAAAAACAAACAAAUGGUUGUUGGUUCCUUCAAUUAGAAAAAAAAAUAAAAAAUAAAAAAUAAAAAUGGUCACGUGGUAGUAAUCAUGCAAAUCUUUGACGUUGGAGAUCGAGAGAGAAAGUUGAGGAUAGAGUGGGUACGGUCCAUUAUUGACAGAGUGUCAUAACUUUAUUCGAAAUCAUAUCUUUUUGAUCGGCCAUAAAUGAUAUGUCUGUUCUUGGACAUAGCCUGCUUUCCAUUCCCUUUUCCCUCCGUGGGACCCCUUAAUGCAUCAAAUCUUAUCCCGUUCACUAACUUUUAGACAAUGAACUUAGUGAAGAAUUAAUUGUACUCAACUGAAAAGCAACCUAUUGCUUUGGCCACUGGUAAUUUUUAUUUUUUUGACAAAUUGUGAAAUUAACAUACAAAAUCAAAAUAAUUAACAUAGCAAAAAAAAAAAUUUAUUUUAUGAAAUAGCAUAUUUUUAUUUUGUUGUGCUUCUAAAAUAUGACAAGUAAAAACUUCAAUUAUCUUACUUAUCUAGUCGACCAAUUCAUAAUGGUCAAUGAAAUUAGUCGAUUAGUUCUGAAAAUAAAAUGAAAAAUCACUAAUAUAGCCAAAAGCAGGGAGGUCUCAACGAAAUUUUUGAUAUCUAAAGAUUCGACUGUCUGCAUAUCUAUUAUAGGAAAAAUGAUCUCCAAAAACUCCUAUAAAAAUUUAAGUGAAAUCCAACGGUUGAAUAAAAACUUAAGGCCAUUUUUAGUUGUUAUUAUUCUAGUCUGGUGAGACCAGACCUCCUCUUGAGCCUAGAUCUAUACUGUUGAUACAUAAAUCCAUCUGUUAGGCCAUCAGCGUAAUCUAUUCGGGGGCAGAUUCUCAUUUAGUUAUGGUAGACAAACACUUAAUUGCUUAAGGUCACUCGUUAUCGCAAGUUCGACUAUAUCACUGACAUUGAAAAACAACGACUCAUAAAAUAUAUUUUGCAAAAAAAGUUCAUUAAACUAUGAUUUUUAUGAAACGGCCAACCAAUUAAACCAAAUGAUUGGAGUUUUACAUUAUCGCGUUUCAAAAUCUUGAUAUUUUUUAAAUAUUGUUGUUUUGAAGUGUAAAAAUUAUCUUGUCGCACCUAAAAAUAACGAUAUUUAAUAAAUAUUGCGUUUCUGAAACGUGAUAAGAUGAAAGGGUGUUAUUUUAUUAAAUAUUUUUUAAAUUGAGUUAUUCUACCAAAAACAAAUUCAAAAUUGUGGUAAUUUUAAAAAAUAUCCUAUUUUUUUCAUUCAACUACAUGUCGAGAUUGAGUUUCAAAAUAGAGUUUCCUUACAAAUUAACUGUGAUUCAAACAGAAUUUGACGGAGAAUAUAACAGAAAGAAUCAUGUAAUCAUUUGCUUGCAGGAGCAAUAUCGCAUUUCUAGAAUGUAUUGUUUUCAAUCGUAUGUGGUAUUUGUAUGAACACCAAACCAUCAAUGAUUCACAAGAAAAAUAUUUUCUCUAAAGAUUUCAUUUUAACAAAAUUAAUUCCAUAUUUGCCUCGAAUCCAUGCAAGAUCCAAAUGGUCCUGCAUGUGAUGAUCGACUUGUCGCCACAGCAGGCGAAGAGCAUCGAUGAUCCUACCCCAGGUCUGCCUGUCUCCCGUUAGGAAUUUAUUCGAGAAGGCUAAUCAAGAGAUGGGGCAGAAAAGAUGGUUGGGCAUAUUCAAUGUAUACGAACCUUCUUUUUUUCUUUUUCUUUUUCUAAUUGAUUUCAUAACAAUAUAAAACAAUGGUUAGCUUAAUAGUUGAAGAUAUUUGCUUAUUUCAAAUUUAAAAUUUAAAAUUAUAAGACGUAAAAAUUUAUUAUUAUUUUUCAAACACGCUAAAUGCUCAAUUAAAAGCAUCUAAAACUCUUUUUGUCUCGUGUACUAGCUCAAAAAUACAUUAAUUAUAUAUAUAAAAAAAAAAAAACAUAAAUCAAUCAACCUUUAUGCUUUAUUCCAUGAUGAAUUACAAUCACGUAUUCUUAUGUGUAAGGAAAGAAUUAUAUGGUAUUUAGGGAGUAAUUAGUAUCAUACUGUUAAUUAAUUUUUAGAUCCAUCUUAAAAAAAAAUCCCAUACAAAAAAAAUAAAAAUAAAAUUUAUAAUUCAUAAUUCAUAAAAAAAUAUAAGAAUGUCUACACCAAAUAUUUUUCUCUACUAAUUUUAUCCUUUUUUAUUUGAAAUAAAUAAAAUAUAAUGGGACGGAAAUUCGUUCCAAAUCUGAUACGCAUUUGUUUUACUAUCCUUUCACUCUCCACCUCAAGCUUAAGCAUAUUCAUUACCACCUCCCCCACCUUGUUAAAAUUAGUUUUAGGUGAAUAAAAAAUAUGAUAUAUCUUAAUUCUACUUGUAGUUUUCUUAAGUUCUGAUUGUUUGCCAAUAAAAUUAUAACAUUCAUGGAGUAUGAUUUAUGAGGAAACACAUUAUUUUUUAUGCAUAGUUAUAUUAUAAAAGGUGAUUUAAGAUCAUUUUUUUUAUGUACACUAUCAAGCUCAAUGGUGACUAGGUAUAGCAUGGGUCACACUUAACGUGCCCGGGACUUGGCACAUUGCCAAGCCUAAUCAUGACUGGAUCUGACUAGUGUCAUACCUAACGAGCCCGGGGUUUGGUACAUUACCAAGCCCAAUCAUGGUUGGGUCUUACUAGUGCAAACCCAAAAAGUUAGGAGCUUGACACAAUGUCAAGCCCAAUUAUGGAUAACUGUGGCUAGUAGCAGACCCUGGAGCGUGUUUGCAUUCGAGAAAAUUUAUAACAAUAAGUUAUUCUUGAUCUGGUGUUUUUUGAUAAAGAUACACUCAUAAAAUCUUGAUUCAUCAUUAACCCCAGUCUUUGCAAUAUAAUAAUAUGCGAAGACUUUAAUUAAUUUUCUAUUUAGGGUAGAAAAACGAGUUGUGCUCGUAUAAAAAGGGGGUAUAUGCUAGAAAAAAUAUGCAUUUGAACUAAAAAAAAUUAUUUCAUGUGUAAAAUACCGAGAAUUUGUACUUGAAAGUAUUCUAAGAGAUCGAGGAUACCAUGGUCAUCAUCUAUACAAAUUUCUUAGUGGAUGUGUGGAAGCCAAGGAGGGUGAACCUAUACUUCGAAAUUUCUAAAUGAUUAUAGGUUCUUUGGAGGGUGGGAACCUGUAGCUUUCUCAGCAUUGUCAUCCCUUGGCGAUUGAUGUAUAUAACACUAGAAAGAUCACAUUCAUCCCUUGAAAUUCAUCUUUGAAAGAUUGGUGUAUAUAGCACUGAAGAGACUACGUCUAUCCCUUCCUUGGAUAAUUGCAAAUUCUAGGAUAAGUGUUGAGGAGCCUUCAACCAUCACCUGAAAAAAAUAAAAUAUCAUUUUGAAUAAAUCAUUUAUAUUCAAGAAACUUAUAUUUUUAUCAAGUAUUAUACAUCCUGAGAUGAUCUAAGUGACAUGUAUGAAGGAGGUUUUUAGGAGAAAAUAUGUCUUGGAGGUGACGCUAAGAUAUUUGCUUAGAAGUUAGAAUACCCUGAUUACUUCGCUUGGAAGAUCAAUCGUGGUUGGGUCUCGCUAGCGUCAAACCCAACGUGUCAGGGGCUUAGCAUACUGUCAAGUCCAAUUGUUGUUGUGUGUGGCUAGCAGCAGACCCAAUGCGUUUUCAUUGUGGCAUCUUUGUAUUCAGGAAAAUUUAUAACCGUAAGUUUUUUUUUAUCUGGUAUUUUUUGAUAAGGAUAUACCGAUAAAAUAUCGGUUCAUCACAAGGUAUGAUUAUUACAUUGGCCACCGUGUUUUCAUCAAAGAAAAAAAAUGACUAAAGAAAACCUUGAUUUGAUUAUGUAAUUAGAAAUUGAGAUUUAUCUGCGCUUUCAUUAUGGCAUCUUUGUAUUCAAGAAAAUUUAUAACCAUAAGUUUUUAUUGAUCUGGUAUAUUUUUAUAAGGAUAUACCGAUAAAAUAUCGGUUCAUCACAAGGUAUGAUUAUUAUAUUGGCCACCGUGUUUUCAUCCAAGAAAAAAAAUGACUAAAGAAAACCUUGAUUUGAUUAUGUAAUUAGAAAUUGAGAUUUAUGAACAGAUCUCCUAUCAUCGAUCAUGAUGUUAACCGAAUAUGUUGAAUAAUGUAUAUGAAAAUUAUAGUUGUUCUCUAUUUAUAUAUUAUUAUUAUUUUUUAAGAAAAAAGAGUGUUUCACUACAAGAUUUAACAGUUUUACCGACGGAAUUUUUCCGUCGGUGUAAGACACAUAUUCCGUCGGUAAUUAAUUUACCGAUGGAAAUGCUCCGUCGGUGAAUCUUUCGUCGGUAAUUUUUUUCCAUCGGUAAAUCCGUUGGUAAUAAAAAAAUAAAUUUAUCCGCUUCAUUUCGUCGGUAUAUCCCUCGGUAAUAAUAUUUUUUUAUUACCGAUGGAAUUUCCGUCGGUAAUUCGGUCGGUAAUUAUUUAAAAUCAUUUUAAAAAAAUCAUUUUAUAAAAUUAUAAAAUAAUUAAAUUAGCAUAAAUUAAAACUGUAUAAUAUAUAAUCAAAAUGCUUGGAAAAAAGAAUAAGAAAAUCAACUCAAACAAAUUUGCAACAAAUAAAUAAAAUGAAAAAAUAAAUUCAACUAAAAAAAUUCAUAUGAAAAAAAUAAAGUUGCAAUUGCUAAAAAUUUAAAAAUCCUAUAAAUAAAUGAACUAAAAAUUGAUCUCACAUGAAAAAAAAAUCUCACAACAACAUUUAUACAAUUAUUAAGAACAAAAACAAUUAAAAAUAAAAUAAAAAACAAAUAUAGUGAAACAAAUCAUGAAAAAAGAAGAAAAAAGAAAAAUCUUACCUUAAUUUAGUUGCAAGUGAAGCUAAGGAGAGAAAAAAAAAUUUCGUUAAGCAUAUUAAUUAAAAAAAAAACUAAGAGGAUAAAAGAAGAAAGAAGAAGAAGACAUACCCAUGCAUGGAGGAAAAGAGAAGGAGAUGAGGAGAGAAAAGAAGAGAAAGAAAUAUAUAUUGAUGUUUUUUACAUAUAGUGAAGAAGAAGAAGAAGAACAAGAACAAGAAGAAGUAGAAGAACAAGAAGAAGAAGAAGAAUAAGGAGAAGAAAUGAGUCUGUCUCUUGUGAAAUAAGGGGAUUCAGGCUUUUUAUUGGGGCGCGUUACCGACGGAUAAUUGAAUAUUAAUAUUUUUUAAUUAUUCCGUCGGUAAUUCCAUCAGUAAUAUUUAAUUUAUAUUUUUAAUUUCGUAAAAAUUUUUCAGAAACCGCCAAAAAAUUACCGAUGGUUUUUCAAUCCGUCGGUGAUUCUGUCUGUACUAUUUAAAUGAAAAAUUUAAAUUAAUUGAAUUUUUUCAGAAAACCGUCAAAUAACACUUUCUGGAAAAUACUUUUGUUGGAAGAAGAUCUGUAGUUCUAUACUGUUCGAAUAGGCCGGAUUCACAUAUAUGAUAAGGAGAUUUGUCGGAUGCACAUAUGGAGUAAUUAUCUCGUAUUGAAAAAGAAUAGUAGCAAAAAUGUGCUUUUAGAGGAUGAUGAACUCAAAAUCCUAAUCUAGAGAAUUAUGCAAGCCAGGAGAUACCCUAUCAAUUGUCCCUUUAAUUCGACUAAUUAUUUCGGGGUCUAACUUGUUUAUCCCAAGGAAACCUCGACAGAUUUAGAUUCGUGGAAGUUGCAUGACAUAGUCGAAUAUGAGAAGAUAAGUUGCGUCAAACAUGUGAGCUCCGUUUCACCGAAUUCUCUCGGAGUAGAAAACUAUGGAAUGCAUCCAUUUUCUGUUUCUUGCUACUUGUAAAACUGCUGAAGAAGUUCUGGGCUCCUUGUCUCGAGUAGAGCAGGGAGGAACCGGGGUGAGGAACAGCGGUUUUCGCUGUAUCGAUGUAAUGGUGUUUUCGUAAGCAUACCAGUUAUUUUCCUCACUUGACAGACAGAUGAAGAUAGGGUAUUAUGGUCUUUUUCGGUUUAAAUUUGUUGUGCCAUUAGACUUUUGAGCGUGCCAACAACCACACCCUGAUAAAAUCUCCUUUUCCAAAGCUUAUUCGGCGUUUGAUUAAUUGUUUUAAACGACAUCGUGUUAAAUCAAGGUCCAUUGGAUUUCCUUCGAUAAUAAAAGAUUCCCUGCCCUUUAACAAACAGGUUUCUCGCCUUUUUUUGUUCUACAUGUUUCUAUCGUUUUUUUGUCAAAAAUAAAAACCAAAUACAAUUUUAAAACCUUCCUCCCUCCGCAAACUUUGUAAUGUUGCAGAAAUUAUAAUUACAGAAUAAACUAGAAAAAAAGAGGCUAUUUCAUUGGAAAAAUUAGACGUGUCAAAUUACAAUUCAGUCCCUCAACUUUUUAAUUUUUAUAUAUUUGGUCAUUAUAGUUUUUUAAAUUUAUUUUUUUGUUAUAAACUUUAUUUUUAUCAUGUUUUAAUUCUUAGAUGAUGAGGGAGAAGAAAUAUGCUCUCUAAAAAAAAAGGAGAGAGAAAAGUUUUGGUAUGCGGUGAAAAAAAUAAUUUUAAUAUUAAUGGGUUCGCCUUCUAGAGAUGACUUAUGAAAAUGAUUUUACUAUUUAAUUAUACCAAAUAAAAUAGAUUGAGAUUCAGAACAACAAAAUUUGAACUUGGAUAAUUUGAACUUGUUCUAAUAUAUAAAUAUGGAUAGAAAGUCAAAGUUUAUAAACAAAAUUUUCCAUUAUGAGUAUUCUUUUGAGUCUCUCGUGUUAUUGAAGUUGCAAUCUUGCUUUCAUUGCUUGUCCAUGUUUGAUUUCAAAAUUAGUAUUAUAAACAUACAUUUUAAUUACAAUAAGACGUGGAAAAUAUAGAUUAACACUUUAAAGUGAUAAUUAGUCUCCUUGUUGAUAUGGGCAGAGUGCAUACUCUAAUUAAGGCUCGUGAAUUACUUUCAAUCCACUCAAUUUAAUCUAUUGCAAGAGAGAAAUAAAAAGAACUCAUUAGAGUAAAUAAUAGAGUAUAUUUAAUAAUUAAUUCAAUCUAAAAUUGAAAAAAAAAGUAAUUGGAUUGCCUUGCAAACCGCUCUCUUAAUCUAUUACCAUGUAUAAAUAUUUUCUUAGCUAAUAAGCUAAUUGUAUAUAUUAUUAUAAAUUAUUUUAUAUUAAAUUAUUUUUCUAUAAAAUAUUUAGACAUAUCUUUAAAAGUAACUAUGAGAUCAUUUACUAGAAACAAGUAGUAUACAGGCCGGUUAUUUUUUUAUUUUAUAAGUGUUUUUUAAAAAAUAAUUUUAUUUUAUUUUUUAAAAUUAAUAUUUCAUAUCAUUUUAAUAUGUUAAUAUUAAAAAUAAAUAUUAAAAAAUAAAAAUAUAGUAUUUUAAUAAUAUAUUUUUAAAUAAAAAAUAUUUUAGAAAACAAGAAUGUUUCCUUCUGUUAUACAUGCAAGAAAGUGGUCGUUGGUUGUAAAGAAGACGAGAGACAUUUUCGAGGGGGAGUGGUCCAGGCUCAUUAAAAAAAGGCAUGGAUAAAAUAAUAAAUAGUAGGUGUCCUCCCGAGCAUUUAUGGAAGAAAAAACAACAAGGGGUGAAAGGAUGUGGGCCAUGUGGCCUGUAUUAAAUGUGUGGGGUUGAUGACAGCUUUUCUUUCUAUUAUUAUUUUUUAAGCGUCUCUUUCACGUGUUUUAUUUUUUAAUGAAAAUUCACAGAUAAGAUAAUAAAUGGUAACUGUACUCUCAUGCAUUUUUGAAGGAAAAAACAAAAAAAUAGAGUAUGGUCAUGAUCUAAAUAAAUCAAAACACCUUAUUUUAACCAAAAAAUAAUAAUAAUAAACAUGUCGAUGCUAGUUCUUAACUGGUUCCGCCUUAAUCCAGGUUUACCGAACAAUCUAGAUUUCUGAUUUCAUACAUCAUGUUUUUUUUAUUUUAUUUUUUUUAACUCGACCCGUUUAAAUCCAAGUUAAAAGUUAUUUAGGAAUUUAAUUUCAGUUUUUCUUUUUACUGUUAUUUUUAAACACGUGUGUGAUGCCCUUUUCAUUUCUUUGUAAAGGAACAGAUUUGGGUGGGUUGGUUUAAUAUUUUUUUGAGUAUUUUUUAAUGAUUUCAACGUGUAUUUAAAAAUAUUUAAAAAAUCAAAUUAUUUAAAAAAAAAUAAAAAAACACAUCACUCAUCACGAAUUUGAUUUAUUAUGAAUCGCGUAGUUUUAUGAUGAAUUUACUUAAAUAACCCUUCAAAAAUAACUCGCACGUCAGAUCUCACAUACCUCGCUGAAUGCAUUUAGCUCAUCUGCAAUCUGCUGAGAUUUUGUUGUCUAUUGAUAUUCUUGUCUGGGGCUUAAGCUUUAUUUAUUUACCUUCUUUUUUUGUCACGUUUGUGCUUUCUAAAUCUAAUCUCUAUCAACAAGUAGAUCGCAGGGCAAAAACAACCAAACAAAGCAAAACGACGUUGUUAUUAUAUAAAUUGUCCAUGACAUCAUAUGAUCAGGGCUCACAAUCAUACAUUAUGCUAGUGCCUUUUUUCUCUCCUUAUGGUACCAUCUUCUCUCUCUUGAACACUUUUGAAAUUUCUCACGUCAAAUGCAUUCCAAAAGUAUGUUAAUUUGUUUUGUAAAAAUAUUAAUUUGAAGAUUUUUUUAUAUUCUUUAAUAAUUUUAAUAUGAUUGUAUAAAAAUAUAUAAAAAAAUUCAAAAUAAAUAUUUUUCUUAAAAAAUAUAUUGCAUUGCAAUAUUAAACACACAACUAAUUGCUUUAAUAUGUUCCUCGUCAACAACAACACCAAAAUAUUAUUUUUUAUUAUUAAAUAAUAUUAGUUAUUUAAUAAUAAAAAAUAUCAAUAAAAUAAUAUAAUUUUCAAUGUCAUGGGUAGAACCACAACAUCAAUUAAAUUAAUGUCGUGUUAGUGAAUAAUAACAUUAAUUAAAUAUUACAAUUUUGAACUAAAAUGGAUUUGAUUUUAGAGUGUUUUAAGAAAAAAUAAAAAGUGAUUGCGGGUUUGUUAAGAGAGAAAAAAGCUUUUGACAUUGAAUUUUUUAGAGAGAGGGAGCUGCAUCCCUCCAUGUUCUUUGAUUUGGAAAGAUGAUUAAAUUUCACAACAUGAUAUAUUUUUGAUAUGCAAUAUGUUUAAUUAUUGCUUUUCUGAAACACGAUAAUUAUCUUGUCGUGUUUGGUAAUAGCGAUAUUUAAUAAGUAUUAUUUUUAAAAAACAUAAUAAAUUAAAAAUAAGUUAUUUAAAAAUAAAAAUCAAUUGUAUUAUUUUUAAAAAUAUAUAUCACUGUGCUAUUUGAUACCAUUUGGCUGGAACUGGGACCGGAAUGGCUGGUUUGAACUUUGAAGAGCUGUUAGAAAAUAAACGGAAAUGUGGAACCGAACCAUUACCGAGAAAGCAAAAAAGUCAUCUUUAUUAACCGUGAUUCCUAUCAAGCCUGGCCGUUGAUAUAAUAAUUCACUCUUUCAUUCUGUACGGGCAACUUUUCAAACGUGAUACUAACUUUGAUGAUUAUUCUACGGUAACAUACACUUCCAUGACCUACGACGGAUUUAUGUCUUAUCUUUAUGGAGCUUAUGUAAAUUUUUGUUUCUUAUAACUUUCAAGUUCGACCAUGGAGCUCCUUUCAUUUUUUGAUUUUCUGUUUGGAGGAGAAUCUCAAAAAAAAAUCCGAUUACUGAAAAAAAAAUCUUCUUCGAAGAAUCAAGAUGAGUUCCAGUGCCGGUCCGACUGAGCCUAGAUAUUUUUUGGUCGCAUACGCCAUGACAGAUAUCUCUUUCUUUGAUUUUUUUUUAUCACAGGAAACUAAAGUAUUUUGGGGUUUUACCGUUCCUUUUGUUGUUUGCUAUGACUACUUUACAUCGUGAGUUGUCUUUUAUUCUUUUACUACAAAUGGGCUGCCGCAGCCAGGACAUUAGGCGUGGAAAGUCAAAUUAAAAACAGAGCUUUUAAGAGUUAAAAUUUACUAAUUUUAAUACUAAAAUUUAUAAUUAUUCAAGGAGAGACAGGGGGGGAAAUUGCAGGGGCCCCGGCCAUCCCCUGGCUCCUGGGCUACGUGGCGGGUCUACCACCACGUUUUUAUCGUCAUCCUUCUUGUCCGAGAGCAGAUAAUUUCCUGCUUUUUACUAGUAUGAACAAUAAUACCCGGUGUGCGGCACAAGAGAAUAGAUAAGAUGCAAGAGACGCGGGAGGGUUGAAGGCUCCCAGCCCAUCUAUAAAAAGGGCAGAGCAUCAUGCAGUUCAGCAGUUGACUACAAAGAGAGCAGCAUACAUCCAUAGAGAGAAAGAGAAGACAUGGCAACCAGAACUCCAAAGCUUGUGAAGCACACAUUGUUGACUCGGUUCAAGGAUGAGAUCACACGAGAACAAAUCGACAACUACAUUAAUGACUAUACCAAUCUGCUCGAUCUCAUUCCAACCAUGAAGAGUUUCAAUUGGUAAUUAAAACAAAGCCACUUUUCUACCUUCUCUCUAGAGUUCAUUGAGUAAUGACAAUCGUGCUUCAAUUGAUGUAUUUAUCACGCACAACUAGCCUCUCGCUGCAAUGCAAAUUGCCUGUAAUUAAUGCAUAGUCCAAAAUACAGUCAAUUGGGUCUUUGAAUAGCAUGUUUCUAAUACUAUUAACAAUGUUUUACUUUAUUAUGUGACAGGGGCACGGAUUUGGGCAUGGAGUCUGCGGAGCUAAACCGAGGAUACACUCAUGCCUUUGAAUCUACAUUUGAGAGCAAGUCAGGUUUGCAAGAGUACCUCGAUUCUGCUGCUCUUGCUGCAUUUGCAGAAGGAUUUUUGCCUACUUUGUCACAGCGUCUUGUGAUAGACUACUUUCUCUACUAAAUGCUCAGGAGUAACGACUUCGGCCGGGCUAUUUCAUGGGAAUAAAGUAAUGUAAUGUGCAAUAAAUGCUGGUUUUGAACCACUGAAUGUUCGUGUCUUGAUUUCUUGUUUGUGCUGUGCUAUGUGAAGGGAGUGCUGCUAUUCCUUAAAAAUAAAACCCUUGGGGUUGAGUUGUUGUUUUUCAAUCUUUUUCCCCGGUUAAUUUCGGUCUUGGUGUUGUUUUCUUCCCAUUUUAUGCCAUUAUCCUCGAAUGAGCUCCACCAUUGACGCACUUUCACGACUGACUGCGUGCGUAUGUACUUCUCUGAUGCCAAAUGCCAAGAGGAAAAAAGAAACGAUAAGAAGAGGAAAAGGAAAGAACCAGCAUCGAUACUGGAAACAACCCUCACAAUAAAAGCUAAAAUGUAAGGAUUCAUCACUUAAAGAAUCUGCCGUUUAAAACAAGUGAAUUUGCAUUGGCCCUUCGACAUUUUUAUUUGUUAUUUUCUGUUAUUGGAUCCUUCUUUCAAUUAAUUUAUUUGGCACGUCACAUGUUUCGCAUGAACUUCAGUCGGUGUUUUGUGGACGGUAAAGCGAAAGGAAGAAAAGGCCAAACAAAUUUUUUGGAAGUGCAUGAUGAAAAAUCAAGACCGGACCUUGUAGACAAGUUUACCAGUCAAAUUAAACGGGCAGGACAAGAAUUUAGAAUUCAAAUAUCGGAAGCCAUAUAUAUAUAUAUAUAUAUAUAUAUAUGACGUGUAAAAAGCAAGGAUGGAAAGAAUAUUCCAGUGUCAGAACGUAGACAUAGUCAACUAGAAUGCAAACACUUUUAUUGACGAGUUCCAACCGACGUUAAUGCACCAGGGUAAUUAAUGUUAAAAUUUUGAAGAAAAAAAAUCGUUUGAGUUGUUAUGUUGAUACAGAAAUAUAUCUCAUUCUCGAGUAAAAAAAUAUCCUCUCAUCAUAAGAACCAUGCGUGGGCCAUGCGAGUGAUCCGCCAGGCAAACUUAUGAUUAUUUUUUUGGGCAAAUAACAGGUCAUCAUUCUCUUAAAGAUACAAACCAUAAAAAUCCAGGCACGUGAGACCCGCAUGCCCGAGCUCUUUUUUAAGAGGGUCCAACGUGCUGAACCGUUAGGCUCUUUUUUAGUUUUUUCAUUUAUUUUUUGUCUGUUGUAUGAUAAAAUUAAGGAAAAAAAUGUUAGAUUUGGUUUGGUUAUUUGCGGUCACGAUUUUGAUAAGUUAAGACAUGAUAUCCAAUGGCCUUUUUUUUUAUGCAUUUCAAUUAAAAAAUAUAUAUAUAUAAUCUAAUUCUUUAUUAUCAUUGAUUUUUUUAUUUGACUUAAAAUAAAAGGAAUGCAAUCUCAUCUCAUCCCCUUUUUUAAUCAUGCACCAUAGAGAAAUUAUAUCUAAUUUAGAUCAUGUUCAUGGAACUGGUUGUAAAUUUUUUCAGUUUAUUCAAGCGGAAUGGAGUCGAUAUAACAUGAUAUAUUUUUUAAUUUUUUUUUUGUAAGUUUAAUUUUCCUUCAUAUUUAAUCCCUUUUUUUUUGUCAAUUAAGACACAAUCAAGAAGAGAAUAGGGAAAGGAAAAUAAAAGAAACGGGUUAACCAACUGGGUUAACUAAUUAUAAUUGUGUUUAUUAUCAGAGUUGUGAAUUUCACAUGUUAACAUGAGUUAAUAUAUAUGUUAUUGUUUUUUUCAUUUUACUUUCUUAAUUUUUUUAUUUAAUUCUUUAAUAUUUUAUUGUUUCAUAUUUAUACUAAGGUUAGACUGCAUGACUAUAUCACUAUUUGAAUAGGCAGAUCAAUUCACUUUUGAUUCGUUAGGUCAAACAAGCCUCGUCUUUUUAUAAUGGUUGAUUAAUUUUAUCUAAUACAUGGUUAAAUUUUUUUAUUUCUCAUUUCAAAUAACUCAUCAUGUGCAGGUAAAAAUAAUAACACUUAUAUUUUUUGAAUGCAAUUAUUGGUUUCUCAUCCAAUCCGCAACUAAACGGUGCAAUACGCUAGUUAAAGUCUACAUUAUUUUAUUGCUAUAUCUAUAUUUUAUUUUGAUUUCUCUAAACCACUUGAAUUAUAUCAACUUCAGUGUAAUUGUCGCACAAAACUAAUUGGAAAAAUAUUGCAAAUAUAAAAAUAUUCCUAACUUUGGACCGUUUCCUUUCUCGUAAUGAUGCAAGAAAAAAAAAACAACUAAUGUGAACGCAAAAGCACUGGCACAAAAACAUCAAUCUAGUAACAACCUUAAACAGGGGAGAAGAAUUUCCCUCCACGUUUUUUAGCAGCACACAAAAGAUACAGGCUGGCAAGAUAAUUCAGCAUUUUAAAGAGGCCACCAUGGCCCAGGCCAGCAACAACAUGUGGAAGAGAAAAAAGAAGCGGGAGAAUCAAGAGACCAGAACUUGUCCAGAAAAACCACCAAUAAAACCCUGAAAAUGAUAUCCUAAACGGGAAAAAAAAAAUGUUUUGAUAAUUUUUUCAACCAUAUACCUAAUCCUGCUUCCUCUCACCCCAAAAUCUACAUGUGGUUUUGCUUUUAGAACUGAAAACAUAGAUUAAAAAAAAGAAAUUGGUCUACAAAGAUCAAAUUAAAAGCAACAGUUCAAUAUAUGCUUUUUGUAAGUUUAAAUCCAUCAAUAAUACACAAUACCUUCCAGGAACUCUAGCAAAGAGCUGAUUCUUGUUGAUCUCGGAGCUUGAUUACUACAAUAAUCAAAAAAUUAAGCAAACCAUCGAUCAGUAGAGCAAAUAAUAGAGGAAGAAUAGAAGCUCCAAAGUUGAGCAGAUAAGAAUAAUUAAUCUAAACUGUUACCUUGCUUACUUGCCCUUCUCAAUAGGCUGAUUAGCAUAUGAACAGAUUAGAAGCCGACUCGGAGAUUAAACCGGUGUAGGAAUAACAUUAAAGACUUAGGAUUUCAACCGAAAUACCUUCUUUCCUUGCAAUCUGACAUCCUCUUAUCAAGCGUAGAAGAAUCACCACCAGCCUAACCAUCCUUGUCAUCGGUGAUGCGCAAGCAAAUCCCUGCCUCUGCACUUGUUUCUUCUCCAUCAUGAGUACCCUUUCCUUUUCUCUUCUGGCUUUUCGUCGUCCCCUUUUCUUCUCCGGUGAAAUGAAAAGACCCAACUACCCUCGCUAGAGAGUUAGAAAAAAUUGAUCAAAAGGGAAAAGAAGUCAUUUUACUGUCCCAACAAAACUAAAAGGUCACUGGUGCUCCUUCACAAACCAUUAAUGACUAUAGGUUAUAUAAAAACACUAAAAUACCCUUGAACCAUAGUCAUCUCAAGUUUUCUUGCGAGGGCACAAUUGAUAAUACACCGAAGCUAUGAAGAGUAAGAACAGGGUAUAUACACAGUGUUUUAGCUGCAUGUUUUACAGUUGUUGUUAAUUGUUAAUCGUUGAUGUUAAUAAGUGACGUGACAGGGAUAAAUAUCUUUGGUGUUGAGACGGAGGGCCUGUAUCGAGGUCACACUAGAGCAUUUGAGACCACGCUUGAUAGCUUGGCGGGCUUGCAAGAGCAUCUUGAUUCUGCCAUUGUUAAUAAAUUAACAAUAAUAAAUAAUUUUUAUUUUUAAGAAUAAAUUAUAUAUAUAUAUAUAUAAUAUAAAUAAAUUAGAAUAAUCUCUCCCAAGUAUUAAAUACAUACAACAUAAUUUAAAAAACAACCGUGAUAUUUAAAAAAUGCAAACAAACAAUCUAAAAAAUUAGAGAAAAAUAUUAUUAAUAUAAAUAUAAAUUAAAAAAAUACAUAUUAAAAAAAGUAUCAACGCAAAAAAAAAUAUAAAAGAAGAAAGGUCACACACUCUUGAACCUAGCAUGCUAGGUCCGCGAGAUUGACAUAUUUUGAAAAAGUACAGGUUAUAUGUUAUUUGUCCCAUUAUCAAAAGACCAACGCGUCCUUACUAGCAAGUGUAGUGGUAAUUAUUUCAGGUGUACAAAUAAAAAAUAAUAAUUUUUUCUCAAAAAAAUAAGUUUAAGGAAAAAAAGAUUUUUUUUUAAAUUACAAAAUGUUGAAUAUAAGAAAAACAUUGGUAUUACAUAAGUCAAGUGUAAAGUGUAAAGUGAUAUAUAUAUUAGAUGCAAAGAAAAAGAAUAAAAAAACAAAAACAAAAUUACAAAAUACAAGUUUAUCACCCUUCGAGAAAAAAAUUAAAAAAAUACAAUUUUUCUACCACUACAGUGAAUUUUUUUAAAAAAUAAUAAAAUUAUAAUUUUGUCACCAUUACAAUAAAAAAAUUAAAAAUAGUUAUAAAAUUUUAAUUUCUAAAGUGAUUUGCCAUUUUCUUGCAGUAUAUUGUAUACUUUUAUUUAUGAAUAAUGAAUAAAUAUGAUUUAAAAUAUAUACUUACAUAUAUAAUAUUUAUAUUAUAUAUAUAUAUAAUAUAAAUAAACAAUAAACAAUAAAUAAUACCUAGAUAAUUAAUAUUAAAUAAACAUAUGAUAUUCAAUAAAUAAAAAUUACAAUUUAAAAUCUUUUAUUCAAUAACUAAUAAACAAGAUACAAAUAGAGUAAAUUUUUUCAUGAAUGAUUGCCGUUGUCAUCCCUGAUUUUAAUAAAUGCCGAGCCAUGUCAAGAGGUGUCGUUCAAAACUUCAAAUGAGAGAAAGUAACCUGCAGGUCCUCGUAGCUUGCUAGCUUCCCUAUAAAAGGGGCAUUGGGUCAUACAUCCUCGCAGCACCGAGAGAGAGAAAAGGAGUGAGAUAUUCAAGAGAAAUACGUUUAGAAAUCAAGAGAGAGAGAGAGUUAAGACAAUGGCCUCGAAGAAAUCUGCAAUCGUAUUACCUGGUUCAAAGGUGUUGAAGCACAUAGUUUUUGUACGGUUUAAUGAUGGGAUCACUGAUGAACAAAUUGAGAAAUUCAUAAAAGACUAUGCUCAUGUCGCCGAUGCAAUCGAACCCGUGAAGGGAUUUGGCUGGUAACAUUAAAGCAUAUCCUUCUCUCAACUGAUUUAAUUUAAUUUUCCAGCUCCUUUCUUCAAACUAAUUAAGCACUGCUAGCUCUGAUUUCUCUCUGUCAUGAUUGUGAUUAAUUUCCUAACACUGAUCUUUACCAUUUUAAUCUGUAUUGUGUUGUGACAGGGGUAAAAACUAUCCUGUUCAGCAACUGAACCAUGAUUACCUUUACGGGUUUGAGCUUUCAUUUGACAGUCAGGAUGCCUUCAAUGAGUAUCUUCAAUCUCCUGCUCUCACUGAAUUUCAUGCCAAGUUUUUGCCUGCCUGUGCAAGCCGUAUGAUCAUGGACUACUAUCUCUUCUAAGUCUCUCCAAGGAUAAUGAACCUCUGCUGCCCUGCAAUUUUCAUUUGUAAAUGGAAAUAUGCUGAAGUAAUAAAGAUCAACUCGUGUUGAAUGUUUCUUUGGUUAAGUUAAAUUGAAGUGCUGUAUAUGUUGGAAACCUUUGUGUGGUUCAGGGUUUAACGAUCCUUAUCAAUAAACAAAUAUUUUAUGAUACUCUUUUUUUUGUAGUUCUUUCUUUCUAUUUCCAAUUUUUUAGUAUUUAGCAAUUAGCAUCCCUACCUCGCCAGGAGUCAUAACCUACUUCUCGAAUUUUCUUUUUUUCCUUUUUUUUAAUCAAAGGAAAAUGCAAUUUCAUCGAUGAAAGUCGGAUUGCCAUGGGCUUAGCUUCUUACAUUUUAUAUUUAAAGGUCAGUAUUUUCCAGAAAAAAGAGCUGUCUCAGAUAUCACAUGACAAACUUUUUAUCCCAUAUUACAGACAGUGUAUAAAUACACAUUCACCUUCACCAUUCCAAUCAAAUGGUUUCAACUCCAAGUCAAGGAAUGUCGUGAGCAAUGAUAAUAAAUCAUGCUCGAACCAUCAACUCUCAGUGCCUGACCUCACAUGGGGAUGGCGAUUGUAUCUGUUUUUACAGGGAUAUGUUUUUAUUUAUGUGAAUACAGAUAUGGGCAUAGAAAGAUUUUUGUUUUUAUGGAGAGGAAGGUGGAGGAGACAUGUAAAAAUACCUGAUUUAUUCGGAUAUGGAGAUGGGGGGAUAUCCUCCAGCCCACUAAAUACAAACAAGUAUGGAAGUUAGGGAGGUCUCCAUAUAGACGGAGGUUGACGGCGCAUCCUCCACCUCCAUGGAUCUCUGCUGUUAUCCAUGACCCUGUGAAAGGAACAAAACCUAGCCUGUGAAACCAAGGAAGUAUCCUGAUCUUUGAUGAGAUAUCAUUCUGUAGAGGUGGACACAUACUGAUACAGUGUAUAGUGUCGUGAUACAGAUUUUCAGUACUCAGAAAAACCUUAAAAAAAUAACAUUAACAAGACACGAAAACAUAUUUUUCUAUAUUAAAAAGAAAUUAACCGGCCGGUCCCCAAUACAGAGCAGAACGGUAAAAUGUGAAAGCUCGCCAAUUUGAAUAAGUUCAGGUUAAAUGAUAAUGAUGGCUAAAUACCUACAAAUAAAAUAAACUAAAAAUACAAAUUAAUAAAAAUAUAAAAACAUUACCUGAAUAAAUAUAUCAAAUUUAAUUUUUAAAUGUGAGCAAUUUUGGCUAGUUUUGUUGGUUUGGAUAGGAAAAAAAAAUCGUGAUAGGUGAGUUAAAAAUUAUUGUUUAUUAUCUUAUUGUGCUUGUUUACUCUUCAGUAUCGUCUUCUUGGAUUCAUGCUAGUUGAAAUAAUAUAUAAACUUAUAUGUACAAGCUUAGUCCAGUGGUACAAUACCUUUAACCUCUUUUGCUGGUAUACGAGCGCUAUAAAUGAAGUUAAAAUUAUUUUUAAUAUAUAAAAAAUAUAUCCAAGCAUUGUUAAUAAUUUUUUAAUUAAAACAAAUAAAUCAUGUAGAUAUUAAUUUAAUUUGACCAGAGUAACUUGAGUUCAAAAAUAAAUUGAAUAACCAGUAAAAAUAUAGAUUGACUCAUAAAAAUUCAAUUUGAAUAACUAGAAAAAAUAUAAUUUGACUCAUAAAAAUUAAAAAUAAUAACUUUAUUUGAAAAAUAUUUUUGAUAUUAACACUUCAAAAUAAUCUAAAAAUUCAAAAAAAAAUUAAUUUUAAAAAAAAUAUUUAAUUUUUUAAAAAUAUUUUUAAAAUAUAAAAACAAACAUAAUAACAAACAACAAAAUCAAUUAACAACAAAAUCUCAGCAGAUUGUAGAUGAGCAAAAUGCAUUCAGCGUGGUACUUGAGAUUUGACGUGCGAGAUAUUUUUGAAGGUUGUUUAAGUAAAUUCAUCAUAAAACUACGCGAUUCAUAAUAAAUCAAAUCUGUGAUGAGUGAUGUGUUUUUUCAUUUUUUUAAAUAAUUUGAUUUUUUAAGUAUUUUUAAACACAUGUUGAAAUCAUUAAAAAAUACUCAAAAAAUAUUAAACCAACCCACCCAAAUCUGUUCCUUUACAAAGAAAUGAAAAGGGCAUCGCACACAUGUUUAAAAAUAACAGUAAAAAAAAAACUGAAAUUAAAUUCUUAAAUGAUUUAAACAUGGUCGAGUUAAAAAAUUAAAUAAAAAAAAAACAUGAUGUAUGAAAUCAGAAAUCUAAAUUGUUCGGUAAACCUGGAUUAAAGUUGAACCAGGUAAAAACCAGCAUCGAGAUGUUUAUUAUUAUUAUUAUUUAUUUAUUUGGUUAAAAAUAAGGUGUUUUGAUUUAUUUAGAUCAUUACCAUCCUUUAUUUUUUUUGUUUUUUUCUUCAAAAAAUGCAUGAGAGUACAGUUACCAUUUAUUAUCUUAUUGUGAAUUUUCAUUAAAAAAAAUAAAAGAGGCGCUUAAAAAAUAAAUAAAAAAAAAAACCUGUCAUCAAAUUCCCCCCCUACUUUCAUCAACCCCACACAUUUAAUACAGGCCACAUCCUUUCACCACUUGUUGUUUUUUCUUCCAUAAAUGCGCGGGAGGACACUGACAAUUUAUUAUUUUGUCCAUGCCUUUUUUUAAUGAGCCUGGACCCCUCCCCUUCGAAAAUGUCUCUCGUCUUCUUCACAACCAAGGACCGCUUUCUUGUAUGUAUUACAAAAGGAGAUAUUACUUGUUCUCUAAAAUAUUUUUUUUAUUUAAAAAUAUAUUAUUAAAAUAAUAAAUUUUUAUUUUUUUAAAUUUAUUUUUGAUAUUAACGUAUUAAAAUGAUAUAAAAUAUUAAUUUUAAAAAAUAAAAUAAAAUUAUUUAAAAAUAACACUUAUAAAAUUAAAAAACAAUAAUCAGCUUGUAUGUGACUUGUUUCUAGUAGAUGAUCUCAUAGUUAAUUAUAAGGAUAUACGUAAAUAUUUUAUAGAAAAAUAAUUCAAUAUAAAAUAAUAUAUAAAAUUAGCUUACUAGUUAAGAAAAUAUUUAUACAUGAUAAUAGAUUAUUUCAACAACUAUCACACCAUCACAACACCACCCCACCCUCACCGUGUUGUCAUGUAUAGAUUAUUUCAAAUUUGACCAAAUUAAUUUGGGUUUAAAAACAAGCUGAAUAACCAGUAAAAACAUAGUUUGAAUCAUAAAAAUUCAAUUUGAAUAACUAGUAAAAACAUGAUUUGACUCAUAAAAAUUCAAGAUAACAACUUUCUUUGAAAAUCAACACAUGAAUAUUGAAGAAAGAAAUUAAAAAAAAUUAAUUACAAAGAUAACCCCGUAUAAAGCAAUUCAAAACAAAUUGUAAGCUUAAUUCUCAAUCAACACAUGAAUAUUGAAAAAAGAAAUUAAAAAAAAAAUUGAUUAAAUUUAAGUUGUUAAACUCGUAACCCAUGUUAUAAGAUCAAGAUAACCUCAUAAAAAGUAAACAAAAAAAAUAACUGGGAUCAACCCGGGAUAACGUGCCAAACUUAAGAAUAAGGUCAUAGGACUGUGAUUACCUCAUAGAAAAAAAUCAAAACAAAUUAUGAAGUCUAGUUUUCAAAAAACCUCAUUGUUCAAUGUUGAAAUCAAAACAUAAAUAAAUCUAAAAACAGGAUACGAUGAAAUGAAUUGAGUUUGCCCGAGUUAACAUGCAAAACACGUAACCUAAGUUAUAAGAUCGAGAUCACCUCGUAGAUAGCAAAUCAAAAUAAAUAAUGAAGCCUAGUUCCUAAUUAAGUCAAUAUUGAAUGAAAAAAUUGAAAAAAAACCAAUUGUUUUUAAAAAAACUCAAGUCAACCGGGUUAAUCAACUAAACAUGCGAUCCAAGUUAUAAGACUGAAAUAACCUCGUAAAAAGCAAAACAAAAUAAAUUAUGAAACUUAAUUCCUAGUCAACCCAAUAUUUAAUUAUAAAAUUGAAAAAAAUAUCAAUUAAAAAAACAUAGAAAAAAAUAAAGUCAAUCGAGUUAAUCCGUCAAAAUUGUGACACGAGUUAACUACAUAUCAAACAAAUCAUAAUAUCUUAGGAAGCUUAAUUUUUAAUAAAUGAAAUGCUAAAUUAUAGAGUUAGAGAAAUUAAUAUAGAUUUUAAAAUAAAUAUAUUAUUAAAAUAGAUAUUAUAUUGUGAAGUGAUCGCGGGUGAAAAAACAAUCCCUUCUAGUUCAUUGUUGAUAUUAAAUUUUUUGUUGUCGUUUACGUGGGAAGCCUGUCUUAGCUGCACGGGACAAAAUCACUUGUAUCUAUAGAUGAAAAAAAAAAAUGGACUUAUUAGUCAACAUAUUAAAAAUAAAAAACAAUUUAAAAAACAAACACACCAGUCUAUAUAAUCACCCCCACUAAAUGGCAUCCAACUAGAAAGUGCUAAGCAAUUGACACGAGCUAAUUUGGAGAGAUUGGGGGUAACGGUGAUGAAGGAUUACUUGUUCUGCUAAAAAGUUUUAAAUCCCGUAGAACAUAUCGUGAGAAAUGAAUUCCCUCGUUCUGCAUUCUUGCAUUUAUCGCCUCUCACGUGAGUGAUGUUUUUUUGUUUCCCAGUCGAGUGGAUGAACCUCAAAUGUCGUCGUCAAAUGGGUGGCUGUGGACAUUCAUUGAGAGGAUAAUGGGUGGCUGGGGACCACAGUCCCUAAUUCACAUGGACGCGGUCCUCUCUACUCACAUCGACGCUACAGACACCCAGUGCAGUCCGUAGAGAUGGGGUCUCAUCCGCGGCUACAUGGUUGCCCUCAAACAUUCAUUGAAUGACGACUAUCUUUUUCUGAUAAACGACAAGACGUCACGUCACGUCACGUCUAAUAUUCAAUAGCCGUGUCCGAUCAUUUUUGAUAACCUUUCGUUUUGGUAAGAGUUAUCACUGAAGUUUUGAUGCGACUCUAAUAUCUCAUUAUUCUUUUUUCUCUUACCUCUCCCAUGGAAUUCGCGUGAGCCCAGUCAGGUUUAAUCAUAGUUUUAUAUUAUUUUUUUAAUUUAAAUUACCACAUCAUAAAUGAAUUUUAAGAUACAAAAUAAUUCACCUGGAUGAUAAUUUCAGGUGCGAUUGUUCAGAAUAGAUCAGUCUUUAAUAAACAUGCCAUGCACUGAUGGAAAAGCUUAAAAAAAAAUAUGAAUUUUAUAUGUAUCUUUAUUGUAUUAAAAAUUAUUUUACUAUUAAAUAUAUAUUUUAAAUUGUCACACGUUACACGAUAAAAUUUAAAUGCGUAGCCAAUAACAAUCUCCUUUGCUCUAUUAUAUUAUUUUAUUAAAAGUGACAGAAAACGUGGAGAGUGGAGUUUGUCUAGGCUCCACCCUCAAAUUAUUGCUUUAUUAUAUUAUUUGUAUUAAAAGUAACGAAGAAAACUUUGGACGGUGCAGAGUUUGAAUGGCCUCUACGCUUCCGAUCAUAACAAUUUUAAGAUAUUAAAAAAAUUAAUUUUUUAAAAAAUAAGAAUUUUUAAAACUUAAAAACAAAUGAAUUCAUAAAACAUUUGUUAAAAGGAUUGUAGCUUCAAAAAAAAAAAAAAAAAAAACAGUGGAAUUCUAGCCCUAUCCUAUGAACUGAAUCCAGAUGACUACAUGACACUAAAUUAAUGAUCUUACCGAUUCAAUAACUCGCCCGUGUGCAUUUUUCUUAGUAAUUAUUUAUUUUCAAGGAUUGGUUCAUAAACUCAAUAUUUUAUUUUUAUUUUUUUCAAGUUCUUACGUUUUUAGCUUGGAUUGAGUUACAGAGGCGCUGACCUGGAAAAAAAAAUAUAAUAAAUACCUUAAUCUGACCUCCCAAAUUUCCAACUGUGAAAGGAAAACUAACCCGAAAAUAGCUAAGGAUUUUAAUAUCAUGUUCAAAUCCAAUCAUUUGAAUUCAAUUCACUUCAAAGAUUUUAAUAAAAAUUUAUGUUUGUAAUAGUUUUAGGAGUCAAUAAUUAAAUUCCAAAAAUUAUUUAAUAUCUAAAAAUUGUAAAAAAUAAACUAAAUAUCAGUCUCUCUUAUUUAAAAUUUAAAAUAAUUAAAAUUUAAAGUUAAAACUAAUUUUUUAAAAAUAUUCAUUUACCUAUAUUUUUUAGAGAUCUUUUAAAAAAUAAGAUGAAGAUGAUAGGAUAAUAUAAAAAAAACAAAUUAAAUUUUAUCUCUUUUAAAAAUAUAAAUUUAAUUUAUUUCUCAAUUAAAUUUAAAUUAAUACUAUAAUUAAAUUCAAUUAUAUAAAAAAAAAAAUCUAUAGGCUGAGGCUGGGGGGGCCUACCUUACAAAAAGACGACGGAUGGUUAUUUUUCUGAGUAAAAUUUUAAAAAGUGACGCCAUUUGAUUUUGUUGUCGGGGUGGGGUUAUCUCUUCUUUUGAAAGAAUGCUGGCCUUCGCUGUAGACGUUGAAAUCCGGUUAGCAAUCCUCACCUUGUGGUGGCAUGAUCCGGUAAGAGUACAUUUCAAAUAAUAUUUUUAUAAAAUUUUAAGUUUUUUUAGAAUUAUUAUUUUUAUAUUUUUUUAUUGUUUUAAUAUGCUGAUAUUAAAAAUAUUUUUUUUAAAAUAUAAAAAAUAUUAUUUUAAUAUAUUUAUAAAUAAAAAACAUUUUAAAAAACAACUAUCUUAUCACACUCCCGAAUACCUUUAAUAUCUACAUACUGCGAAUCAUGUCAUGCUUGUUUGGCAGUGUGGUUCAGGAUGCUUUUCAAAUAACUUUUCGUGUCAAAAUGCAUGCCAAUGAUAUUUUUUCAUUUUUUUAAAAGUAUUUUUGACAUCAGCACAUCAAAAUGAUCUAAAACGUGUAAACCAUAUUAAAUUUUAACAAAAAAAAAAUUUAAAAUUUUUUGAACACGCAAGUUCAACCGCGUUCCCAAACGUUCCCACAGCGUAGUCCUCAUGCUUGCUGUAAUAAUACAUGGCUGAGAUCAUAUUAUACUUGAUGCUAAAAAAUAAUAUGUUAAUUGUAGGUUUAUUUGUAAAAUAUUUUUUCUUUUAAAUUGAGUUCCAGAUCUUAGUUUCUCUAUUGAUUUUUUAUUAUAUGUUUUUCGACAUCUCUAUAAUGACAUGUAAGAUUGUUUUCAUUCUCAGCGUAUAGUUGAUUUCGAAGCUAGAUCGAUGUACAUGCAUUUCUUCUUCUUCUUUCAAUAAAAAUCUGUACUUGACGAAGGAAAAAAACCGAGAUUGUCUAAAUUAUGCGAGCCCAGUCAACAUCAUGAAAUAAAUUCAGAAAAUUUAUCCAACGCCAAACACGUGCACGUAUAUGUGGAUAUAUAAAGGUAGGUCCAAGUAUGACUUGAUUUAUAUUCUUUAUUUAAGAAUCUGAAUUAUUGAUCCGUGAUUAAUACAGUACCGAACGGGAUAUUUUAUUGAAUAUCCACGUUAUGCUUUCGAGAUGCUGUUUGGACGGCAAGUUCUUCUUUUCUUUUCUUUUCUUUUUUUAUUGAACGAGAAAUAACAAACAACAGUAUUGCCGACACGAGACCCCUCAGCAAGUUAAGGUAGUGGAUCUAUUUAUGUCGUUGCAGUAAAAUGCUGGGUAUUGAAUACAGCCCAUCAUGAUACAUGCAAUUCAUCACGUUGUGGUAUUUUUUACGGUAGAAUAAAUAAAUAAAUAAAUUGCAUGAGAAUUAAAUCGAUGCAACUGGGUUGCAUUGAUUGAUUUAAAGCUAACGGAAUAACUAACAAAAAUAUAAUUUAGAUCAAAAUACAUAUUUAAAAUGUGAUUUUUUAAAUAAAUAUUAAGAUAAUAAUAUAUUAAAUUAAUUCGGAUCAAGUCAGAUUAACCUAACAAUUUAUGUAUCAAGUCAUGAGAUCAUGACAGCUCUAUAAAAAUCAAAACAAAACAAAUUACAAAACUUAAUUUAAAAUAAGAUUUUUUUAUUAUUAUUCACGUGAGGUGUUCAGGCUAGUUUCGACUAAUCCCCACGGGCCUUGAAGUUAACGACCACGUAAGCCUCCAGUGAUCAUCAUUAAUUUCAAAUAAGUUAAAUAUUAAACGAUGAAACUUUAAAAAAUUAACUAAAAAAUACAAAAAAAAAUCAAGUUAACUUGUCAAACCCGCAAAUCGGGUCACGAGAAUAAGAUAACCUAGUAUAAAAUAAAUUAUGAAACUCAAUUAUCAAUCAACCUUGUGUUGAAAGAUGACAUUAAAAAAAUCAAUUGAGAAAACAUUAUAAAAACAAUUUGGGUCAAUCAUGUUUAAAAUGCUAAACUCGUAACUUAAAUCAUGAGAUGAAGAUAAAUUUAUAAAAAAUAAAUUAUGAAGUAUAAUUAUUUAUUAACCUUACUCAUGAAAACAAGAAAAAAAUAAAUAAAAAAAGGAAAAACAAUAAAUUGAGACCGUCAAAUUAACCCAUCAAAUUCAAAAAAAUAUUAUUUAAGCCAAUAAUAUUAUAGUAUUAUAUAAGAAAGGACAAUGUCAAACCCUCUCCUUCCUUUAUUUAUUUAUUUAUCCUCUGUUUCAAUUUCUCUCUCAUCGACUGUUUUUCGACUUCCACGUGAUUCCAUUCUCUCUCCAAUGAUUCAAUAUCAUCAAACAUUAUUUUUUACGAUCCAUGAUUGUUUUGAUAUGAUAAUGCUAAAAUAAAAAAACAAUAUUUUAAUAUAAAAAACAAAGAGAGACAUUUGACACUUUUGUCUAUUUUGGGUCUAGUGGAUGAGUGCUGGUAAUAUCAUUGAUUGCAGUACAUGGCAUUCAGAAAAAUGGCCUCAUCCAUUUUCCGGGGACCACAUUCAUGACUCCCAGGUCCCAUGGAUGCGGUCCUCUCGAUUCGGCAGAAAUCCAGUGAAAGCCCGUGGGGAUGGGAGUACUGCUACAGUCCACGACUGAAAUAUUUUUAUUUUUUGCCCCCUUCCUCUUUACACUCGAAUAAAAAAAGACAAAAACGAAAAUUACGAUCUUUCACGUGUCAAGUCACGUGUGGCAAAUUAAAACAAAAGAUAUUGUUUUAUUCUUUCGAGAUAAUGUGGCUAUAGUUUAUGACUAUUGCGCGGUGGAUUUCACGUUUGCGGUGAAUCAUAGUUAAUAGUUGCUUGGUUCCGAACAAAAUUGAGUUUGGUGAAGCGAAUCCCACGUAAAUUUAAAUUGAAAACGCAAUUAAUUGCACAGUAGUAUAUACAUACCUUUUUGGGGUUCUUAGUAAUGCCGCAGGACUUGCUGUAUAUCUUCUUUUUUUGUGCACGUGACAGUACUCUUCCCCUCCUCAAUAUUGGAGCCACUGCUUACUUGUUUUCUCACCCUACACGAGCAAAGCUCUGAUGUCUGUCAACUAGAGCAACCAUUUACAUAGUAUUCUCCGAACUCUUCCUAUAAUCACAACACAACCCUGCAUAAAAGGCAAUAAAAAAAAGUGUUGUAAUUCGUGUGGUUGUUUGUAAAAUUUAAUGUUAAUAAAAUGCAAAUUAAUAGAAUUAAAAAAUAAAAAAUAAUACAUGUUUUUUUUGUAAUAUUAUUACUUAAAUCAUUUUAACCAUAAAUUUAUCCAAACAAUCAAUCAUAAUUUUUAUUAAACAAGUAUUUAAAUUCAACUAAUCAUAACUAAUCAUAUUUUUUAAAACUUAUUUUUUUUGAAUUACAAUAGUAAAAAUUACAGCAAUAUUAAAUACACGGUUAAUAUUCUAUGGUUAUCUAGGGGGGGAAAAAACAAAAUCAGGACAACAUGUCACUUAUCACAUUCAAGGUGGCUCGACUGUGACUGUGAAAAUGAUGAAUCGUGACAGAAAUUUUCUUCUCUCAAAUUAUUACAAUGCCCUACCUCCCGUGAGCCAGUUUGAUAGAUAAAUACUUUAGUUUUUAUUUAUUUAUUGUUGAAAACCCCUUUUAUUUUAAUAGAUUAUUAUUUGUUUCGUUUUCGAUAUAUUUAGUCUCUUCACCAUUAAAAAAAUAUCUCAUCGGCUCCCUCCGCCUUUAUAAUUAAAUCAGACAUUAUCUCCUUACACGGUAAUAUCAACCAUUCGUUUGAUUUGAUUUUACAUGUUGAUAGUGUUAACACUUCACUGUCUUGCAAAAAAUUAACGUAUGAUUUUGGGAGUAUACACGGGCUGGGUUUUUAUAGAUAACACACAUCAUAUUUUGUUUUCUUUUAUUUUGGAAAAAAUAUUUGAGAUAUUACAAGAAAGAGUAAAAAAAUAAUAUUUUCUACAAAAUAUCUUGUACUAAGAGAGAGAUUUACAGCUACAUGGAAAGCCAAUAAUUCACCAUUAUAUUUAUCGAUCCAAGAUGAUUCAGCCCUGUCAAUUCACUCAAUAAUCCAUUCAGCUUUUACAGCACCGGCAACAGGAAUGGUUGGUUCUUGUACGACCUUUAAGUGCCGUUGGAAUGUAUUUUUUUUUAAAAUUGAUUUUCUUUUACAAGCGUUGAAUUAAUGUUUUUUUUAUAAUUUUGAAUUAAAAAAACAUAUAUAUAUAUAUAUAGUAUUAUUUUAGCAUAUUUUUAAACAAAAAUUACUUUAAAAAAUACUUUACGCGAGACUUUACGCGAGACUCUCGUACAAGAUUGUAUCCGCGAAAACUAGUUAUUGGUUUUCAACUUGUCCACGGUGCCUUUACAAGUCAGAAAAGCACUUGUUGGCCGCCGAUUUCCGUGUGCCCAACCCACUUGUCCAGAGUGCCGAUUUCUAGUUAUUUCCUUUUCAAUCUCUAUCAAACUCCCAAGAAAUAAUUGAAACCAUUGUUUUUUUUUUGUCAUUUCAAUCUCCAACAAGCCUAAAAGAAGGAAAGAAAGCGUAGAUAUCGAUCACAAAUUCACUACUUUUAGCCAAACCUCGCUACAGAUCAAAGCCAACAAUAGAAACCCAUGUGAAAAUAAAAUAAACCCCAUUAAUAGAAAUGAACAUAAACCUUCCUCUUGGUGCUACUGUUUCGAAGAAUUCAAGAUAGUAAUCUUUUCUCAUCUCUCUCCCACACAGAGAUUAUGUCCAGAGCCAAGUUUCUUGAUCCAGGUGUGCAUAAAUUUUGUAACUUAACAAGACUUGACACGAGGGAACAAAAAAUGCUAGAAACUCGUCAUCACUACAGCAAUCAAUGAAAAUUCAGUAGUAAAUUACAGGAAAUAAACAAGGAAAAUAUAAAAUAGUCAUAGCAUCGCGGAAACACCCGAUUGUUUUACCCUCUUCUAGACGAACAAAACAAAACAAAACAAAAUUAUUCAAUAGUUUCAAAUUACAUAAGCAAGCACAUCUGCUGGGUUAGGGUUGAGAAAAGAAAGGGCAUAACCUCGUUGAGCUUGAACGAUCGACUACUGAAGUCAUGAUUUAUUUACGUUCCGGGCCAAUUAUUUUUUAACACUGUGUGUGCUCGUGCGUGGUUUUUUUCUUUUCCAAAAUUUGUCUUGGCUUUAGGAAUGAAGGGGGUCCUCUCCUCGCUUAAAAGAAGGCAAAAGGGAAGAAAAUUGAAGAAAUGAAUAAUCCCAAAACCUCGUAAUGAUUUCAGUGUGAUGCACGAGUGGAGAUUUAUCAAUUAUUGUUUCGGGAGAAAGAACAGGAAUUGCAAGAUCACUACCACAUCAAAUCUUCAAACAUGGUUGUUUUUCUCCUCUGUUUCCUAGAUAAACGAAAAAAGAUUCUCACUCAUCAAAUCCUCGGCUGUGAGGGAGCAAAUGUCAGGGGAGACAUGUUGGAGCUUAACAUGGUGUUCUCCGACGAAGGGGAAGGAGGAGGGGCGGAUGGUCCCGUUAUUGAUACGAUUUCGAACCUGUAAUCCUAGCAAGUUUUCGGAAUUGGUAUUGGCUUCAACUCUGGACCCAUUCCAUGAUUUGGUUGGGGUUAUUGAGGAUUUUGCCAAGGGUUUGUAUAGGAUUUGUUCUUGUGCAAUGUUGGAGAAGGGAAAAAAAGGAAUCGGCAAUUCAGUAGAAAUCUCCUUGCGUAGGCAAAUAAAAUCAGAAAAGAGCUUGUUUUGAUCCUGUGAAAUCAUUGAGAAAUUAGUAAAAAAAAUUAAAAAUAGUAAAGUGAUUACUAGGAGCCAAGACUGGUUUCGCUUGAUCUUGAUUCCAUUUGGCUUGUUUUGAAGCUGUUGCGAUCAUUAAAUGCGUGCUGGCAAGAAUGCUAAGUUGUGGUCACUGUACAUGAACGUGUGUGGUGGCGAUUAGGCUUGAUAAUUGGGACGGAGGGCAGCGUGCCAGGGGAUAUUAUAACAUGUGUAUCAUGUGGUGACCCCCUCAGUGACUUCACCGUCAUCGUUCCCAGUAGGGAAAAUACAUGUGUAUCAUGUGGUAACCGCUUAUUGAAUUAUUUUUUUAGAAAAAAAGAUAAUAAUUUCAUCAACAUUAAGCAAAUUAUAAAAAAAUAAAUCACAAAUUUUAUAUAUAUUUAAAAAAAUCAUUUACUGUUUAAAAAUAUAAUUGAUAAUAUUAAGGUAGCAUUAAAUUAAUUUUCAAGGAAAUAAAAUACAACACGAUUAAGAUAUAAAAAACAAAACAGAAUAGGAGAUAAAUACAUAAUUAAAUAUUAUAAUAAUAUACAUGACAAAAUAAUUAUCUUUAUAUCGUAUUUAAUACACUGAAAAAUAUAAAAAAGAUUCUUGACAACUGCUGUCAAUUCUAAUUUGUGGAGCCUAAAACUCUUGUGCUUUUCGUGGAGCUUCGUAACCACGGCAACUGCUGUCAAUUCUAAUUUUUGACAACUGUUGUCAGUCAUGAUGAGUACUGUAACCGUACAACAUUAGCGUUUUUUUUUUUUUUAGGUGGUGCUCGGUAUUAUUAUAAGAAUUAUUUUAAAUAUAUAAAGUAGAUUUUUAAGGAAGCUUGAUGGGUUAAUAGAUUAAAGGAUGAGAUGUUAAUAAGAUAUGAGAUAAAGUAUUUGAGGUAUCACGGGUACUAACUUUACGAUAAAAAGGAAGCGAGAGGGAAAAAUAUUUGAGGGUAAAAUUGAACUUUCAAAAUACCAACUCCUAAACAAGUAACUUCUCCCAAAAAUUAACCGGUUGUAGCUCAAUUGAUUAUAUUAUGGAUUUGCUUAUCGGAGAUCAUCAAUUAGAGUGUCAUAAAUUUCAAAUAAAUCUGAUCGUUAAUUUUAAGGUCUCGAGAAAUUAAUUGAAAGGAGCGUAAAUUACCUUAAAUAUCUAUAAUUAAAAAAAAAAAAAACUGUCGCUAAAGACACUCCAAAUUUUACGACAAAAAAAUUUAAAUAUCAUUAAUCUCCUACCAAGCAUAACUUUCCUUGGUGCACCUAUAUUGCCUAUCAACACGCCAGUGUCCGCGUUCACGUUGUCUGUAGGUAGAGAUGUUAAAAAAAACUUGUUCGUGUAUCUAUUUGAAUUAUUCGAUUCUAACUAACACAUUAAAUUCAAAUAAUAUAAAUAUUAUAGUCGAUAAUAUAUUAAAUUUUUAAUAAAUAGAUAUUGCUAAUCAAGCGAUAAACAAGUAUUUUUAAAACCUGAUUAACUCGACUCAUCUCAUAUAUGUCUUAUACUCAUUUUAUUUUUAUAUUUAAUAGAUUAUGAAUAGAAAAAAAUAUUUUGAUUCUAAAAUUAUUGUUAGUGGGCUUUUAGAUUUUUUUAAUAUAACAAAAAGAGCUUGUUUUUUUUGUUAAAGUCGAGGAAGUAACUAGAAUUUAAUAAUAUUACAAGAUAUAAAAAUUAAAUUUAAUAUUGAGGUGUCAUAACACCUACAAUCCAUGUUAUAAAAUUAUUUUUAAAUUCAGAUUCGUUAAAAUUAAUAAUACAAUACCAGCAAUUGAAUAUUUAUAAUAUUCAUAAAAAAAUUAAUCAAAUCCAAUAUAUCCUAUCGCUGUAAAAAAAAUAAAUGGAUGGAGUUUAUACUUUAUAAAACAUUAAAAAUUAAAUUAUAUAUAAUUACGAUCCUAGACCCGAUUCAAAUAUUUUUAGCAACGCCCCUAUUUGCAAAUGUAAUAGGAAUCGCAGAUUUUUGUAGGUAAAUUUAUAUUUUUUUUCUUUUAGCAAGAUUAAAAGUAUUCACUAAUCAAUUUUAUUAUUAAAAUUUAUCGUUUAACCCAAUAAAAAAAAAUCUACAUCGCAAUAGAAAACUCACAGGCAAGCCCUGAUAUUUACCUUGUUAUUGUCAUGCGAGGCUAGACUAUAGUUUUCAGACCCGGUCUGGUAGCCGGCCCGAUUCAAGACCCGGGUUUUAGGUUUUGACCGGAUCACCGGGUCAGCCGGGUCAAUUAUUUUUUAAAUCAAAACGACAUCGUUUUAGUAAAAACAAAACAUAAAAAUCAACGGGUUGCAACCAGGUUUUUAACCGGAUCUCGUCAGGUCACACAAGGUUUUUUCUUACCUUAUUUUUUCUUCAACUCGGCUCGAUUUGAGUCUAAACCGGCUGGGUUGGGUUUUAAAAGUACAAGACCACAAAUGAGUGGUGUGUAGCAAGAGAGAAGAGAUGAGGUGGAAGGGAAGGGAAGGGCCCCAGCAAAGGUACCGUCUACCCCUAUAUAAGGAGGAGGGCAUGGCAAAGCUCAUCAUGCAAAUUAAUCUGGCUAUAGCUAAGCGCACAAAUUAAGGCUUAAAGAUAUAGAGAGAAAGAAACAACAUGUCGUCGACGACAAAACCAAAGGCAGUGAAGCACACUCUAUUCGUCAAGUUCAAAGAUGACGUUACCAGAGAGCAAAUUGAGAAAAUCAUAAACGACUUCACUCAUCUGGUCAAUCAAGUUGAACCCUUGAAGAGCUUACACUGGUACUUGACUCCAACCACUCUGUUUUAUCAUCUCCCCUCUGUUUUAUCAUCUCUCCUCUCUCCACAGCACUGAUUCCCCGCUCCUGCAUGCUCAAUACUAUUUUUUUUUUAUUUUGUUGCCUUCCUCUUAGUUUGUGGAAAAAUAAUUUACAUAUUAAGCAUAAUUUAUUUAUAAAGCAUAAUAAUUUAUUAAUGACCAUUAGCAUAAUGAGGAGCCUUAAACCUUUUUCAAGAGUUAUAAAAUUAAAAAGAAUAAAAUUGUAGGAUAAUAAAUAUUUUAUCUUUUUAAAAUUCAAAGAAGUUUUUAGACGAAAAUAUACAGAAACACAUGGAUUUUAAAGGUUAAUUGAUAAAAAGCUCAUUGUAAAGUAUUUUCUAAGAAAAAAAGACAAACAAUAUUUUUCCAGAUAUUCUUUGAGGAUUUUGUAGGGAAUUAUUAGAAGACUCAAACUUAUCUGGAAGAACUAAAGAACUGAAUUUACUGGUCCAGUAAAAAUGUUACAGAACUUAUUAGUUAUUUAUCAUUUCAAAAAUGGAUCAAUAUGUAUUUUUUCCUAAAAUAAAUUACCCUAACAUCACCCUCAAAAAUUAUUUAUAACAAUAAAAUUCCAUACUAACAUCUGUGUUAUAUUAAUGCUCUGAUGCAGGGGCACUAAUCUGGGUAUUCACGACCUCAAUUUCGGAUAUACUCAUGCUUUUGAAACUACCUUUGAUGAUCUGGAGGGCUUGCAGGAGUAUCUUGAUUCUUCGGUUGUUGCUAAAUUCGCAGAAGGAUUCUUGCCAACCAUGUCGCAACAAUUUGUGAUGGACUAUGAACUGUACUAAAUCUUUACUGGGCAAUGAAGACUUAUUAUCUUGCUAUCUGAAGACAAGAUUCUGCUCUACUAUGUAUAAGCAAUAAUUGGCGGUGUUACCACCAAAUGUGUGUGGCAAUAAAUCUAAUUUGUUUUUUCAUAUGCAAUGUAUUUCUGAUGCAUAUAGCGGCAAUUCUUCCAUCUUCCUUUUGACACCUGAAAGUUCAUCAUGUUUCCUCACGAGAAAUCUUCCAAUCAUAGCUGUGAAACUAGACUUGGGGUUUUCCUCGAAUUUUUUAAAGAAAAGAUAAAAAUAAAAAGUUGUCAUUUUCAAAAUAAAAUCAAUGGAUUUAGAGUGAGCAGGUUAAUUUAGAUAUUUAAUUGGGUUAUCUGGGUUUUUUAAUUUUUUUUAAUGGAACCUGAUAGAUUUUGGUCUCGUUUGUUUGAAGAAAAAUAGUUUUCUUUUGGAAAGUAAUUUUCUUAAAAAUUGAAUUUCGGAAAAGUAAAUUAUUUUCUGAUGUUUGGUAGUGUCAUGAAAAGUAAGUUGGAAAAUACUUUCCACUGUUUGGUUGUUAUGGAAAAUGACUUGGAAAAUAACUUAUUAAUGUUUUUUUUUUAAGUUUAUUAAAAUAAUAAGGAACAAAUCUUACAAAUUAAAAAGUUAUGAGAAUGGAAUUGAAAAAAAAAUCUAAUUUCAUAAAUUAUCUCAAAUAAAAUAAAUAAUAAUCAAAAUAAUAGAGAUCAAAUCUAACAGAUAAAAAAAAUUAAAAGAUGAUGAAAUUAAAAUAGUUAUAAUAAUAAUUUCAUAAAUUAUUUUAAAUAAAAUAAGUAACAAUCAAAAGAAUAAGGAUCAAAUUGGAUAGAUAAAAAAUUUUAAUUUAAAAUAUAAUAAGAGAAGUAAAUAACAAUCAUAAAAAUAAAGACAAAAGUUAAUAUAAAAAUCAAAUUAAAUUAAAUUUUAAGAGAUGAAUUAAAAAAAUUCAAAAAAAAUAUAUAGCAAUAAAAAGUUUGAGGAUCAAAUUUGAUAUAAUCAUCAAAUAAUAUGAUAUUUUUAAAUUUUUCACAAUUUCUAGAAAGUGUUUUUCGUUCAAAAUAAAAGGAAAACACUUUCCUGAAAAUCAAACCAAAUUAUUCUUUGACAAAAAAAUAUUUUUCGUUGAUUAACUUUUCAAUUGACAAAAAAAUAAAGAAAAAUUUGAAAAAUUAUUUUUCAAAAAUCACUUUUCAGAAACAAACACACAUUUGUGUUAACUCGGCAAUAUAGUCCAGCAUCUACUACCAGGCUUUCCAUGCAAAAUUAAGCGACCUUGGUCUAGCCGCUAAGUUCAAUGAGAAGGCAGCCCAGCCCAUCUGGUCACAAAUCCAGUAAUGGUAACCUCACAGAGGUCGAAACCCAAUAACCAGUCAUCUAGAAAACCCAUGCUGCUAUUACAGCCUCUAUACAGGCCGAGGCAAAUAGCUUGCCCAAGCCGAAGGCUAGUCCCUAUUUAGUGCUAGACUUUUACCAAAAAAAUUAAUAAAUGCGCUAAACCAUUAUCCACCGUCGAUGAGAAGCAUCUUGUUGUCGAUAUUCAGGCAGGGAAUUUGCCCUCUCAGGCUCAUGUCGACGCUAAAAUGGAACAUUUCAGUGACUAAAAAGAGGAGUACGAUUUUCUAAUGUGAUGGAGGGUCUGGACUCUGGAGAGAGAUAACAUCCGGGUUUCGGAAGUCCCUCCUGACAUGUGAUGGAGGAUAAGAAAUCCUGGGUAAGGGAACGUUUGGAAACGCGACUGCAGCUGUGUUUCUAAAAAAAUUAUUAUUAUUUUUUUUUAUUAAAAUUUAAUAUGAUUUGUACGUUUUGGAUUGUUUUGAUGUGCUGAUGUCAAAAAUAAUUUUUAAAAAAUGAAAAAAAUCAUUAGCAUGUAUUUUAACACGAAAAAUUAUUUGAAAAACAUCUGCAACCACACUGCCAAACACACUCUAAAUCCUCUAUCCCUUGAAAAAAAAAAAAAAAACCGCGUGUAAAAUUGUAAUUAUUGGAGUGGAAUACUGCGUGCAUCAAGAAAGGGGCCAGUACGCUGGGUGCCCCCACUCACAUUGGUUCCUGGGCUUGCAGUGGUACUUGCAGAAAUAAAAAAAUAAAAAGCUACAAACUAAUGGUUGGUGGAUAUUCGAGCGGUUGUUGUGUAUAAUAAUUAAUAUCAGCCCUUAAAGAAGGCUGAAGAGACGAGUGCGAGAGAGAGAGAGAGAGAGAGUUAAGAUAACAGAUAUGGAGCAAGUGAAGGGAGUGGUAAAGCACAUAGUCCUGGCCAAGUUCAAAGAAGGAGUGACCGAAGAAGAAAUUGAGAAACACAUAAAAGACUACGCCAAUCUGCUCAACCACAUCGAACAUAUGAAGUCUUUCCACUGGUAAUUAACACAAGCCCUCGUUUAAUUUUAACUACUCUUUCUCCAUGGUUUCGCACUUGGUUAGCUAGGAAUGAAAUACUUUGUGCUUUUGGUGCGUGGAUGUUUUCUUGUUUUGUUAGUCAUUUUAGAUAGAUAAUCUGCCAUGUAUAUAUUUUUGGUUUUUAAUUUAUAUGGUUUCAAUCAACUUUGGAAUUAAGAAUCUAAAUAGUUUCUGCAAUUUUGACAUGAUAGGGGGACAGACGUGAGCAUCGAGAACCUUCAUCAAGGUUUCACUCAUAUCUUUGAGAUUACUUUUGAGACAUUAGAUGGCCGAUCAGCGUAUGUAGCUCAUCCUGCUCAUGUUGAUUUUGGCACUGCUUUCUUGACUAUCUUGGAGAAAAUCGUCGUGGUCGAUUUCGUGCCCACGCUCGUUAAACUCUAAAUUGUUCUGGGCAGCACGAUUAACAGGCUCCUGCUGCGCUGCAUGUUCUAUAUACCGGCAUGCUUGCUAGCUUUUAAAUUGUAUGCAAUAAACGGAGGCCUAUGUUGAACCUCCAUUUGUUUGUGUGUAUUCUGGAUCUUAAUCUAAUAAUGGCAAUCGUCAUUUGGGACUUUGUAUCAGUGAUUUAAAGACUUGUUUCUAUGAUCAUGUUUUGCUGUCCUUGUGGUUUUAGCUUCGUUCAACAAACUAAAAAAGUAAAAUAUAUUAUUAUUGGGUACAGCUUUAGAAAAAUCUUUAAUUUAAUUUGUUGAUAUAUAUGUGCCGCCGCGAGUGAUUUUCUCGUGACUGAUUGGUUGUAUAUUUUAAAAGUGUUUUUAAAUAAAUUUAAUUUUUUUUAAUUUUUUAUUAACUUCAAUUUUUAGUGUUUUCAAUUUAUUUUAAUAUACUAAUAUAAAAAAUAAUUUUUAAAAAUAAAAAAACAUUAUUUACAUGUAUUUUAACAUGAAAAAUUAUUUAAAAAACAAUUACAAUCACACUAUUAAACAAUCUAGUUAAAAACGGAAUCUAAGCUAUUUGAAAUAUAGAAUUAUAGAUCUGUGCGCGAGUGACGUUUGAAUAUUUUAUAAGAAAAAGGAAAGAUUAUACUUUCACCUAAACUUGGUCAGAAUUAAAAUACAAUCGAAGGCACGAGCUUCUUCGGCUUUGUGCGUGUAGUUUAAGCGAUCACCUGCCGGCCUGCAAAACCUUUACAGGCAUAUGCUUUUGGGCCUGAAAAGGUGUUCGUGGUAGGAAAUACGUAAUUGGGCCUGCGUGGUGGUUGAGCAAUAAAAAGUCGGCCUGCCAAUUUGUUUAUGUUGAUGUAUGUUUUGAUUGCUUAACAAAAUAAAAUGUAAGUACUCCAUGGUUUUGAUUUUUUUUAUUCGCUAUAUUACUAAUUAAUUACCAAUACACACACUAUUACUUGUAAUACCCUUACCUAAUAAAAAAAGGAUAAUCGAAAACCUAAUUAAUUAUAUUAUAUUAUUUAUUAUUACUAUUUUUCAUACACAUAUCUCUACCAAACUAUAUGAAAUGUUCGAAUGACCCCUCGCCUAUAUAUAAUUAUUCAUCGUAGAAUAAUAUUAUCAUUUCCUAUUCAACUCCUCAGGGCACUACAAGAACGGUACGAGGCUAUGAGCAACAGUGCACAUUCAUUAAAAAAAAACACCAUUACAAAUCAUACACAGCCAGUAAUCCCAAAUAUAUAUUUAAAUGUCAUUUUAUUAUGAUAGCUAUGGCCUGAAAUUAUUUGAUUGAUUAUUAACACAUUUGAAGACUCUUAUUCCAGUUAAAGGGAUAACGAGGAAACUAAUUUUAUUAAUAAUUGCGGCUAUUGUUUUGAAUAAUUAAGUGUUUUUAAAAUAACCUUAGCUACACCCUUUGUAUAAUCAAGAGGUUAGGUGAUAAAUUUGAGUGAUGUAGUUUAAGUGGUUAAUUUUAAAUUUAUUUUUUAGAUAUUAGUUUGAGUUUUAUAAAUAUUAAGUUUAUUGUAGGUUUAUAUGAUCGUUAAUUUUAGGAUCUGUGAGAUUAAUCAAUAUGCGCACAAACUGAUCCAGACACCCACAUUAAUAAUAAUAAAAAAAUUAGGUGAUGAAUAAUGUUUUUUAAAAUGUAUUUUUUUAAUAUAUUAAAAUAAUAUUUUACUAAUCCAUUAUCUCAGUAUUACAAAAUCAAGCACGCAUGUAGGAGAAAAGUACACGAUUUUUUCCCUCGAUAUCGUUUUCCAAUAUAAUCUGAUAAUAAUCAAUUUUACUUGAACUCUCAAUUUGUGGUUAAUCAAGCAUAACUCAAAUCGAAUGGAUUAUAAGAAAAUAACAUAGCCUUUAGAUGACAAGAUCGUUCCCUCAAAAUCCAGAAAAUGCUGCACGCAACAAAAAACCUUCCACGUGAGUUAAUUUGAUCCUGUGCAUGACCCGGUUUUCGAUAACACAAACUAGUGGUGGACAGCUGAAGAGACGACUCUAAUUUUUUUUUUUUUUUAACGUGGGUGUUCGGGCCUGCUUACGCGCACCUCGACUAAUCUCACAUGCCCUGAAGUUAACGACCAUGUAAGCCUCCAGUGGCCAUCAUAUGAGCAACCACAGGGCUCGAACUUGAGACCACAGAGGGAGCAAACCUCUUGAUCCCAAGUUUUUACCAUUGGACCACCAUCUAGAUGGUUCGACUCUAAAAUUAGUGAGAGACGUAGUGAAAUUUCGUUCAAACUUGUUUCAUUUAAUAUUUUAUAUUGUUCUCUAAAAUUACUGGAUAUAUGACUGUAGAAAAUAUCUAUUUAUAUUGUUCAUUCAUUUUAUUAUUCGAUCCAUUAAUCUCAUUUUUUUCAAUAUUUUUUUUUAUUAAAUGGCGGAUACCGGGAUCCUAAUUUUCCUAGAUUUUCCUAAUUCCUAAAUUUCUUUAUAUUUCACAAGGUAGUGAUAAGGCUAUUCGAUUUAUCAUCAUUGAAUUACUGGUUUCUUGCAGCUUCUACCAUGUUCUUGUUUUUUUUCUAGGGCAAUGGCAUCAUUAAAUUAUUUUCUGAUUAGUUAUGGCAUAAUCCUUCAUCUAAUCAAUGAGCAUGAUUGAGCUAGUGUGCGCCUGUAGCGAGAGAUGAGUGAGCAUGCACGAUUUUGUAACAGUUCGUUUAGCCCGUAACUUCUUUUGCCUUAUGCUACGGAACUGAUUAAAUUUUUGUUUUAAUGUGUAAAAAACAUCAAGCUAUGGAAAAUCAUUUAUUAUUUUCAUUAAACUUAAUCUACUAGGUUAACUUUUAAAUUUACUGGUCCUAUUUUUUUGUCUCACCUUGGAUUGAAAUUAAAUGAUAUGACAAUAAUUUUGAUAUAAUUCAAUUAAUUUGAUUAGUUCAAAGACAUCCGAUUAAUUAAUAAAACAUUUUAAGAAAAAAAUAAAAGUUUUUUUUGAUAAAAUUAAUAUAAAAAACUCUCAACCCAAUCUCUUUCUAGCAUGAGUUUAUAGUUAAAUUAUGUGGGAUUCGUCAUAACAUGAUUUAUUCGACUUGAACGUUUAAAAACAACUUGAUUAAUUGCUUAAACAGAUAUAAGAAUGAAAUUAAAAAAAAAACUUUGAAAUUUAUAUAAAAAAACUCUUGAUUUGACUUUUUAUUUAAUUUAAGUUUAAAAUUAAUUUGUCCAGGAAUUAUCAUAAUAUAAAAUGAUUUAAAUGUAACUGAACCAUUAUUAAAAAAUUUAAAUUAAAAAUAAAAAUAAAAUGAAACUAAAAAACAUGAAGUAAAUAAAAAAACAAAGAGAUUGAAUUAAAAAAAAAACUCUUACACAGGCUCUUUUAUAUUUUUUAUUGUAAAAUGCUUUUAUAAAUAUUUAUUUUAUUUUUAUAUUUUUAAUUUAUUUUGAUAUUUUAAUAUAAAAAUAAAUUUUAAAAAAUAAAAAAUAUAUUUAUUUUCAAAUAAAAACAUUUAAAAAAAUAAUUGCUUCCAACAUUUCAAUUUCAAAUAUGCUGUUACUGAAUCUCUAGAAUGAUCCUGAUUCUUUUAGUGGAGAAGUAAUGAUUUGAUAGUUUUGUCAUUUAAGAUCGAGACAACGAGUGGCCGACAGUACUCCUCGAUCAGCGGUGUCAUGUGACCCCUGGUAUUGAUAAUCAUCUUAUAUUAUUAUUUAACGGAGCCCACACGACCUGUUUAUAUUUCUUUGCCCUUUGACAAGUCGUUUAUCUGCCAGUUCUCCAACCUCUCGUCAAUUUCCUCUCCAGUGAUUGUUUGGUAUUACAUUUUUAAAAGUGGCUGUAUAUGUUUAAAAAAUAUACUUGUUUUCUAAAAUAUUAAAUUAAUGAUUUUUAAAUUAAAAUAAUUUUUUUAGUUUUAUGGAUAAUCUAAAAUAAAAAACAAUAAAAAAUAUGGAUAAAAUUAAAAAUAAUAAUUAAAUGAAUAAUUUAAAAGAAAAAAAAAAUAAUCACCAACAAAAACCCAAACCCGAUAUAUUUUGGUUAUGUGCGUUGCUGAAAAGAUAUAAAUAUGAAAGGUAAAUAUUAAUUAAAAAACGUUAAUUUGUAUAUUUAAUUAAGAAAACAUUGGUUACUAGAAUCCUAACCAUUCAUUUAUUUUGGAAGGUUUAAAUUAAAAAAUAAAAAAAUAAAUCAUGCCCAAGAGAACAUGAGAGGAUCUCAAUUCUAUAAUUCGGGUGCCCAACCAUACCAACAUUACUGCAUCAUAUUUGAUAAACAAAAAAAUUAUGAUACUGAAGUAACAUUUACUAACAUUUAUUCAAUAUAAAAGAAAUAGAAAUAAAAUAGAGAAUUUUAAAAAAUAUUUUUAUUCUUAGAAGAAUGUAUUUUUAUUUUUUGGAUAAAAAUAUGAUUUUUCAUUUAUUUUUACAUCUUUUUUAAAAAAAUGGAUAUUUUUUUUUUUUAUUUCAUCAAAAUUCCACAGUUCAAUCUAGUUAGAUGGAGUAGUAUCAGGAUUAGUGACUUUCGGAUGAAUUCUUAUAUUACAUUUAUUUUUCUUUAUCGAGGGUCCAUUUGACAAAAUUAAUUACAAUUAAAAAUGCAAAAACAAAUAUCAUUAAUAGGUGUUUUUAAUAUAAGUUUACUUCCAUCCACAUUAUGGUAGGUGAUUGAUGGAUUUGUUGAAGUAAAAUAUUAAGAAGAAUAUAAACAAAAUAAACUUGAAGUAUGUAUAAAUAUUGUUUUUAAAGAUAUUUUCUUAAUAUAAAAUUAUUUUUUAAAUCUAAUAAGUUUUUUUUUUAUAAUAAGAGUCAUAGAAACAACUAGAUCAAAAGCGAAAGAAAUAUCAACAGAUUUUGUAAGCAUAAAAAAAUACUAUGAUUUUUAGCAUUGUUUGAUUGUAAGAAUGUAUGAUAUAUAUAGGUUAGUAGGAUAUAACAACUAGGUAAAAAAUAAAUUAAAGAAUUAAAGAGUUGUUACAACAGUUUAAAAAAUUAAUUUUUUUUAAAAAAUUGUAAUUAUUAAAAAUAAAAAUAAACAAAAGUUUCAGAAAAUAUAUACGUCGACUCUCACGCAGAAAAAAACAUUUUUUCCUACUUGUUGUUGAUUACUAUUUUAUUUUAAAAUUUAGUAUUGAAAAUCUUAUUUUUUCAAUGAAAAUCUUGACCUUAAGAGAACUGCAGCCGCCGUUGAAUGGGUGUGUGGUGUAUAAACACUAUCAUUCAUAUUUAUCCAGCGAAUGGGUGUGUGGGUUCGCUAUUGCUUUAAAUAGAGAAGGUAACCUCUCUAAUUCCAUUAGCUGAACAGCAAG